rnacentral:lncRNA from 1 species
GUGGCUUCUCUCCCUUAGGUGGUUUGCCAACUGGGGUUGGUGGCUUGUAUGAGUCUUCAGCAUUCUCAGCAGGAGGGUGACCAGGGUUGUGACCAUAAUGUGGUGGCUUCUCUCCCUUAGGUGGUUUGCCAACUGGGGUUGGUGGCUUGUGUUCUGGGAGUGGCUUCUCCCCCUUGGGAGGUUUUUCCAAUGGGGUUGGUUUGUGUUCAGGAGGUGGCUUCUCCACUGGAGGCUUGUGUUCAGGAGGUGGCUUCUCCACCGGAGGCUUGUGUUCAGGUGGUGGCUUCUCCACCGGAGGCUUAUGCUCUGGUGGUGGCUUCUCGAAUGGGGGAUGCUUAGGAUAAUCAGCAAGUGAGGGGGCGGUGAGAACCACCAGGCCAAGCAACACCACUAGCAAAUAUGUAGGAGACAUCUUUGGGUUUGGGCUCAGAUGGUGCAAAACUAGGAGAAUUGGCUAGCCUUUUAUAGCGGAUCGUACCCAAUAAUGAAAUGACACGUGUCAUUAUGACCCAUGUGUAAUGGGGUCGAUUUGGGUCCUACAGUGUUGAAAACUUCGACAUCCACUUUUGGCCUUUUGCUUUCUCUACAGCCGCCUUGCUUUUUCCCUCUUUCCUUUUGUUUUCCUCCUGCCCCAUUCUAUCAACUAAACACAAUUAUGUAGUUGUUUAAUUCUUAAAUGAGAUAUUAUCCGUCAAUCGUAUUAUAUUUUAUCAAGAGAGAACGGAGUGCAAUGUGGCUGUAAUUUUAUCGUUUAGUUUUAUCUCUUGGACCACUGCAUUUUUGUUAAGAGGUGCAAUAAUACACGUCUUUAUCUGCCAUUCAAUAUUUACAGUAAAGAGAGGGCACAAAACUCUUCACUUCGCACCAUAAUUAUUUUGUUUUCUGGACACCCCGGGGCCCUUUGGUUGGUUUGGGGGUCAGAAAGUGAACAUCAUAGGGGGUUUUUCCCUUAUGUGCAUUUGUAUCUGAUGGCUUUAACUCGCCUUGUUACUACAAAGAAACUGUCACAGAUAGGAACUUAUUCCAGGCUGAGUAUCUCCUCAUAGACCCUAUAAAAGAAGACAAGUCAUAAUGAACAUCUAACCUUUGUUCAAUUUGAUUCAAUGCCCCCAUUGUGUCCAUCUCACAAAUCUGAAUUAUUAUAUCCAUUGAAUACAUAAAUUAAUGAAGAAAAUAUGAAACCCAAGAUACAUCUCUGCACAACCUCAACCCUGGUUGCUAUGUUUCCCUUCUAUUCACAUGAUUUGAUGCUAAUUGCCAAACUUGCAACAAGCCCUGAGUUUGACACCUAGUAUCGAUGGGCGAAUUUAAAGUCUCCUCCAAACAUAUAUUCCACAGCUUGAAGCUCACAGAAGAUGUUACAGGCAGGGAAAAACCUUCAGAGUUCGCUACCAAAGAUAAUUAUUAAGGAGAUAUCACAAAGAGAAUUCCAAGGGGUCUGAAUCAAAGACAAAUUGGUCGUUCGUGGGGGUUCUUACUUUCUUUUGGGUAUAACUCACUGAGGGCACUGUCUUUGUUAUUUGCAUUUCACAUUUAGAGUUCUGUUCUGGAAACAUAUAAAAGGAGCAUCAUUUUGUUCUUGGGUAACCCAUAGUCGUGAGUGGGUCCAUUUGCAUGCUACUUAGUUGAAAAGUUGGACCAUUUGCUCCGACGCCUACCUCCCGGAUUCCAUGCUCGGAUAAAACAAGAAUAAAAAAAAUAUUUAUAAUUUACAAAUGGGGGAAAGAAAAAAAUGUCAACAACAAACCAGGAAAAAAGAGUAGUAAAAUUCAUGUCACAUGCUAGUGAGAGAAGGGGUUGUUACACUCACUCGAAGUUCUUUCCAAAAUAUCGCAUGGUAUUUUAUUUUAUGUGUCAGCGCAGUUGUGAAUGGAACGUGCAAAAGUCCAAAUUGGCGUUUUUCCUUUUCCCGUGUAGGAUGGCGACCUUUAAUAAAUAUUUAAAACAAAAAACGAAAAAAAGGAGGGAAAAGGGAUCAGAAAAGAUAAAACAAUGUGUACAAGAGCUCAAUUAGUUUGCAAAUUACUGUUUGGAUUUUGAUAGUAUUUUAUUUGUCCAUCUAUAUUUGAUGGAAAAGAGAAUUUAAGAUAUUUCUGAAACAAAAGCAUUAGUGUAAAACUAAAUUAAGGUAUAAUUAAGUUAGUUCAAUGCAUUAAUUUAAGAAACUUGAUCUAUCCAAAGUACAAAAUUAGAUGAAAUCCAUUUCAAUGGUUAAAAUGAUCAAAAUCAAACUUUUUCUAAGUAUUUUUUAAAAGCAUCAAUAUUAAAAGACAAUUUUAUAUUUAGUCGGAGUUUGGACAAAACCAAAAAGCACACAAAAUCCAAGCGACCAUCUCUAGCUUGGAUAGUCACUUGAUCCCACCUAGAGAUGUGCAUGAGUAAAAGGAUUUGAAAAUGGAAAUUGACUAAAUAUUUAGUUGAUCAAUUAAAUUUGCAAUGUCAUAUGCAAUCCUAAUAGCUAGUCAUCUAAUCAAUUAGGUAGUCAAUCAAGUGUUUGUAAUGACUAUUUUGUACAAAAAACCACAUGUAUAGUUAAAUAUAAUGCAUUUCAUUUAUAAAUCUUCUAAUUCUUGAAUAACGAUCCUAUCAUCCUUUGAAAAUUUUUAUUACACCUUUUUUACUUUUGUUCUAAAACUUACAUAUCACCCUUAAUUGUACCAUGAGAACCUAGCUAUUUUUUUUUUUUUUGUAAUUCAUCAAAGUUAGCUUUUGUAUUCAUUGUUGUAUUAUUUUUAGUAUAACUUAGAAAGCUAGUGUUUUCAAGUGAGUAAAAUUAACUUGUAAAUAUUGUAAAGAUUCAUUGAUAUGUAUCUUAAACUAAGUGUACAAAUUAAAACAUUUGCUAGUAGAUUUUCUCAAAAUUUAGAAUAGAGCUUGAGGCUAUUGAAAUAGGUGGGGUUACACCAAACCACAUCACAUCGUUGUUUGCACCUUUUUUCACUCUCUUUUACUUAGUUUCUCUAUAUUUGUUGUCUAGUAAUAUCCUAUAGGCUUGAUGGGUUAGGGAGCAUCCCUUUGUGAAAAAAUUUCAUUCAAUUCUUAGUUGUAUUACGCAUAUAUAAAAUGCCUCAUUGUUUUAAUGGUAUUCAGUCGUGGCAUCACAGAUAUGGGCAUCUAAAUUUUAAAAGUUUGAAACUUUUGUAAAGCAUGUUGAUAAAAUCCAUGAGAGUUGUGUACUUGGGAAGCAACAUCGAGGUGACUUUAUUUUUUUUUCCUUUUAUAAUGCCACACCUAAGUCCGGUUUCUAAAUGCUAAAGUGAAAGGGUAGGUAUGGACCAUUGAAAUGUGAUCACAACUUUUGGCCUUUUCCUUUCUCUGCAGCCAUGUUGUCUCUUUUUUCUUUUGCAUGAUUUUCUUACCAAAACAGAAUCAUAGACUUGUUUAGUCUCUAAGCUACUAUAUUAUAUCUCGGUGGACUUUUAAGAGUGCAACCGACAUAGAGCACAUGCAAGUGGGCAUAUGGGACAUGAAAUUUCUUCUUACAAAGAUUGCAUGAUUUUUAUAUUAGAGUUGUUCACGUGCAAUGUAUUUAGCUUGUUUUGCAGUUAAAUUAAUUGGAUAAGUAAACAUUGGCAUUUCUAAAUCGACUGUGAAGUGCUUCAUGUACGUGUAAAGUAUUAGAAAUUUCUUUCUUGGCAACUUGUUUUUUCCUUGCCAUCUACUGGUAGGUUUGACUAAAAUUAUAUUCCCUGUCAUGCUAAUUAAUUUUCAUGUGCAUGCUCAAAAGAAGAGUAUGACCUUAGUGCACCAAAAUCACUUUGAUUAAUUUGUGAUAGGUUUUUUUGCAUCAUUUAGAUAAUGUUUAGUUCUAAGAAAAAUUUAUAUAAAAAUGGUUUAUUUAUCUUACAUAUAUAUAUAUAUAUAUAUAUUUUUUUUUUUUUCAUUUUUUUUUCUUCUAUUUUAUUUAUUUAUUUUAUUUUCCUUAUGUUUUCCUCACAUUUUCCGGAACUAAACAUAGUCUUACGAAAUCAACAAUUGCCUUCAACUGAGUAGAUUCUGUUGUUUUAGCAAUGUUAGGCUGCUAACUUGUGGUGGUACGAACCAAAUGACCCAUGUUAAUCUUGGCUUGGUUUGAUUUGGCUCUAUCUCAGAGAGCUAAAGGAUCACGUCAACUCUGGUUUCUACUAUUCAGGUCCAUUCCCAGAUGAACUGGUUCAAAUUUGAGAAAAUGGUAACAGACCUUUAGUGAUGUUGGUUUGGAGCCAGUUGCCAAACCCGCCCUGAGCUUUACCACUAAUGUCAAGGGAGAAAGCCAUUUGAACAAAAACAAUAGCUUCAAGAGACUGAAUCGUGGAUGAAAUCUGAUCCACAUUUCUUCUCAUUUUGGGAAAAAAUGAGAACUUAACUACAAAGAUUCUACUGCCUCAUUCAUAGUGCUUUUCCUGAUCCAAGGUUGGUUCGUUUCCCAAAUUGUGAGGUGCACGUGCCACUCUCACGCUCAGGAGUGUAUCCACGUGGUGGACAUCAGAUGGUGGCUUAAUAUCUGGUGUCGGUGGCUUUACUUUACUAGGAGAGUAGUGUGUCUUCAUCUCAUUCACUGCCGGAGGGUGGCGUAAGCAGUGACGCUAAGGUGGGGCACAGUCAAUAUCAUUUGCAUUUGACCAUUAUAGUUUUCUCCCGGCUUGAAAGUAACCUUAUCGUGAUAAAGGAUUACUAGCACUAGUUCAGAUGACCGUCAUGUUAAUUCGGACCAUGUUUGUGUCACAUUAUCAGCAACCAUGUGUUUAUGGUUCAUGCUAUCUGCAACUAAACUUGAUAUAUAACCAGGUGAACUUCAAUCAAAAUUCUGGAAGUACUCUUGUGAUAGAUGGUGCCUGUCUGCAGAGUCCAUCAAUUGAAAAAUGGAGUGAGUGUAUCUAUAAGAGGGAAGGCUUGGCAAAUGUUCAGUUUUCUGGGAAUUCAACAAGGAUCUAAAAUAGAUUGUUUUCUUUGCCGACUUCAAUGGUUGAAAUUUGAGAAGAUUGUGUCCACAUAUCACAACUAUUACUGGUCCUUCUGUUGCAAUUUAUCCUGUAAGGCUCUAACAUGUCUUCCAAUUCCCACUUCCCUGUUACUCCAGGAAAGCUAUUUCUGUCAUUGUGAAGAAGAAAAGAGAAUGUACAUAUCGAUGCUUUUAAGUGACUGGAGCAUUCAUAUCAGGUGGUCUGCAGCCAUAUAUGCCACUUUGUGAAGGUUGGAACAGUCAAUCACUAGGCUAUAUAUUGGUGUGGCCCAGCCACUUCAAUCAAGGACAAGUCUUCAUACUUAAAGUCAAAUUCUGCCUUUAGUCUCAUUAUAAAUUGCUGUUUAAAUAUUAAGCAAACUUUUGUUUAAUGCGAUUAAGACAGUACUAACUCAAUACUUGUUCUAUUUUUGGAUGCAAAUGCUUGAUGGUUUCAUCAUUGGAUGGGAUAAAGGUGCAUUCAUGAUUAUGAAUACUUGUAGUUAUAUUUUCAUUCUCUUUUUUCUCAAUGAGACUUGUUGGCACAAUGUUGCUGUUCAGAAACCUACCUCUCCAUGGAAAAUAAGUUGCGAUUGAUAGUACUGGAUAUGUUCAAGAAAGCUAAAUAUAGAUAGCACAAAAUAUUAUCGAUAUAAAUAGCAUUAACAGCGUACGUAUGUCUCAAUGCUCAUCAGCUAUAAGCAUGGGACAAACACUUACUAUGAGCAACUUACGUCAAAAUUCCAGAAUAGGACAUAGAAGUGACAGAUCUAUAUAUAUAGAACACUGCAUAUGAGUCACAAGAAAGGAAAUUACGGGUGCAUAGCAGCUCUUAUUUUACAUACUACUACUCAUACUGAUCAAAGUCACUCAGUUGGGAUGGGUGGGAGUAGGAGGUUUGUGGGGUGGCUUGUGCGGAGGAGUUGGCAGCUUCUUUCCAGGACCUGGUUGCUUCUCUGCUGGAGUUGAAGGAGGCUUAAUCUUCCGAGGUGGCUUGUAUGAGUCUUCAGCAUUCUCAGCUGGAGGGUGACCAGGGUUGUGACCAUAAUGUGGUGGCUUCUCUCCCUUAGGUGGUUUGCCAACUGGGGUUGGUGGCUUGUAUGAGUCUUCAGCAUUCUCAGCAGGAGGGUGACCAGGGUUGUGACCAUAAUGUGGUGGCUUCUCUCCCUUAGGUGGUUUGCCAACUGGGGUUGGUGGCUUGUGUUCUGGGAGUGGCUUCUCCCCCUUGGGAGGUUUUUCCAAUGGGGUUGGUUUGUGUUCAGGAGGUGGCUUCUCCACUGGAGGCUUGUGUUCAGGAGGUGGCUUCUCCACCGGUGGCUUGUGUUCAGGAGGUGGCUUCUCCACCGGAGGCUUAUGCUCUGGUGGUGGCUUCUCCACCGGAGGCUUAUGCUCUGGUGGUGGCUUCUUGAAUGGGGGAUGCUGAGGGUAAUCAGCAAGUGAGGGGGCGGUGAGAACCACCAGGCCAAGCAACACCACUAGCAAAUAUGUAGGAGACAUCUUUGGGUUUGGGCUCAGAUGGUGCAAAACUAGGAGAAUUGGCUAGCCUUUUAUAGCGGAUCGUACUCAAUAAUGAAAUGACACGUGUCAUUAUGACCCAUGUGUAAUGGGGUCGAUUUGGGUCCUACAGUGUUGAAAACUUCGACAUCCAGUUUUGGCCUUUUGCUUUCUCUACAGCCGCCUUGCUUUUUCCCUCUUUCCUUUUGUUUUCCUCCUGCCCCAUUCUAUCAACUAAACACAAUUAUGUAGUUGUUUAAUUCUUAAAUGAGAUAUUAUCGGUCAAUCGUAUUAUAUUUUAUCAAGAGAGAACGGAGUGCAAUGCAGCUGUAAUUUUAUCGUUUACUUUUAUCUCUUGGACCACUGCAUUUUUGUUAAGAGGUGCAAUAAUACACGUCUUUAUCUGCCAUUCAAUGUUUACAGUAAAGAGAGGGCACAAAACUCUUCACUGCUCUGCAUGUGUCCCAAAAAUGCGAUUGGACAAAUUAUGAUUUGCAUGCUAAAAAGAGGCAAAUGAGGUUAAUUCGCACCAUAAUUAUUUGGUUUUCUGGACACCAUAAAAAGAUGUUAUACAGGCAGGGAAAAACCUUCAGAGUUAGCUACCAAAGAUAAUUAUCAAGCAGAUAUCACCAAGAGAAUUCCAUAGAGUCUGAAUCAAAGACAGAUUGCUCGCUCGUGGGGGUUCUUACUUUCUUUUGGGUAUAACUCACUGAGGUCACUGUCUUUUUUAUUUGCAUUUCACAGUUAGAGUUCUGCUCUGGAAGGUUUGUUCUGGAAACAUAUAAAAGGAGCAUCAUUUUGUUCUUGGGUAACCCAUAGUCGUGAGUGGGUCCAUUUGCAUGCUACUUAGUUGAAAAGUUGGACAAUUUGCUCCGACGCCUACCUCCUGGAUUCCAUGCUCGGUAAAACAAGAAUAAAAAAAAAUAUAUAAUUUACAAAUGGGGGAAAGAAAAAAUGUCGGAAAAAAUAGUAAAAUUCAUGUCACAUGCUAGUGAGAGAAGGGGUUGUUACACUCACUCGAAGUUCUUUUCAAAAUAUCGAAUGGUAUUUUACUUUAUGUGUCAGCGCAGUUGUGAAUGGAACGUGCAAAAGUCCAAAUUGGCGUUUUUAUUUUUCCCAUGUAGGAUGGUGACCUUUAAUAAAUAUUUAAAACAAAAGACGAAAAAAAAAAGGAGGGAAAAGGGAUCACAAAAGAUAAAAUAAUGUUUACAAAAGCUCAAUUAGUUUGCAAAUUACUGUUUGGAUUUUGAUAGUAUUUUAUUUGUCGUUCUAUAUUUGAUGUAAAAGAGAAUUUAAGAUAUUUCCGAAGCAAAAGCAUUAGUUUGCUCUGUGAUGUCCCACAUCGAAUAGGGGAGAAAGUUUCUGGCGCUAUAUAUGUAGAGGCUCCUCUUAACCAAGUAGAUGCGUUUUAAAACCAUGAGGGCCCCCUUAGGUCCAAAGCGGACAAUAUCUACAUGAUUGGGUGUAAGUCAUUACAAAUGGUAUCAGAGCCGAUCCCCGACCCCGGUGUGGGGGUUUGUUUGGCCCUGUAAGGGGUGUUUGUCUGUUUGACCCCACAAUCCCAUGGGACACAACGAGGACGUUGUGUCUGCAUGGGGGGGCGUUUGUGAUGUCCCACAUCGGAUAGGGGAGAAAGUUCCUAGUGCUAUAUAUGUAGAUGUUUCUCUUAACCAAGUAGAUGCAUUUUAAAAUUGUGAGGGCCUCUUUGGGCCCAAAGCGGACAAUAUCUACAUGGUUGAGUGUAAGUCAUUACAUGCUCCAUGUCAAUUUCAGCAUUUCUCAUAUGUUUCACACAUACACAGAAGAGCAUCGUUUUUUAAAGCAUGCAUUUAUGUUGGAUUAAUUUGGAUUUUGUGGGAACUGGGGCAAGGAUCACAUGGAAGAGAGGUUGACUUUUUUCAGUACUUCAAUGGUUGAAAUAUGUGAAGGCUUGAUUGAUACUAAAGCUUGAAAUUGCGACUCUGUCAUUUGUAAAAAAAUAUGACAGCUUCCAUGCUCUCGUUUGGUUGCAUUGUCCGGUCGAGAGGUGCAAAAAGCAUUCUCUCUCUUCUAAUAGUCUUUUCGUUUAAAUCAAGGGAUUUGCCUUCCCGGUCGAGGUCCAAUAGAGGGUAACGGUCACCUACUAAACAUUAAAUGCUCCAACAACUAGUGAACUGAUCGACCCCAGCUCGACUAGUUGAGGUUACUUUUUGGUUUUCUUGUCUCCCGAGGUUAGAAACCUAUAAAUAGAGAGCUUCACUUCAUUUAUGAGUAAGAGAACACCUAAAUUUAUUUGUUUACCUACUUGUUUUUGCCAUAAAAGCUCUCAUUUCUUUUCUUGGUGUAUUAAAUCUCCAUUUGCAUAUCCUUUAGUGCACCUUUGUGAUUCAUUCUAGCCUUGAGUUGUAUUUAAGCCUUUGUUGAGCUAGGUUGAGAGUUUCAUACUUGUUUAUUGAGUGUUAAAGCCUUCAAGUGAGUUAAAACUUGAAGAGAUUGUGUAAGAGCCCAUUGGAGUCGGAAUCCAAGUGUAAAGGUGAUUAAAAGCUUGGUUGAAGCUUCAAGUUAGUGGAACUCUCACUCGGUUAUGAGCUUGAGAAGAGUGGACAUAGACAAGGCAGUGUCGAACCACUAUAAAAUCUGAGUUUGAUUUCUCUAACCUUAUCUCUUUAUAUUUGCUUCUCUUGUGCUUAAAUUUUUUGUGUUUAAAAAGAAUUUUUAAAAACUCAAUUCACCCCCUUCUUGGGAGUUUUUCUCUUUUAAGAUCAGCUUUUAUUUUCUCAAUUGGUAUCAGAACUAUGCCUCUUGUUUAAGACUUAAUCGUCUAAGAGGAAAUGGCUAAUCCAUCAAGUUCAUCUCACAUUGAAAGUUUUGCAACCAAUAGACUUCUUUUUUUUUUUUUGCGGGAACUGAUUAUCCCUAUUGGAAAACUAAAAUGACUUGGUUUUUACAAUCAAUUGAUUUAGAUGUAUGAGAUGCCAUUGAAGAUGACCUAACUUUUCCUUCAAAACUAGUUGAUGGAGUCAUGGUUCCAAAACCUAAGCAAGAAUGGGAUGAGCGUGAUUGAAGAAAUUUUCAAUUAAAUGCUAAAGUCGUUUAUACUUUGCAAUGCUCUAUGGACAGAAAUGAAUAUAAUAGAAUAUGUCAAUGCAAAUCGGUUAAAGAAAUUUGGAGAUUGCUUGAAAUAACUCAUAAAGGAACAAAUCAAGUUAAAGAGUCAAAAAUCAAUUUACUUGUUCAUAGAUAUGAAUUGUUUUUUAUGAAAGAUAAUGAAACUAUUGUUAAGAUGAUCACUAGGUUCACCAACAUUGUUAAUGGUCUUAAAGCCUUGGGAAAGACCUACAAGGAAUCCGAAAACGUGAUGAAGAUCUUGAGGUCACUUCCAUCAAAGUGGCAUACCAAGGUCACCGCAAUUUAAGAAGCAAAAGACUUGAUCAAGCUACCUUUGGAGGAGUUCAUAGGGUCAUUGAUGACAUAUGAAAUCAAUUUGGCAAAGAAGUAACAAAAAGGUGAAGACAAAAAGAAGAAGAACAUAACUCUCAAAGCUACAACUAAGGAAGAAGAAGUUGAAGAAGAAAAACAAAUUGAAGAAGAUGAAGAUUUAGCCCUCAUCACAAGAAAGUUCAACAAAUUCAUGAGGGGUGAAAGGUUUAGAAGAAGAAGGUUCACUUCUAGAAGAGACUUUUCUAAAAAGGAAUCUUCAUCUAAUGGUGACAAAAAGAGAUGGGAAGAGAAAAGAGACUUGGUGUGUUUCAAGUGCAAGAAACCGGGACACAUUAAAUAUGAUUGUCCUCUCUACAAAAGUGAAGUCAAGAGGAAAAAGAAUAAGGCAAUGAUGGCCACUUAGAGUGAAAGUGAAGAUGAAUCAUCCGAAGAAGAAAAUGAGAAAGAAGUGGCAAACAUGUGUUUCAUGGCAAUAGAUGAACUUGAUGAGGUAAAAUCUAACCUUAGUGAUUAAGAUAUACAUGAUGCAUUUGAAGAAUUGUAUGAGGAUUUUUAAAAACUUAGUUUGAAAAAUAUUUCUCUUAAAAAGAAAGUUCAACAACUUGACAAAGAACUUAGAGAAGUAAAAGAAAAAUUUUCAAAUGUUAAAGUUUCUAAAACUCAUCUUGAAAAAGAAAAUGAGAUUCUAAGAAAGAAAAAUGAAUAGUUGAACUCCUCUCUUUCAAUCUUUUCUUCUAGACAAAAAUCUUUUGAAAUGAUUCUAACUAGCUAAAAAUGUGUUUUUGACAAACAAGGGUUAAGAUUUAAAUCUUCAAAAAAUCAAAAGUAUUUUAAAAACUAUUUUGUAAAGGAAUCCACAAGUGCAAGUCCUUCCACUACUUGCAACUUUUGUGGAAGAGAAUGGCACAUUAGUAGUACGCCCUUUAAGAAAUGGUUCUCAAAAGAAUUUAAAUGCAAAAACUAAAAAAGAUUUGGAUUGAGAAAUCCAAGGUCACUAACCCUCAAGGACCCAAAAAGAUAUAGGUACCUAAAUCAACUUGAGUUUUAUGUUGUAAGGUUCAAAGAAUGAUAAGUGGUUCUUAGAUAAUGGUUGCUCAAGACACAUGACCGGAGAUGAAUCCAAGUUUGCUUUUCUUAAAAAGAAAAAUGGAGGAUAUGUUACCUUUGGAGACAAUGCAAAAGAAAGGAUGAUUGGUCAAGGCAACAUUGGUAAUGGCACAUCCUCUCUCAUUGAAAGUGUUUUAUUAGUAGAUGGUUUCAAACAUAACCUUUUAAGCAUUAGUCAAUUUUGCGACAAAGGUUUUUAAGUGAUUUUUUAAGCAUCUCAUUGCAUCAUCAAGGAUAUUCAAAAUGAUAAAACCAUUUUCAUGGGCCAUAGAUGUGAUAAUGUUUAUGCUAUAAAUAUUUCAAAAUAUGAUGGCCAUGAUAGAUGUUUUUCAAGCAUGCAUGAUCAAAGUUGGUUGUGCCAUAGGAGAUUGAGACAUGCUAACAUAGACCUCAUUUCCCAACUCAACAAAGAUGAACUUGUUAGAGGCCUUCCCAAAAUAAUUUUUUAAAAAGAUAAAGUUUGUGAAGCUUGUCAAGUGGGAAAGUAAAUCAAAAACUCUUUUAAAAACAAAAACUUCAUUUCCACAUCUAGGCCACUUGAGUUGUUGCAUAUGGAUUUAUUUGGUCCCUCUAGGACACCAAGUCUUAGAGGAAAUUCUUAUGCAUAUGCUAUUGUGGACGACUUCUCUAGAUACACAUGAGUCUUGUUUUUUAGUCAAAAGAAUAAAGUUUUUUAUGAGUUUUCAAAGUUUUGCAAUAAGAUUCAAAAUGAAAAAGGUUUUUCAAUUACUUAUAUAAGAAGUGAUCAUGGGAGAGAAUUCGAAAAUAUUGAUUUUGAAGAGUAUUGCAAUGAGCAUGGAAUUGACCACAAUUUUUUGGCUCUUAGAACUCCUCAACAAAAUGGGGUAGUUGAAAGGAAAAAUAGAACUCUUCAAAAAAUGACAAGAACCAUACUAAAUGAAAACAACUUACCAAAAUAUUUUUAGGCCAAAACGGUUAACACUUCUUGUUAUGUUUUAAAUAGAGUAUUAUUGAGGCUCAUACUUAAGAAAACUCCCUAUGAGCUUUGGAAAAACAAAAAACCCAACAUUAGUUAUUCCAAAGUCUUUGGAUGCAAUAUUUUAUAAUAAACACCAAAGACAAUCUUGGAAAAUUUGAUGCAAAAUUGGAUGUUGGAAUUUUCCUUGGUUACUCAACUUCAAGUAAAGCUUUUCGAGUUUUAACAAAAGAACCAUGGUUGUAGAGGAGUCCAUCCAUGUUAUUUUUUAUGAAUCUCCAAGAAAGAGAGAGGAUUGAUGAUGAUUUAGGUUUGAAGACCUCUAUAGGAAGAUUGCAAAUCGAAGAUAGAAGACAACAAGAAGAAAAUGGAGAGAAUCCAAAGAAAGAAGGAUCACCAUUGGCACUACCCCCUCAUCAACAAGCGCAAGGUGAAUCAAGUCAAGAGCUUCCUAAAGAAUGGAAGUUUGUCAUCAAUCACCCACAAGAUCAAAUUAUAGGCAAUCCAUCUAGUGGGGUAAGAACUAGAUCCUCUCUUAGAAAUAUUUGCAAUAAUCUAGCUUUUAUCUCUCAAAUUGAGCCUAAAAAUAUAAAUGAUGUUUUAGAUGAUGAAAAUUGGAUAAUUGCAAUGCAAGAAGAGUUAAAUCCAUUUGAAAGAAGUGGAGUAUGGGAAUUAGUACCAAGACCUUCAAAUCAAAGUGUUAUUGGAACUAGAUGGAUCUUUAGAAAUAAAAUGGAUGAAAAUAGCAUAAUUGUUAGAAAUAAAGCAAGAUUGGUAGCCCAAGGUUUUAAUCAAGAAGAAAUGAUAGAUUAUGAAGAAACCUUUGCCCCCGUAGCUAGGUUGGAAGCCAUUAGGAUGCUACUUGCCUUUGCAUGUUUUAAAGACUUUGUUUUAUAUCAAAUGGAUGUGAAAAGUGCUUUUUUAAAUGGUUUUAUAAAUGAAGAAGUAUAUGUUGAACAACCACCCGGUUUUCAAAGUUUCAACUUUCCUAACCAUGUUUUUAAACUUAAAAAGACACUUUAUGGUUUGAAACAAGCACCUAGAUCAUGGUAUGAAAAAUUGAGUAAAUUUCUUUUGAAAAAAAUGUUUUAAAAUGGGAAAAAUUGACACAACUCUUUUUAUAAAAACCAAAGAAAAUGAUAUGCUCUUAGUUCAAAUAUAUAUUGAUGAUAUCAUUUUUGGUGCUACUAAUGUCUCUCUUUAUGAAGAAUUUUCUAAGUGCAUGCAUAGUGAGUUUGAAAUGAGCAUGAUAGGAGAACUCAACUUCUUCCUUGGACUUCAAAUCAAGCAACUAAAGGAAUGAACCUUCAUCAAUCAAGCAAAGUAUAUAAGAGAUCUUCUCAAAAGGUUCAACAUGGAAGAAGCCAAAACAAUGAAGACUCUAAUGAGCUCAUCCAUUAAGCUUGAUAAGGAUGAGAAAGGUAAAUCCAUUGACUCUAUUAUGUAUAGAGGCAUGAUAGGUUCUUUGCUCUAUUUGACCACUAGUAGACCUUACAUUAUGUAUAGUGUGUGUUUGUGUACUAGAUUUCAAUCUUGUCUUAAAAAAUCUCACUUAAGUGUCGUGAAAAGAAUCCUCAAAUAUUUGAAAGGGACAAUGGACAUAGGCUUAUGGUAUCCUAAGAGUGAUAACUUUGAAUUAAUUGGUUUUUUGGAUGCUGAUUUUGUCAGUUGUAGGGUUGAAAAAUAAAACACUAGUGGCACUUUUCAUUUCUUAAGACACUUACUUGUCUCAUGGCAUAAUAAGAAGCAAAAUUUGGUAGCUUUGUCAACAGCAGAAGCUAAAUACAUAGCAACUGGUUUAUGUUGUGCACAAAUCCUUUGGAUGAAAUAAACACUUAGUGAUUUUGAUUUAUCUUUUGAGCAUAUUCCUAUUAAAUGUGAUAAUAGUAGUGCCAUAAGUAUAUCAAAAAAUCUCGUGCAACACUCUAGGACUAAGCAUAUAGAGAUUAGACAUAAUUUUCUUAGAUAUCAUACACAAAAGGAUGAUAUAACACUUGAAUUUGUAAGCAUAAAAGACCAACUUGCCGAUAUCUUUACAAAACCUCUAAGAACAUUUUGUUGAUAUUAGAGGACAAUUAGGAGUGAUUUCUUUAUGAUCUAAUGUGAUGAAUUCUUGAUGAAUAUACUUUUUGAUUGCAUGAAUUUCAUGUCAUAUAUGCAUCAUAUAGAAAUAUACUUAGAUAAUGGUCAAAUUUCGACCAAAAAUCAAAAUUCCCAUGGCAUUAGGCAUAAAAAUUUUGGAAUUUCAACUGAAAAUGGUAGGAGGAGGAUCACAAAAUGAGAAAGUAUGCAAAAAUUGAAAAAUCAAAACGUUGACCAAGCGGUCAAUCGGACUAGACCGAUCGACUAGUUUGUCGAGAUUUAGGAUUUUUAAGAGACUCCAACGCUUCAAUUUUUGCACCGUUCUCCUCUAUUUCUUCACGGUUUCUCUGAUUUUGUCUUUUAGAGACUAAUUUGAGUGCGUUUUGGAUCAAUUGAAGCAUUUUGGAUUGGAUUUUAGGAAGAUUGAAAGUUAAGGUUUCGGAUUUGGGUCGCCUUCUCUUCCUCUCGCGUGUCACAAUCAGCUUUAGCAUUGUUCUCUUUCCAUUUUCACACACCUAGGGUUUCAGUUGUGAGCAUCUCUCUCUCUUUACCAACCACUACUCCCUUGCUUCUUCCAUAUGGCUCCUAGGCGAGAGUCCGCUACUUCUAGGGCACAAGGCAAGCACCCAACUGAGUCGUCUCAGUCAAAGGCACGUCGAAAAGUGAGAUUUGACAUUGCCUUGUUCAGUUCCAUGGAGGACUACCAACUAUACAAGCAACACUUUGCUUAGAGACGAGUAGUUCCCAAGAGAAAUAUUAAUUUUCCUCAACUUCAGCAUUUCGAAUUUAAGGGUCUAUUUACUAGGAUGGUUGGUUGUCUAUUGUCACAAUUUCGGAGCCGGUUUUCCUGACCUUAGUGCGAGUUUUUUACUCGAGGGCGACUUAUGGCAUGGGUGGCAUGAUCAUUUCUACUGUUGGAGGAGUUGAGAUCUGUCUGGACCCAGAGAGCAUCUGCCAUAUUUUCGAUAUUGCUCUGGUUGGACUCAAAGUAUACAAGUCCAAAAUGUGGCCCAUUGUGCCAGGAUUUGAGCUUAGAGAGGUCAUUCAGAGGAUUUGUGAACUUCCAGACGCCCAGGAGAUGGGCAAACCAUUGCCACACAGUUUGACGGUCAUCAACAGGGUGCUACACCAUAUAUUGUGCUCUAUCUUUCUACCACGAAGUGGACAUUGAGAUGAGGUCUCUUAUUAUGAGGCAUUCCUUAUUGACUCCAUUCUAACGGAGAGACGAAUUCAUCUACUAUGUCAUCAUUCACUAAGCCUCCUCACAGUGACAUACCACCUCAUCAGGCACCUCUUGCUCCUGACCAUGCUCCAUUGAUGGAUUUAUUUACUCAUAUUAGCUCUCUAGGCACUCGCAUGAAGGAGUUUGUUGUAGUUAGUGAUACAUGGUUCUACUCCAUAGAGGAUCGCAUGGAUCAGUAUCAGACUGGCUUCACGUCACAGUUUGAGUAUCUCCAAUAGAGGAUUGAGCAUAUUGAGGAUCACUUGAGCAUGAGAAGAUGAUGGCUUUUCUAUGCUCUGUGUUUCCACCUCCACCUCGUCAACCUUGAUUUCUUAGAGACCCAUUGUUUUCAUUUUGUAAUGUUGCCAAAAGGGGGAGAUAUUUAGGAUCUAGGACUCUAUAGGAGACUUACAUGCAUAUCAUUUUCAUAUCAUUGUUUGGAUCGUACAUAUUGGAUAGUGAUACUUUUUACUUAUAUAUGAUAUGCCUAUAUGUUUCAUGUCUUACAUUGUUUCUUAUUGCAAAUUAUCUCUAACAUGUCUUGAUUAUCUUUUUUUUAACUUCAUAAAUUUUGAUUGUUAACCCAUGAUUGGUUUGAGGGGAAGAUUCUUCUUCUCCUAGAUAACCAAGGUUUGUCAUCAUAAAAAAAUUGGAGAUUGUUAGCCCAAGGGUUCUCCUAAUCAUGUUUUGAUGAUAACAAACCAUGCUUAAGUUACUAAUUGGUUUGAAUUAUAAAGAAUUUCAAGUGUUAAUUUGAAAAUUCAUCAAAGAACCUAAUGGAUGCAAGAUCAAGAUUUUUGGAAGACCUUUAAUCAUAAGAAACAUAUGUAAGAUGAAUGCAUGGGUGCACUUAAGAUUUGCAUAUCAUUUCAUGCAUAUUUGGAAAACACGGUUUAUGCUUUAAAGUUACAUUUCCAUCAAAAUUUGAGAUCCAUCAAAUGAACCUUAGGAAAAAUGUUUUAAAAUUGGCAUAUAAUUUUACCUAAAGACCUUGCCUAAGUGUUAGAAGCAAAAGGACAAAAAAAAUAUAGGUUUUCUGGUCAAAAAUGGUGAACCAGUCAAGGCAUUGUCUAAAUCAGCUCAAUCGGCCAAGGUACCGGUCGAUCGGUUUCCCUUUCCCUGUCGAGAUCUAGUCAAGAGGUACAAAAAUCACAAUCUCUGUCUCUUUCUCUCUUUGUCUAUCUUCCAGUAGUCUUUCCUUCCCGGUCGAGGGAUUUGCCUUCCCGAUUGAGGUCCGAUUGAGAGUAAUAGUCACUUGCCAAAUAUUAAAUGCUCCAACAGUUAGUGAACUGGUCGACCCCCACCUUGCCCAGUUGAGGUUACUUUUUGGUUUUCUUGGCUCCCGAUGUUAGAAACCUAUAAAUAGAGAGUUCCACUUCAUUUAUGAGCAAGAGAACACUUGCAUUUAUUUGUUUACCUACUUGUUCUUGCCUUAAAAGCUCUCAUUUCUUUUCUUGGUGCAUUAAAUCUCCAUUUUGAUAUCCUUUAGUGCACCUUUGUGAUUCAUCUUAGCCUUGAGUUGUAUUUGAGCCCUUUUUUUAGCUAGGUUGAGAGUUUCAUACUUGUUAAUUGAGUGUUAAAGCCUUCAAGUGAGUUGAAACUUGUAGAGAUUAUGUGAGAGUCGAUUGGAGCCGAAAUCCAAGUGUAAAGGUGAUUAGAAGCUUGGUUGAAGCUUCAAGUUAGUGGAAUCCUCACUCAAUUAGGAGCUUGAGGAGAGUGGACGUAGCCAAGGAAGUGUCGAACCACUAUAAAAUUUGAGUUUGAUUUCUCUAACAUUGUCUCUUUAUAUUUGUUUAUCUUGUGCUUAAAUUUAUUGUGUUUAAAAAGAAUUUUUAAAUACCCAAUUCACCCCCCUCUUGGGUGUUUUUCUCUUUUAAAAUUAGCCUUUAUUUUCUCACAAACUAUUGUAGUAUAGUGGUUUUUAGGUGUCAUCCAUUAGGAUGAAUUGUUCUCGGUAAUUAAGGCGUGAAUGAGAGGAGAAUUAAUGAUUGUGAUUAAGUAAAAUUGAUUUGAAAAUUCAUGGUGAAAAAUCAAUUUAACAAUGGUUUCUAAUUGAGAAAAACAAUGAAAUGUGAAAUAAAAUAAAAUUAAUAGGAAAUGAAAUUCUCGAAGUUAGAAUUUUCUAAAAAACAAAUUCCAUGGUGAAUGGAUGUUGAGAUCUAAUUUUCAUCAAGUUAGAUUGAAAACCGAAAUUUUCAUAUAAACUGAUUUUUUAUUUAGUUUUAGGUCUAGAUUUAAUUUCCCUUAAAAUUAGGUUAUUUAAUCCAAGAAAUCAAUUCAAAUCAUAUAUUCAAUUCAUCUUAAAUUAUCUUCCAAUUAUUCACACAAUGCAACUAUUCAAUCUCAUCAAAUCUAGCUUUUAAGAAUUUAAUGAAUCUACCUAGUUUGCAUUGUAAUAGUCAUCCAUGACAAUUUGAAGAGAAAAAUAAUUCAAUUAAUCAAUCACUUGGAUCAAAUUACCUUUGCAAUUAAAGUUCAUUUCUCUAAUUCACCACAGAUUUUGUCUCUAGAUCCUCCUUUCUCAAAGAAAAAUGAGAUUUAGCCACACAUGAUUGGAGAUUUGGUCUCAUAAGGCAUGUUUAGCUAGUGAUAAAAUGAGAGAAAAUAAAGAAAAAUAGAGAAUUCGAUUAAGAAAGAAAAUCUAAAAAAUUCUACAAUUAGAAAUGUCCAAAAAGCUUUUUCAUGAGAAAAUCAAGUUUCUAUUUAUAGGCCAAGGUCAAGUGGACACUUGACAUCAUCUAAGAGGUCUUCCGGAAGCUUCUUCAUCAAGAAAUCUGGAGUUUAAUAAUAAAAUGGUCAUUUCACAAGAGCUCAAACAAUUUCGCAUGAUUAUGUGAAAUAAAAAAUGCAACAACAGCAAUUUACAUCUUCUUGGAGCAUUUCGCAUGACUGUGUGAAAUUUUCACAUGAUCAUGUGGAAUCGACUUGACAACUCUCAUUUAGCCUACAACAUAAUUCCACCUUUUGGUCCAUUUUUCAUAGUCAUGCGAAAUGGAAAUAUUUGAUUUUUAAGUUUUCUUUUGUCAUUUCUUUCAUUUCCUUCUCUUGAUUCCACUUCAACUACCUCCGAAUCCUGGUCCAAACCAAUUGCAUUACUUCUUUCAUUAUGCAUUUGGAUCAUCAUCAACAUUAUUUGUUCUCUUCAAUUUGAUUCAUCUCUUUUGUCACCAAUUUAUCAAAAUCAUACCUUGAAAUGACUCCAAAACUUCAUAAAACUUGUUAGUAACUCUUGCAAGGGCAACAACAUAUUAAUUAAGUGUUUUAGGCAUAGUUACUACUCAAAAGAUGCGAAACUCAUGAUAAUUAUUAUAUAAAAUAUGCUCUUUUUGAGUAGUAAUCAACUUUCUUGCAUAAGCAGACCUUUUAGGGUGGAGUACUAAAGACCAAUAUGCUUGUCCUUGUUGUAAUAAAGAAACUUGCUCUUAUUGAUUGCACCAUGGGAGAAAAUUUUGCUACAUGAGUUAUCAUCAAUUUCUUCCCACCAAUCAUAGAUUUAGACGUGACAAGAGGCCUCUUAAUGGCAAGGAGGAACUGACACUCACACUUAUACAAUUAUCGGGCAUUGAUGUGUUGCAACAAUUAGAAUAACUUACACCAAUUAUGUUGGGGAAGUCACAAAAGGCAAACAUGAAAACUAAAAGGAAAAAAGAAAAAUGUUACAUAUCACCACAACUGGAAAGAAAAAAGUAUUUACUUUCAUUUGCCAUAUUGGAAAGCACUUAUUUUACAUCAUAAUAAUUUAGACAUAAUGCAUAUUGAGAAAAAUGUGUGACAAUAUAAUUGAGACAUUGUUCAGUAUUGACGAAGAAACAAGGACAACCUAAAUAGUCAUCUCGAUUUACAAGCUCUAACUAUUAGAAAUGAGAUUCACCCAAUAGAAAGCAGGACCAAAUUUAUUUUGCUUGCAACAUGCUACUCACUCACCCCAAAUGAGAUUAAGGAAUUUUGCAAGUUUUUGAAAUCAAUAAAGGUCCCCAAUGGCUAUUCUUUCAAUAUCUCUCGUUAUGUGCAACUCAAUGAAAGGAAGAUAUAUGAGCUCAAAUUGUAUGAUUGUCAUGUCCUAAUGCAACAACUUCUCUCACUUGUAGUUCGUGGAGUUCUACAUAAGAAUGUUUGUGGAGUUAUCAUAGAAUUGCGUAAUUUUUUCAAGCAAUUGUGCUCAAAGGUGUUAGAAACAAAUCACUUACACCAACUUGAGAACAAUAUUAUUGUCAUACUAUGUAAAAUGGAGCAAAUAUUUCUUCCAUCAUUCUUUGAUAUUAUGGUGCAUUUACUUGUGCAUCUAGUAAGGCAAAGGUUGCAAGACUUGUGCAAUAUUGUUGGAUGUACCUAAUUGAACGAUAUUGUUAUAAUUUCAUAUGAAUCAUUUAAUUUUAUUUUAUAUUAUGUUCAGUUCAUUAACAUGUACAUUGGUCUACAUAUGGAUGAUGAUAGGUACCUAAGCACUUUAAAGUCAUAUGUGCGUAAUAGAACUUUUCUAGAAGGUUCUAUUGUAGAAAGGUACCUUGCAAAAGAAUGUACAACAUUUUAUUCUAGGUACUUGAAUGAUGUGGAAAUAAAGUAUAAUCACAAUGAUAGAAACUUUGUUGGUUUCAACACUAGAGGAGAUGAAAGGGGUUAUCUUUAAACAUAUUGGACAUGCAUUGGGAAAGCCCAUAUUUCAUUAACUUAGUUCAAAAGAGUGGUCACAAGCACAUUUAUAUGUGUUGACAAAUUGCGAAGAUGUCAUACCAUUCAUUGAGUAAAAAAUUUAUUUGAAUUUUAAUUAAAGCUCUAGUUUAUAUCCUUAAUCAAUGUUUUUUAAAUUCACAAGGAGCACAAGCAAACCAUCAAGGCUAGACCACAUAUACGUGUUUGAGACGUAGAUUUAAUUCAUAACAAGGAAUUUAUCAAGUGGUUUGAAAGACAUGUAAGUAUAUUCCUUAUUAUAAGGGAUUUAUUUCACAUUAUGUUUAUAUUGAAUCCAAACCUAUUAUUGAAUUGUAGGUUGAACAAUUACAUAAUGAAGGUCAUAUAUCUGAACACCUUCUCACAUUAUCAUGUGUUCCAAAUUCAUUAGUUACAUGCUUCAAAUGAUAUAUUGUCAAUGGAUUUAGAUCCCACAUUAAAGAACGUGAUAAAAAAGUUUUUAAAAAAAGACUCAGAAUAAUGGAAUUGUUGUAGUUGCAAAAACGUCAAGCUUUACAAGUGCAUGUGAUAUGAGUCCAAUUAUUAGUGAUGCUCUCUACUAUGGUGUUCUAACUAAAGUUGUUGAGUUACAUUAUCUUGGUGAAAAUAAGGUUGUUUUAUUCGAGUUUGAUUGGUGGGAUGUUACAAAUAUUGGAAAAUUGAUAAAAGAUGAUGAGUACAAUUACACAUUUGUUAACUUUGCAUGAAUUCUAACCACGAACGAACGAUUUGUACUUGCAUCUCCAGCAAAGUAAGUGUUCUAUGUGAAGAAUGCGAAUGAAUCAGAUUGGCAUACUAUCAUGGAGAUGCAACCUCAAGACCUCUAUAAGAUGAACGGGAUAGGAUCCAAUGGUGAUUUUGAACCAUUUCAACAAAGUGAACUACAUGAUCACUAAUAUAUCUCAGAUUUAGUUGAUGAAGAUAUAAUCAAGUGGAACAAAAGUGAUGUUUUAGGACUAAUCAUCCUAAAAAAUAUUGUAGUUUCUUAAAAAAAAAAUGAAAAUGAAGAAGAUAAUUGAACCUUUGUCAUACUUUAAAAAGCAACUAUGCAUUGUUCAUUUUGUAUGUUUUGGUUUUCUUCAUUUAAUUUCCUGAUUUUUGUGAUUCAAUGUCAUAUUAUUGAUCUUGAAAUAUUUUUCUAAUUUUUCAUUCUACGAUGGUUUCAACAAGGAUGACAUCAAGUCAAAAAAGGAAAUGUGGUCCCACACACAAUAUUGCAUUACAGGGAUUAAGGUCAGGGAAGAAGGUAAAAGUUGCAUUUAAUGAGUACAAUCAAUUGGUUAAACAGAAAAAUGGAAAACACUUAUCGAGCUACAUAGGGACACUUGUAUCUAACCAACACAAUGUACCUCUCCAAGCUAGUGAUUGGAAAAAUGUUCCAAAUGAUGCAAAAGAGAAAGUAUGGCCUUUGUUUUGGUAUGUUGUAUUUCUCACUAUAUGAUGUCAUUUCACUGUUAUUCUAUUUUGUGACUAACGUUUGAAUCAUAUGUAAGAAAAAUUUGAAGUAGAUAAAGACUGAAAAGAUUACAUGUUGGGUAUAGCCUCAAAUAAAUAUAGAAGCUAUAAAAAUAUGAUGAAUGCAAAAUACUAUGACCCUUGGCAUAAGGAUGCAUGAGGAGAGGUUAAUACAUAAAUCACCAUUUGUCUCUGAUGUUGAUUGGAAGUGGCUUGUCUCUGAUGCAUAAACCAAAUCCCCCACUGAAUGUUUGAUAUUUGAUAGCAGGAAAAACACACCCGCAGCUAUACACCUCCAUCAUUCAGAUAAUUAUAGUGGGGGAGAUGAUUCAUGGUUGCCCUUAUACCCUUUAUUUGCACCAUCUAUUGAGAUUCUUUAUCAUGGCCAGGUUUUACUGCAGCAAUAAGAUAUGGUGGCAACAAUUUUAUCUAUAGGUGCGGUUCCAGACCGCCUCCAUAGGUGCGGUUCCUGACUGCCUCCAUAGGUGCCUCUUCUUGUAAUGUUUGUUCUGGGAAUUACACUUGAAAGCCUUAUCGUGAUAAGGGAUUACAAACACUAGUUCAGAGGACAGCCAUGUUAAACUUCCACUAUGUUUGUGUCACAUUAUCAGCAGCCUAGUGUUUAUUGGUCAUGCUAUCUGCAACUAAUAUAACCCGGUGAACUUCAAUCUAAAUUCUGAAAGUACUCAUGUGACAGAUGGUGCCUUUCAGCAGAUAUCAUCAAUUUAAAAGUAGUGUGUGUGCCUAUAGGUGGGAAGGCCUUGGCAAAUGUUCAGUAUUCCGGUAAUUCAAGAAGGAUAUAUCUAAAAUAGAUUUUCUUCUUGCCCAUUUCAAUAGUUAAAAUUUGAGAAGAUUGUGUCCACAUCACACAAAUAUUAUUGGUCCUUCUGUUGCAAUUUACCUCUGAACAUGUCUUCCAAUUCCCACGGUCCUGUUACUCCAGGAAAACUAUUUCGGUCAUAUUGAAAAAAAAAAUAUUAAAGAAGGUACACAUGCUUUUAAGUGGACUGGGGCAUUCAUAUCAGGUGGUCUGUAUCCACAUAUGCCACUUCGUGAAAGGUGGAACAGCCUAAUCACUAGGCUAUUUAGUGUGGCCCAGCCACGUUAAUCAAGCACAAGUCUUCAUACUUAAAGUCAAAUGGUGUCUUUAGUCUCAUUACACAUCGCUAUUUGAAGAUUAACUCAUCACUAGUGUAAUGCGAUUAAGACAGUCCUAACUCAAUAUUUGUUCUAGUUUUGGAUGCAAAUGCUUGCUGGUUUCAUCAUUGGAUGGGAUAAAGGUGCAAUCAGGACUAUGAAUACGUGCAGUAAUACUUCAUUCUCUUUUUUCUCAAUGAGACUUCUUGGCACAAUUUUGCUGCUCAGCAACCUACCUUUCCAUGGAAAAUCAGUUGUGACUGAUAGUAAUGGAUAUAUUCUAGAAAGCUAAACAUAGAUAGCAUUCAAUAUUAUCGAUAUAACAUUAACAGCGUAUGUCUCAAUGCUCAUCAGCUACAAGCAAUGGACAAACACUUUGAGUAACUCACAGCAGUCAAAAUUCCUAAACAGGACAGACGUGACAGAUCUAUAUAUAGAACACUGCAUAUGAGUCACAGGAAAAGAUAAUACGGGUACAUAGAAGCUCUUAUUUUACAUAUUACUCAUACUGAUCAAAGUCGCUCAGUUGGGAUGGAUGGGAGAAGGAGGUUUGAGGGGUGGCUUGUGCGGGGAAGUUGGCAGCUUCUUUCCGGGAGCUGGUUGCUUCUUUGCUGGAGUUGAAGGAGGCUUAAUCUUCCGAGGUGGCUUGUAUGAGUCUUCAGCAUUCUCAGCAGGAGGGUGACCAGGGUUGUGACCAUAAUGUGGUGGCUUCUCUCCCUUAGGUGGUUUGCCAACUGGGGUUGGUGGCUUGUUUUCUGGGAGUGGCUUCUCUCCCUUGGGUGGUUUGCCAACUGGGGUUGGUGGCUUGUGUUCUGGGAGUGGCUUCUCCCCCUUGGGAGGUUUUUCGAAUGGGGUGGGUUUGUGUCCUGGUGGUGGCUUCUCUCCCUUGGGAGGUUUACCAAUUGGGGUCGGUGGCUUGUGUUCUGGGAGGGGCUUCUCUCCCUGGGGAGGUUUAGUGGGUGGCUUGUGUUCUGGAGGUGGCUUCUCCACCGGAGGCUUAUGCUCUGGUGGUGGCUUCUCGAAGGGGGGAUGCUCAGGGUAAUCACCAAGUGAGGGGGUGGUGAGAACCACCAUGCCAAGCAACAACACUAGCAAGUAUGUAGUAGACAUCUUUGGGUUUGGACUCAGACAGUGCAAAACUACGAGAAAUCGCUAGCCCUUUAUAGCGGCUCGGACCUAAUACUGACAUAAUAUAAAAUAAAUAUUAUAUUUUAUCAAGAGAGAACAGAGUGUAAUUUUAUCAUUAAUACCGAUCGAGGCCAAAGAAAGAAGACCCAUAAUCCAUUUCCCACAAGCAUACACAAUGCAGCUGUAAUUUUAUCAUUUACUUUUAUCCCUUGGACCACUGCAUUUUUGUUGAGAGACACAAUAACACAUUUUUAUCUGUCAUUCAACAUUUACAGUAAAGAGAGGGCACAAAACGCAAUUAGAUAAAUUAUGUUUUGCCUGCUAAAAAGAGGCAAAUAACUUUAUUUGCAACAUAAUUAUUUUGGUUUCUAGUGACCCCGGGGCCUUUCGGUUGGUUUGGGAUCGGAAAAUGAACAUCAUAGGGGGGGUUGUGCCCUUAUGGGCAUAUAUAUCUGAUAGCUUCAACUGGCCUUGUUCCUAGAAAGAAAUUGCCAAAGAUAUAAACUUAUUCCAGGCUGAAAGUAGAUGAGAGUCAUAAUGAACAUCAACCUUUGUUCAGUUUGAUUCAAUGCCCCCAUAGUGUUCAUUUCACAGAUCUGAAUGAUUAUAUCCGUUGAAUACAUAAAUUAAUGAAGACAAAUAUGAAACCCAAGAUACAUCUCUGCAUAACAACCCCAACCCUGGUUGCUAUGUUUCCCUUCUUCUAUUCACAUGAGGAUACUGGUUAUAAUUGUCAAACUUGCAACAAGCCCUUUGACACCUAACGUCAAUGGACGAAUUAAAAGUCUCCUUCAAACGUCUAUUUCACAGCAUGAAGCUUAUAAAGGAUGCUGACAACCUUCAGAGUUAGCGACAAAAGAUAAUUAUCAAGGAGAGAUAGUUCCAUGAGAAUUCCAAGGAGUCUGAAUCAAAGACAAAUUGCUCACUCAAGGGUUCUUAUUUUCUUUUAGGUACAAAUCUCUUGAGUGUUGUUAAAGAAACACGUCACUGUCAUUUUGAUUUGCAUUUAACAUUUCACUUUUGUUCUGGAAGGUUUGUUCCGGAAACAUAUCAAAUGAGCAUCAUUUUCUUCUUCGGUGACACAUGGUCGCGAGUACGUGGGUCCAUUUUCAUGCCACUUAGUUGAAAAGUUGGAAAGAAAAAACAUGCCAACAAGAAGAUAGUGAGAGAAGGGGCACUUCAAGCCUUUAACAUGAACAAACAGUAAAUAAAAGAUGUUUCUCCACUCAUAAAAGUGUGUUAGAUAGCAAUAUAACGAAUCACAUCCAAAAUCUUUACUAGGCUCAAACAUAAAGAAGACUCAUUUUUAAGAAAAGAUAAAAAUGGCAUUGUCUGAUAGUAUCCAAUACACGAGAUGGCACUUAAUUUGUACAAGAUCUGUCAAUGCUGACGCACAUUUUCUGAUUAAAAAAAAACUGAUCAGUCAAAAGCAAUGAAGAGAAGUGAUGACAAUGAAUGAUGCUUCCAAUAUUUUCACCCCUUAUAGUGUUCUUCAUGAUUCAGAUAUAUAAUUGGAAAUAGAACAACCCUAUGCCAUACAUUCGUCUAAGUAUGGUGUCUAAUUUUUUGUGUCAGCGGUUGCGAAUGGAGCGUGCAAAAGUCCAAAUUGGCGUCUCUCCAUUUCCACAUAGGAAGGUGACCUUUAUUGACAAAUACCCAAUAUUUGUAGACAUUCCUUAAAUAUCAUAACUUCUUGUUGAUUUGAAAAUCAUUUUUCAACUACCAUGUUUUAAUAAAUAUUUUUUAAAAUGUAUUUUUAUCAAAGUCCACCAUGAUGGAUAAUAUUCACCAUGCAAUAAUUAAUAAAGUACAAACUAAGCGAAAUGAAAAGCAUUUUCUUUGCUUUGAGUUGAUUUUGGUUGCAUUGAGUUGAUUUUGGUUUCAUGGUUUUUUCAACUCUUAUUUUGAUUGGAAGAUGUCAAGAAAAGAAAACAUAAAGAAAAAUUAAAAGGGAAAAAAGAAGAAAAAUAAAAAAAAAUAGAUUUAAAAGUUAAUAAAUUAUUUUUUAUAUUUAUUUUAAUUCAUUUCACUUAUUUUUCUUUUACUAUAUAAAAUUUAAAUAAUUUAAAUUUUAUAAUUAAUUUAAUUACAUUUCAUUUUCUUCUAUAUUUAAAUAUUGGAAAAAUAUUUUACUUAAUAUUUUUUUCUUUAAUUUCUUUGGCAUUUUGGGAACCAAACUUAGCCUUUAAAAUAAAAAACAAAAAAAAAAUGAAAAUAAGGAGGGAAAAGUGAGAAAAGAUAAAAACAAUAUGUAAAGGAUUUGAAAAGUAUUAGUUUGUAAUUACUAUUUGGAUUUCAAUAGUAUUUUAUUUGUCUUUCUAUAUUUCAUGUAAGAGAGAAUUUAAGAUAUUCCCCAAGGCAAAGCAUUAGUUACCUGCAAUCAGUGGUGAUAAGGCUCCAAGCCAAUUUUGGGCCCCAUAUCUUAAGACAGUACAAUUUCCAUUUCAACAUUUCUGAUUUCUCAGAUGUUUCACAUACCACAGAAGAACAUUGUUUGUGAAAAUAUGCAUUUAUGUUGGAUUUUGUAUGCUGUGGGGACUGGGGCAAGGAUCAUAUGGAAGAGUGGUUGACUUUUUCUGUACUUUAACGGUUGAAAUAGGAUAAGCACGGGCAUUUGUGAGGCUUAAUUGAUUUUGAAGCCUGAAAUUGCGUUUCUGUCAUUUUGUCAAAAAAAUGGCAGAUUCCAUACUCAUAUGUUUGGCCUGUGGCCAUGUACAGAUGCCAUUUAGUGACCAGUUUGUAACUGUCAAUCGUUGCGUUUUGACUCUGCCUCAACAACAUCUGCCAUUGACGGGUUUUCAUACUUGCAAAUCAAAUAGUCUUUCGUCCCAUCAGGAAUUUCGGUUUAAAUAUUAUUAAGCAUACGUUUGGCUGACAAUCAUUAUCCAGUUCAUGAUUUGGUUUCUUACCCUUAAUCAAUGGUUUCUAAGUGAAUAUAUGUAGAAGGAAAUCCGAAGUGUAGACAGUAGUAUCGAUAACUCUCAAUAUUCUCUAUAUAAUAGAAUAAACAGCGUCAUAGUGAUCGUCGCCUACAAGCAAGGUACAAAUACCAAAACGAGUGACUCACAUAGACAUCUCCCAACAAGAUGUAGUAGUGACUGACACAUGGACACAAUUAACUCGUAGAAAAGGAUAAGACCAUUGCACAGCAGCUCUUAUUUUACAUACUACUUAUGCUAACCAAAGUCAAUUAGUUGGGAUGGGUGGGAGAUGGAGGUUUGUGCGGUGGCUUGUGGGGCGGAGUUGAUGGCUUCUUUCCAGGAGCUUCUGGCUUUUUCAUCGGAGCUGAAGGAGGCUCAAUCUUAUGAGGCGGCUUGUAUGAGUCUUCUUUACUCUCGACAGGAGGGUGGCCAGGGUUGUGAUCAUAAUGUGGUGGCUUCUCUCCCUUAGGUGGCUUGCCAACUGGGGUUGGUGGCUUGUGUUCAGGAAGUGGUUUCUCUCCCAUGGGAGGUUUAGCAAUUGGGGUUGGUGGCUUGUGUUCUGGGAGUGGCUUCUCUCCCUUGGGAGGUUUAGUAGGUGACUUGUGUUCUGGAGGUGGCUUCUCCACCGGAGGCUUGUGCUCCGGUGGUGGCUUCUUGGUUGGAGGGGGCUUGGGGUAAUCAGCAAGAGAUGGGGUGGUGAGAACCACCAGUCCAAGGAACAACACUAGCAAGUAUGUGGGAGACAUUUUUGAGUUUGGGCUGAUCAGAUGAUGCAAAACUAAAGCAUUACGUGACCUUUUAUAGCAUGUAGCUCCCAAUACCCACUAAGUAUUGUGGGGUCCAUUUGUGCCCUACGGGGUUGAAAACUUAGACAAUUGGGCAAGGACCCACCUGACUAUGGAGGACUAGUGAGGUGUGAUCAUAGCUUUAGGAUUUUUCUUCCUCUGCAGCCGUCGUGCCGUUGGCAUGAUUUUCUUAAUCUUAAAUAAAGGCAUAGUUAUAGAGUUGUUUAAUCUCUAAAUGGGAUUUUAUAUAUAUCUUCAGAUAGCCAUUAAUAUAUUUGAUGAAGAAAGAAAGACAAGUGCAUACAACAUGUAUACGACUAGCUUUCAUGGAGUUCAUUUAUGAUCAGUUUUCCUGUACAUGUAAACCAGGAUCAUAUAUAUGUUUCUGUUCCACAACUAUUUUGGAAUCUUGUUUAUCAGUUUUUAUCAUUAUAAUGUCACAUAGGCUGCCAACUUGGGCGCUAAAAGAACCAGUUGGGCUAGUUCGUUUCAGAAUUUCAAUGUGGAUUCAGGAAUUGUUUUGUAAGAUAUGCGAAAUAGUAGAGGGAUGAAUAGUGUUUCAUUAAUAAAAGUGUCCUGUAAAUUAGAAGGUGUCAUAGAAACUAUAAUCAAUAAAUAACUUUUUUUCCCCACGGGUGGUGUUUCUUGUGGGGAUCAGUGACUGGUUUAGGUUCACCCAAAAUGAGUUCAGACUAAAAUUGGUUUGAGUCAAUGCCGUGUCUCUUUUUUCCAGAAAUCAACUAUUUUAUGCAUUGAAUAAAUCAUACAAAGAAAAUAUGAACGCCCGCAAAACCUAAACCCUGGUUGCUAACUUUCUAUGUUUCAGUUCUAUUCACGCAAGAAUAUUAGUUUAAGUUUGGGAAAAAUGGCAACUUACCUAGUGAUUACUUGGUUUUGGUUUGCGACUAUUUACGCAACCAACCAUGAGUUUGACUUUAACGUCAUGGGUUGAAGCCUCCUACAGGAAGGGAGAAAGCUCCACAGCUAGCUCCAAAAGAGAAUUAUCACAUUGAUAGCUCCAGAGAUUCCCAAGGGGACUGAAUCAAAGACAAGUUCCUCACUUUUUCUUCUUUUGAGGCCAAAUAUGAACCAAGGAUCACACAACCUCAUUCAACUUCAUAAGUUUGAUUUCAUGCAGUUGAACACUGGGUGAAGGCCAUGACAAGAAUUGAUUCAAAAAUUCUAUCACUCUUUUAAGUAAUGGAAGAUUAUUAUCUCUGAUUGGCAUCACAACAGCACAUGCUCCUAGAUCUUUCUAGACACUCCAUGCAAUGAAAGCACAAUGGAUCUUGUAACGAUAGAAACUAAGCCAUGCUACAGUACUAGAUGAUGAGGUAAAACUAGUAGACACGGGUGGCAGCCUAUAUGGGAGGGACACAAGUCUAAUUGAUUUGCAUUUCAGCAUUAUAGAUAGGUAUGUUUUGGAAGAUUUGUUCUGGAAAUACCGCACCAAGUAGGAUUCUUUUUCUCUUUAGUGGGUCCACUUGCAUGCCAAUUAACGAGUUGAAAAGUAUGAGCACCUACCUCGUGCUCGUGGAACCGAAGGUCAGUGAAGUGGGGCUCCUUUUGGCCUCGUGUAAACUUGAUUCAGAAGUGAAGUUAAUAGUCUUCCAUUCAGAUGGAUACAUGGGAAUUUUUCUCUUUUAUUUAUUUAUUUAUUUUUUUUUUGUGUGUGUAUGUCAAAGGAUAAUGAAUGAAGCGCGUUAGCUUGUUUUCUGACUGGAACCGCAGAUGUCCAAAUUGGAGUUCCUUCAUUUCUUACUUAGGAUUGUUACAUGUAUAAACAAGGUAUAAGAAAUAUGCCAACGUGUCUUGAGGAGUUAUUGAUUAGAAAUAACAAGUCACCCGACUGUAGAGUUCCAAGAUUUGAAUCUUCAGACCCUAUAGCAGCCUCUGGGGUACGUGGCAUCCUAUAGCAUAUUAAUGAAGGCUUUUUCGAUUUAGACUUCACAAUACCAAUUAAUAUGUAUGCACAAAAUGGAGAUGACCCCAAAAAAAACAGAAUCGCCAUAGUUUAUGAGGUUAAGGUGAUUCUCCACUUAAUAUCUACAUUAGCUAAUUAUGUAAAUCAAAUGAACUUCUAUUUUUCCUUUUUUUUUUUGGUUUAUGUCAAAUAGUAGCCCAUAAUUAACCCAACCAUUAGCCUGUUUGAAUUGAUUUCACAUGCACAAUGUUGUAGUAGUUCAUAUUUUGAAUUUUAUUUUUACAAAGGUAGUUAAGGAAAAUGAAGUAUAAUAAUUAUAAAAGCAGACUAUAUACACUACAAUAAUUGUUAGAAUGGUAUCUCAAAUUCUAAUUUAAAAUAUUAUUUUUUGUAAAAGAAAUAUUAUAUAGAAUAUUUCCUAAUUUUAUAAAUGAUUAUAAUUAGAUCUUUAUAAAAUAAGGAAAGUUGGUAAGAAUAUCUUUAUAAAUAUUUUAGGUCAUGAGAGAAAGAAAUGGGAUAAAAAUGUGAUGAAGAGGUGAAAUAAGAGAGUUGAUUAGGAUAUAGAUGUGAAGAAGAAAGGGAUUCAAUAUAUAUAUAUCUUUCAAUUACCACAUUAAAACCCUGUGAACCUUUUAUAUGGUUUACUUUAUUUUUAUAUUCCUCCUUUAAUAUAUUUACAUUAAUGCUUCCAUUGGCACAACAAUAACGAAUUACAAAUACAAGCAACAAGUCCCAUGUUUUAUUACCAAAAGCAGGUAAAAUCCACCUAAUAUAUUACAAUAUAUUCAUCCAAUAUUUUAGACCAAUUCUUCACCAUAAAUAUCAUAAUGUGGCUUUUGUUCUUUCUUAAAUUUAAAUUGAAUUGUCUUAUAUCAAUUUGUUUGUGAUUUUUUCAUUAACUUCACUUUCAUUUGGUUAUCUUUGGUUUUUGAAAAGUAUUAAGGAAUUAAUUAACAAAAUAAUGUUAAGAAAAAUAAUUUUCUCUCUUUUGAUUUUGAUUUUGUAGUAGAAAAAUAUAAUUAAAAUUAUUUAAAAAGUAUGUAAUUUUAAAUUAUUUAAUAUUUAGAUAAAAAAAAUAAGUCUAAUGAGUUUAAAAUAACAUAUAAAAAUAAUUUAUUUAUUUUAAAUUUAUUUUUUAUUUUCCAUUAUGUUCUCUUUCUCUUUUACUUUUUCAUAUUUUUUCUUACGAAGAAUCAAACACAACCUCAUAUUAUAUGUCAAGUGUUUGUCUAUAUUUGAGCAAUGUUAGAUACGGCCAUGGAUUCAUCAAACUAAACUGAUUUUAAUAGAUACUUCACAAAUUGAUUUAUACACUAAAUCAUUGGAUAGCAAUGAUGCAUUGGAAUUAAACGUAGGAUGAAGCUCGAAGAACACUGUUUGUGUAACAACAUAUUUAUGAAAUUAUGCAAAGGAUGAGCUUCGGGGUAGUAGUACAAGGUCAUUAAUGGAGAGCCGUGUUAAACCUUGAUUGUGAUUGGAUUCCGUUAUCAGCAACAGCAACCUUGUUUGUAACCUUGAAAGUCAUUCUGUCCACAUCGAAACUCCAAUUUGACGUUUGUAAUUACCAUUCCUGGAGUGUUCCUUGAUUGAAAUUUAAAUAAUAAUUGCGGCCCACAAGGAAUAUUUUCGAUUCUGUGGGAAUUUGACAAGGUUUGUUAGAGAAGACUGGUGACAUGUUGACUUCAAUGGUUCAAAUAGGAGACGUAUGUGGAUUUGGGGGGUUUAAUUGAAACUGAGUCCCUAUGGCUUUUUAAUAUUUGCAUUGAGCAGUCUCCAUGUGACUUCCUAAUUCCCACCAACCCUCCUGUCCAUGCUGUGAAACUAAAUUGUAAUUUAUCAGCCUUUGUCAAUGGUUUCUAAAUUAAAGAUAUAGACCAUGCAUGUACUUUAAUAAAAGCAAAUCUAAAGUGUAGAUAGCAGCAAUGGUGACACCCAAUAUUCUCCAUAAAAUAGAAUUAGAAUAAGCAGUGUUACAUUGUUCAUGAUCACCUACAAGCAUACAAGAACUUCCAUGAAUAACUCAUAGCAAUUGCCAACAGGGCGUCGUAGAGACUCAUACAUAGAACACUAUCCACCCAGAGGAAAGGACAAGACCAGUGCGCUGCAGCUCUUAUUUUUCACAUGUAUACCACCACUCGUAAUAACCAAAUUCACUCAGUUGGGAUAGGUGGGAGAUGGUGGUUUGUGGGGUGGCUUGUGGGGAGGAGUUGGAGGAGGCUUUAUUUUCUGAGGCGGCUUGUAUGAGUGUGCAGGAGGAUGCCCGGGAGUGUGACCAUAAUGUGGUGGCUUCUCUCCCGUAGGUGGUUUGCCAAAUGGGCUUGGUGGCUUCUCUCCCUUAGGAGGUUUACCAAUUGGGGUUGGUGGCUUGUGUUCUGGGAGUGGUUUCUCUCCCUUGGUAGGUUUGCCAAUUGGGGUUGGCGGCUUAUGUUCUGGGAGUGGCUUCUCUCCCUUGGGAGGUUUGCUAAUUGGGGUUGGCGGCUUAUGUUCUGGGGGCGGCUUCUCUCCCUUGGGAGGUUUGCCAAUUGGAGUUGGCGGCUUAUGUUCUGGGAGUGGCUUUUCUCCCUUGGGAGGCUUGCCAAUUGGGGUUGGCGGCUUAUGUUCUGGGGGUGGCUUCUCUCCUUUAGGAGGUUUGCCAAUUGGAGUCGGCGGCUUAUGUUCUGGAAGUGGCUUUUUUCCCUUGGGAGGUUUGCCAAUUGGGGUUGGCGGCUUAUGUUCUGGGGGUGGCUUCUCUCCCUUGGGAGGUUUGCCAAUUGGAGUCGGCGGCUUAUGUUCUGGGAGUGGCUUCUCUCCCUUGGGAGGUUUUGUUGGUGGCUUGUGUUCUGGAGAUGGCUUCUCCCCUGGAGGCUUGUGCUCCGGAGGUGGCUUCUGAAAUGGCGGGGGCUUGGGGUAAUGAGCAAGAGAUGGAGUACUGGUGAGAACCACCAUUCCAAGCAACAAUACUAGCAAGCAUGUGGGAGACAUCUUUGAGUAGUUGUAGCUAAGAUGGCGCAACACUGUAGGCAUUGGGUGGCCUUUUAUAAAGGGCUGGACCCAACAGCCAUAUGACACGUGUCAUGAUGACAAAUGAAGUUGAGGGGAUCCAGAUGGGUCCUACUGAGUCGAAAACUUGCACUAAUUGAUCUGGUGAGAUGACUAUUUCUGUCCUUUUGCCCUUCUCGGCCACCCUGUGCUGUUUUCCUUUUGCACGAUUUUCGUUGCCAAACAAGCAAAUAAUAUUUCGCCAAGAAAGAGGAGAGUGAAUGUGGAAUGCAUCAAGUCCCAUCAAGGAUGGCAGAGAAGAAAUAGAAGAUUGCCCAACUGUGAUAAACAUAGCAUACACGUAGCACCAGGAACUUCAUUUACUUCCAUCUAAUGGAACAUAACAAUCUUCUAAAGUUUUUGCAUGAUUUUGUUAUAUGUCUCUUAGCCUAAAGUUGGAAAUGCGCAACAAAUUUUGUCACUUCUCUAUUUCCCACUGAUGAUGUUAAUUAGCCUUCAUAGAUAUCAUCCUUUCUACAAAGUGCUUCAUUUGUGUGUUAUUGUAAAGUGUAAGAAAAGUAAUUGAACAUGUUCUUUUUCCUUUCAUAGAUGACUUUUGAUGUGCAUUUUAAAAGCAGCGCUGUGAGUCGGUGACCUUGAUUCACACGGAAACUAAGGCUCCUAUAGGACCCACUUUUAGCUGGUUAGGGGUGAAGAAAAUAUCAACUUUUCAGAGUGAUUUAAGUCAAGGCCAAGCCUCACUGUGUCAUUACUCGUGUGAAUUUUAUAUGCACAUACAUACAUAAAUAAAGUAUGAGACCCAAAUAACACCUUCCCUUUACAAACUUAACCCCAGCCGCUCUCUUUCAAUUCUUUUCACACAAGGGUAUUGACUCUAUAAAGGUCAAGAAAAUCAUAAUUUCCUAGGGUUUACAAGGUAAUUGGCUUAAUGCUAAUGUGAAAACAUAAAAGAUAAUAGUAUAUUGUAAGCUAACGAAUAUUCUAUAGUUAUAAUUAUUUGUGAUGUGCAUAAAUAAAUCUUCAUAUAUAUAAUGGAACAAUGAAUAAAGAACCAAUGAAAAAAUACUAUAUAUCAUUGCUUGGCAUUUAAACCGUAUAUGCUGCUCUUUCUAGCUACUCCAUCCACUGAAAGACAACAAGGUAAUCCAUGUUAUAAUGAUAGAAGAUACUGUCUCUAGGCUUUUUGUGAUGAAAAAUAUAAGAUAUGGGUAGGGUUGACCCUUGUAUGUUUGUCCUAUAAACACUUCAAAGUAACAUAUUUUUCUUCUUUAGCAACUCAUAAUGAUGGGGUUCAUUUGCAUGUCACUGAGUUGAAAAGUUGGACAAUUGCCCAUGUCGCCUUCCUCCUAGAUUCCGUAGUUCACGGGAAGGUAACUCAAGUUUGACAUAUUUUGAAUUCUUUUCACUCGGACGUCUUCAUAACCUGACAAAACAAAAAUGAAAAACAGAGGAUUGGUAUAUUAUUCAUGGUAAGCCUCAAAUUAUAGUAGUAUGAGAAAGGAGAAAAAGAUUUUGGGAACUCCAAUCUGGAUAAUUCUCGUUUCUUCUCUUGAAUAAAAAUUUCACUUACCUAACUUCGUUUGGAGAAAUGGCAUAUUUUAAUUUUGUACGUCAUUGCUAAUAAAUGGAGCAAUUUAGCAUGUUUUGUGACUGAAACUGCAAAUGUCCAAUUGGCAUUUCUUCAUUUCCCACUUAGGAUCUGAUCUUGUAGACCAUAUAACGAUAUGUAUCUGUGCAAGCAUUGAAAACUAAUGUGAACUAUGAGGAGUUACAAGCCACUGGACUGUAGAGCGAGUGCCAAGAUUUAAAUCUUCAGGCUCUAUCUGGGUAAGGGGAGGAUAGCGACCUAACCUUUUACCAAAGGCUUAGAAUUUAGACUUUUGGAAAAAAAUUUCUCAUGUUUUGGCUGGAUUUCUUGUGCUUGGCGCAAAAAGGAGAUGGCCUCAAGAAAUAGCAGACUCACUUUUGUUUUCAGCCCUUAAUAAUUCUCCACUGCUUUCCAUAACUACAUGGGUUAUACAUGCAGUCUGCUGCAAUAUUCCAGUUAUAUUUAUUAUUUCAAAGAGGGUGAAUGACUUCACAUGCAAUAUGUUGCAGUAACAACCCAAAUUUUGGCACACCAUCUUAAGAAUAGAAAAGUAUAAUAAAAGAAAUCAAUCAGAGAAUCACUUUGCAUGCAGUUCAUAGAGUUCGCCCAAAAUGGAGCCACAUGUACGGACAACCCCACAAUAGACAAUCUUCUCUAUACAGUAAUAAAAUACAGAAAUGGUUAAUGAAGCUCUGUAUUUCCUUAUCAUAUAUGACCGGUUGAAAACUCAGCAAGUCUUCCUCAAUCACAGACAGUUGGAGUUGCUUCAUCAAAAUCAUGCCUUCAUUACUGGCUUCAUUUUGGUUUCAAUGUCUGUUCUACCCUUAAAUUGGGUCUCUGCUUACUACCGGGAUAUCCUUUAGCGUCCUGCAAUUCUACUAGAUUAAAGAGAAUGACUUAAUUCUGCAUUCUGCCGUCCCUAGUCCAAGUGGUACUAGAAUUGAUGUUUCCUUUAGUGUCCUUUCUUCAUACUUUCAGGUUCUUCCCUUGUUUCAAUAAUGCUGUUUUCCUUCAUGUUUAACCUCUGUUGAACCACUUAAAACAACACAAUUUGCACACCAAUGUUUCUUUACAGAAAAGACUGUUUGCAAAAAUGCACAUGUUAUAAGGUUAAUGGAAGAAUUAAUUUGGGGAUAAGGGACUAGGAUUGGGCCAAUGAAGUUUGGUGUUAAAUUUUGAUUAUGAUUGCUUUUCAUUAUCAGGUACCUUAUAUUUGCUGAUGCUAUCUGGAACUAAAUUCAAAUCAGACAUUAUCCGAUUACUAACAGGACAUAUCAUGUCCCUCUGCAGAGUUUCUAAACUAACAUGUAUCGAAAUGUGGCCCCAAAAGGAAGGCUAGGAAGAUGGAGGAUUUUGUAGGAAUCGACCAGAAUCAGAUGGAAGAGAGAUAGUCCUGUUGACUUUAAUGGUUGUGAUAGGAACAUGCAUCAUUAUAUGAGAAGUUGCAUGAAUUUAUGUAUCCUGUUAUCGUUCCUUGACGAUUUCCCAAUGCAAUUUCACUGUCCACAAGACUAACCUCUCCAUGCAGUCAAAUGAAUUGUAAUUUCUCUAUUGGUACCAGUAGUACAUUUCAUACCAAACAUAUAGUAAAUAUAAAAUAUAAAUAGAUCAAGGAAAUCUGAAUUGUAGAUAGCACUGCAAGUAACACUCAAUAUUCUCUAUAUAUAAUAAAAUAAACAGUGUCACAAUACUCAUCACCCAGUGGCAAGGGAGAAAAACCUACAAUGAGUACUCAAAUCACCAUUCUCAAACAGAAACAUAGCAGUGACUGAUACAUAGAACCUAUAUGCUCACAGGGAAAGAAUAAGAUGACCAGUGCACAGCGGGCAGCAGCUCUUAUUUUACGUACAACUCAAAUCCCAAACUAACCAAAGUCGCUCAGUUGGGAUGGGUGGGAGAUGGUGGUUUGUGGGAUGGCUUCUGGGUAGGAGCUGGUGGCUUCUGUCCCUUUGGUGGUUUGCCUAAUGAGCUUGGUGGCUUGUGCUCCGGGAGUUGUUUCUCUCCCUCGAGUAGGUUUCGAGUCUUGUCAGAUGGCUUGUGUUCUGGUGGUGGCUUCUCUCCCUGGGGUGGUUUGCCGAAUGGGCUUGGUGGCUUGUGUUCGGGGAGUGGCUUCUCUCCCUGGAGAAGGUUACGAGUUUUGUCAUAUGGCUUUUGUUCUGGUGGUGGCUUCUCUCCCUGGGGUGGUUUGCCGAAUGGGCUUGGUGGCUUGUGUUCGGGGAGUGGCUUCUCUCCCUGGAGAAGGUUACGAGUUUUGUCAGAUGGCUUGUGUUCUGGUGGUGGCUUCUCUCCCUGGGGUGGUUUGCCGAAUGGGCUUGGUGGCUUGUGUUCGGGGAGUGGCUUCUCUCCCUGGAGAAGGUUACGAGUUUUGUCAGAUGGCUUUUGUUCUGGUGGCGGCUUCUCUCCCUGGGGUGGUUUGCCAAAUGGGCUUGGUGGCUUGUGUUCGGGAACUGGCUUCUCUCCCUUGGGAGGUUCAGUUGGUGGCUGCUGUUCCGUAGGUGGUUUCUUCACCGGCGGCUUGUGCUCCGGAAGCGGCUUCUCUACCUGGAGAAGCUUACGAGUUUUGUCCGAUGGCUUGUGUUGUGGUGGUGGCUUCUCUCCCUGGGGUGGUUUGCCAAAUGGAGUUGGUGGCUUGUGUUCGGGGAGUGGCUUCUCUCCAUUGGGAGGUUUAGUUGGUGAUUGGUGUUCCGUAGGUGGUUUCUGAAGUGGGGGAUGCUUGGGGUAGUCAGCAAGAGACGAGGUAGUGAGAACCACCAGUCCCAGCAGCAACACUAGCAAGCAUGUGGAAGACAUCUUUGAGUUCAGGCUGAGAUCUGUGCAAGGAUAACAGAAUUAGGUGGCCUUUUAUAGAGGCCUGGACCCAACACCCAUAUGACACGUGUCAUGCACUCAUGGUGACACAUAAUUCUAUGGGACCAUUUGGGUCCUACAGAAGUUGCAAAGUUGGACUACUGAGGUGUGAUCACAACUUUUGUCCUUAUUGCUUUCUCUGCGGCCAUUGCACGAUUUCCUUUAGCAUCAUUUUCUUGGCUAAAUAAGCGUAUUAUAUUUGUGGCAGACCGUCCACGUGUCAUAAACAGAUAUAUUAUAAUAAUGUAGUAUGCUUUUCUCCAAUGGAACAUGACACUCUUCUAAGUCUUGUUUUAAAUAUUGUGCAGGAUUACUUUAUACGUUGCAGUUCCAAGUCAAAAUUGGUGGGCAAACGUUGGCCUUUUUUCAUUUCACCUAAGAUUAAUGCUCACCUGGGAUAGGCACUACAUGACUUAUCUGCUCUUUUACUGUAAAGUUGCUUUGUGUAUGAGAUACACCUCCCCUGCACACCCUCAACAUUCGUUGCUCUGUUUUCCUUGUGUCCAGACGAGGAUAUUAAUUGGAGGCUGACAAAACGACUGCUAGCCCAGGAUUUACAAGGUCCUGGUUUGAGGCUUCGGUGAAAGUAUUUUUGAAAAGACACACAUAGAGAUAGUGCGUUUGGUGCAAUGCAGCACUGUGAGCCAUUCUGACGCGUUCUUAAUUUCAAAACUAAUGAAUGCUUCAAAAUUUUAAGAAGUGACAUUUCCAAAUAUUUGAGUUCGUUUAAUUGAACAUUGGAUAACUAGUGAUCAUAGAUUAUUAUCUGUGCUUGGCACUAUAAGAGGGUAUAUGCUUCUUUUUCUGGCCCCUCCUUCAAGGGAGGAGGGACAAUGUGAUCUGUAACGUUAGAAGCUAUUCCAUGUCAUCUUUGGGCUCAGUUCAAAACUAAAAGAUAAUGGGGGGGGGGGGGGGGGGCAUAUCAUUUUAUAUUUCUUCUAGAAGGUUUGUUCUGGAAAUAUUUCACAGGAGCAUAUCUUUUUCUUCUAUUACGUCAUCCGCAGCCUCCAAUAGGUCGGUUAACAAGCCACCGAGUUGAAAAGUUGGAAAAAUGGGAACACAGCCCGCCUCUUGUAUUCAGUAGUUAAAUAAAAGGUCACUAGAAGUGAGAUCCCUUUUGGCGUCUUGAUUUUCAAUCCAGCACCUCUGUGACCUGACAAACCAAAAAAACUAAAAAAUAAAAAACAGUACGUGGGUUGGUGUUAAGCAUCAAGACAUGUUAAUGAAAGAAGGUAGAGAAUAGGAUAUUGAAAUCCCAAUCCUGAUAACAUGAUUUUCUUUGCUAACAACCAUAUUAUAUUUUAUCAAGAAAGAGUAAUGCAUGUGGCGUCCAUCAAGACCCAUUAGAGUUCCGCUAAAGCUAUAGUUCUGUCAACGUUAUCAUUUACGUUUCCUCUAGAUAAUGGCAUUUUCCUCUAAAGCUCUUGCACCAUUAGGCUUCAAGUCAAAAUUUCACAUGUGAACUUUGGAAAUUUUCUCCAUUUGCCCCUAAGGAUACAGUUAGAAUUGACUUAAAAUCCUGAUUGAUAUGUACUAUUAACCAAAGAAUAUUGUAUAUAAUAAUUGAAAUAUUGUUGAUUCAUCGUGGAAAUACAUUUUGUAAGGAAAGUUGUUGAGAAUUUAGUAUGCUAUAUGGAGAAAAAAGUCAUGACUUAAGGUUGUGUAUGUAUAUUCUAUAUCAAAUAUUAGGUAGGAAUGUGGGAAAGAGCAGAGUGUAAUGAUAAGAAACAAAGAAAUAUAAGAUAUUCUUGAAAGUGGAAAAUAUAAAAUGGCUAACGAGUCAAAUUUAUGAUGCGUAAGGGGGAUCAUGUCACAUAAGAAAACCAUGGCAUACUAAAGACGUACGUGUGGUAUGGAGUAAUAAUUUUGUUAAAAUAAGUUUCUUGUUGGAGUACAUUAGGUGACUAUUCAUAACGUAUCAAAUUAAAGAGUCAAGUGCAUCAAUGAAGGCAUAUGUAGAAAAUUUGUUUGUGACAUGUACCAUAAAGAUAAGAUUGACUUGAUAGAAUUUAGUCUAAGUAGGAGUUGUUAAAGGUGUCUUAAAUUUCUAAUUGAUGUAUAUUUUUUUCUAAAAAAAUAUUAUAUAGAUAUUUUAAUAAAUGAUUAAUUCUUUGUAAAAAUACUUACAUAAUAAAAAACAUCAUUAAAAAUAUCUUUAUAAAUAUUUUAAGUUACAAGAAGGAAAAAAACCACUGUGAGAUAAUGAUGAACAUGCAACACUGUACCAAGUAAAUAAAAAUGUGAUAAAAAAAAAAGAGAAACACUCGAUAAAGGAAGGCUCGUAUAUAAAGAGUAAUAUUUUUAAUCAUAUGAUAGAAUGAUUUUCUCUCAUUCAUGAAUAUAGGCAAGAUUGGGGAACCAUUAUAAAAUUUUGUACACCUCGUGUAAAUUGAUGUUUGUCUUCAUAUUUUACACCAACAAAUGACAUUGAAGUUGUCAUUGAUAAAAGGGAAAAGGCAUGCCUCCACACCAUGUGCUUGAUUCGAAUGGUUCAAGUUUGAAGAAUUUUCUCCGGAAGAUCUAAAACAUUUUCGCCUUUAAAUUUCAUUUGAUUAUUAAUAUCCGAAAAAAUAGUUAAAUACUCUUUCUAUUUUUGAGUUGUUGAAUUUUUUGAAAGUUUUUAUAUUUGUUAUCAAGAAUUUCUAUUUUAUUAAGGGUGAAUAUUUAUAAAUAAGAUAUUAUAUAAUAUUUGGAUAAGAGAGAAUGGUGGAAUAUAAUAAAGUUUUAAUCCUUCCCAAUUUUGAACCUUUUUUUUUUUUUUUGAUAUAAUCGCCUUUCUCUUGCAAUCCUAUUAUCAGGUACCUUAUAUUUGCUGAUGCUAUCUGGAACUAAAUUCCAAUCAGGCAUUGUCCAAUUACUAAUAGGACAGAUCAUAUCUCUCUGUUUCUAAACUAACAUGUAUCGUAAUGUGACCUCAUAAGGAAGGCUAGGAAGAUGGAGGAUUUUGUGGGAAGCGACCAGAAUCAGAUGGAAGAGAGAUAGCCCUGUUGACCUAAUGGCUGUAAUAGGAGAAGCGUGUGGUUUUAUGGGACUUAACUGAUACUAAACCUGUAUGAUGCUUGGAGUGGUGUUUCUUUCAUUUUGUUAAGAAAAUAUGGCAGCAUACAUGCUUUCAACUGAGUGCAUCAGAGCAUCCAUAACAGAUGGUCUGCAACCCUAGGUGCAUGCCACUUUCUGACUGAUAAUGAAAUUGUCAGGUACCUGGCCUUGACUAAGCUCAACAGCAUCACAUAAAGAGAAGCUUUCAUACUUAGAUUACUGUUUAAAGUUUUUGCUUAUUUGAUUUCUUAAUGCCAUUAUGACAUUAUUGAUUCAAUUCUGCUUCCGAUUUUCGAAGUUCUGGGCAUCUACUGAUUGCAUCAUUAUAUGAGAAGUUGCAUGAGUUUAUGUAUCCUGUUAUUGUUCCUUUGCGAUUUCACUGCUCACGGGACUAACCUCUCCAUUCAGUCGAAAUGAAUUGUAAUUUCUUUACUGGUAGCAGUAGUACUUUUCAUAGCAAAGAUAAUAGAAAAUAUGAAAUAUAAAUAGAAGGAAAUCUGGAUUGUAGAUAGCACCAUAAGUAACACUCAAUAUUCACUACAUAAUAAAUAGACAGUGUUACAUAGGUAGAGAAACCUACAAUGAGUACUCAUCACCAUUCUCAAACAGAAACAUAGCAGCGACUUAUACAUAGAACCUAUAGGCUCGCAGGGAAAGAGUAACAUGAUAAGUUCACAGCGGGUAGCAGCUCUUAUUUUACGUAUUACUCAAAAUCUCAAACUAACCAAAGUCACUCAGUUGGGAUGGGUAGGAGAUGGUGGUUUGUGGGGUGGCUUCUGGGUAGGAGCUGGUGGCUUCUUUGUUGGAGUUGAAGGAGGCAUAUUCUUCUGAGGUGGCUUGUAUGACUCUUCGGCACUCUCUGCAGGAGGGUGCCCAGGGUUGUGACCAGAAGGAGGUGGCUUCUGUCCCUUUGGUGGUUUGCCUAAUGGGCUUGGUGGCUUGUGCUCCGGGAGUUGUUUCUCUCCCUCGAGUAGGUUUCGAGUUUUGUCAGAUGGCUUGUGUUCUGGUGGUGGCUUCUCUCCCUGGGGUGGUUUGCCGAAUGGGCUUGGUGGCUUGUGUUCGGGGAGUGGCUUCUCUCCCUGGAGAAGGUUACGAGUUUUGUCAGAUGGCUUUUGUUCUGGUGGCGGCUUCUCUCCCUGGGGUGGUUUGCCAAAUGGGCUUGGUGGCUUGUGUUCGGGAACUGGCUUCUCUCCCUUGGGAGGUUCAUUUGGUGGCUGGUGUUCCGUAGGUGGUUCCUUCACCGGCGGCUUGUGCUCCGGAAGCGGCUUCUCUACCUGGAGAAGCUUACGAGUUUUGUCAGAUGGCUUGUGUUGUGGUGGUGGCUUCUCUCCCGGGGGUGGUUUGCCAAAUGGACUUGGUGGCUUGUGUUCGGGGAGUGGCUUCUCUCCAUGGGGAGGUUUAGUUGGUGGUUGGUGUUGCGUAGGUGGUUUCUGAAGUGGGGGAUGCUUGGGGUAGUCAGCAAUAGACGAGGUAGUGAGAACCACCAGUCCCAACAGCAACACUAGCAAGGAUGUUGAAGACAUCUUUGAGUUCAGGCUGAGAUCUGUGCAAGGAUAAAAGAUUUAGGUGGCCUUUUAUAGAGGGCUGGACCCAACACCCAUAUGACACGUGUCAUGCACUCAUGGUGACACAUAAUUCUAUGGGACCAUUUGGGUCCUACAGAAGUUGCAAAGUUGGACUAUUGAGGUGUGAUCACAACUUUUGUCCUACUUGCUUUCUCUGCGGCCAUUGCACGAUUUCCUUUAGCAUCAUUUUCUUGUCUAAAUAAGCGUAUUAUAUUUGUGGCAGACCGUCCACGUGUCAUAAACAGAUAUAUUAUAAUAAUGUAGUAUGCUUUUCUUCAACGGAACUUGACACUCUUCUAAGUCUUGUUUUAAAUACUGUGCAGGAUUACGUCAUAAGUUGCUUGUUCCAAGUCAAAAUUGGUGGGCAAACGUUGGCCUUUUUUCAUUUUCCCUAAUAUUAAUGCUCACCUGGGAUAGGCACUACAUGAUUUAUCUGCUCUUUUACUGUGAAGUUGCUUUGUGCAUGAGUUACACCUCCCCUGCACACCCUCAACAUUUGUUGCUCUGUUUUUCUUGUGUCCAGACGAGGAUAUUAAUUGGAGGCUGACAAAACGACUGCUAGCCAAGGAUUUACAAGGUCCUGGUUUGAGGCUUUCACGAAAGUAUUUUUGAAAAGAUACACAUAGAGAUUGCGCGUUCGGUGCAAUGCAACAAUGUGAGCCAUUCUGAAGUCUUAAAUUUCAGAUUAAUGAAUGCUACAAAAUUCUAAGAAGGGCCGUUUCCAAAUAUUUGAGUUCAUUCAUCCGAACAUCGGGUAUAUGCUUCUUUCUCUAGCCCCUCCUUGAAGGGAGGAGGGACAAUGUGAUCUGUAUCGUUAGAAGCUAUUCCAUGUCGUCAUCUUUGGGCUCAGUUCAAUACUAAAAGAUAUGGGCGGGGCCCUUAUCAUUUUAUAUUUCUUCUAGAAGGUUUAUUCUGGAAAUCUUUCACAGAAACAUAUCUUUUUCUUCUCUACGUGAUCCGUGGUUUGAAAGUUGGAAAAAUGGGUCCGUUAACAAGCCACCGAGUUGAAAAGUUGGAAAAAUGGCAACACCGCCAACCUCUUGUAUUCGAUAGUUAAAUAAAAGGUCACUGGAAGUGAGAUCCCUUUUGGCCUCUUGAUUUUCAUUCCAGCAUCUCUAUGGCCUGAUAAAUUAAAAAACUAAAAAAAAAGACAGUACGUGGGUUGGUGUUAAGCAUCAAGAGUCAAGACAUGAUAAUGGAGAGAAAGGAUAUUCAAAUUCCAGUUCUGACAACAUGAUUUUCUUUGCUGAACUACCAUAUUAUAUUUGAUCAAGAAAGAGUAGUGCAUGUGGCCAGGAUCAAGACAUACAUUAAUUUCCACAUGAUGAAGACAGUUUCUGAGAGUUUCUUCUAAAGCUCUUGCGCGAGUAGGCUUCAAGUCAAAAUCUCCCAUGUAAACACUGGUUUUUCUUUCAUUGCCACUAAGGAUGCAGUUAAUAUUGACUUAAGAUCCUACGUGAUAUAUUUUUUUAAAAGAGCUAUAUUGUAGAUAAUAUUUGAAAUAAUGUUGAUUCGUUGUGGAAAUAUAUUUGUAAGGAAAGUUGUUGACAAUUUAAUAUAGUAUAAGAAGAAAAAAGUUAUCAACUAGCUAGAGAUGAGUAUGUAAAGUGAGGCUCACGAUUCAACGCGUAAAUAUAAGAUAUUUUAAGGCUCAAUAGUUAUGAUAUCUAUUUUAUUUUUUGUAUCUCAUAUAUUCAAAGAUAUAGUAAAAUGAUUUUACAUAUAUAUAUAUAUAUAUAUAUGAACAUAACUAUUUGUGCCAAUUGAUUUUUAUCUUUAUUUUGUAUAUUAGUAAUUAUAUUAAAGUUUUUACUAAUAUAAUAACUAAUAUAAAAGCUUUUUCUAAAAGAGUCAACAGAGCAAAACACUUAUUAUAAAAAAUAAUUUUGAUUGAAGGUGGAGUCAAUUAUUCUUUAUUUAACAUGUAAUGCAUACGGCGUGUACUUCAUAACUAAAGUAUAUAAGUGUAACAUCUCUUAUAUAUUCUCAUUCAAUCUCGAAAGUGGAAAUUUUAAAAAGAUUAAACGGUUCAAAUUUGUCGUGCAUAAAGGGGAUCAUGUCACAUAAGCAAACCAUGGCAUACCAAAGACAUAGGUAUGGACUAAGAAUUUUUUUCAAAUAAGUUUCUUAUUAGGGUACAUUAAUAGGUGACUUUUUAUGACAUAUCAAAGGAGUCAAGUGCACCAAUAAAAACAUAUAUAGAAAAUUCAUGCAUGACAUGUAUCACUAAGAGAAGAUUGACUUGAUAGAGUUUAAUCCAAAUAGGAGAUUGUUAAAAGGUGUCUCAAAUUCUUGAUUGAUAUAUAUUUUUUUUAUUAAAAAGGUUAUUAUAUAGAUAUUUCAAUAGACUAUUAAUUCUUUGUAAAAAUAGUUAUAUAAUGAGGAUGGUGAUUAAAAAUAUCUCUAUCAAUAUUUUGGAUUAUAAAAAGAAAAAAAAUGAGAUAAUGAUAAACAUAUAAAACUUGUACAAGUAGAUAAAGAUGUGAUGAAAGACACUUGAUGAAUGAAGGCUUUGUAUUUCAAGAUAUAAAUAUAUGGAGCAAAACUCUUAAUUAUAUGAUCAAAUGAUUCUCUCAUAUUCAUGAAUAUAAGCAGGAUUGGGGAACCAUGAUAGAAUCUUAUAUGCCUCUCCAUGUAGAGUGAUCGAUGUUUAUCUUCAUAUUUUACACCAGUGAAUGACAUUGAAACUCUUAUUGAUAAAAGGGAAAAGGCAUGGCCUCCACCCCAAGAAAAACAAGUAACCUCGGUUUAAAUCACUAGUCUACACCCCGAAGAGAGAACUAGCCAAACCUACUAAAAGAGAAACUUAACAAUUUAGAAAGAAACCGUCCAUGAUAAAGGGCCCCUAAAGGUCCAAUUCAGUGAGGUCGUGAACAAAAACACUUUCAUGUCAAAACAGAGAUAGGUACCACCAAAAUGUAAAGGGAAAGAUGUAAACCACGUCGAACUUUGGUAAUCAAUGGUAAAGAUAGCAUGAUAGCUAAAAGCACUAAAGCUGUGCUUGGUAUGCAAAAAUGAAAAGUGGAAAUCAGCGUCUUAUUCUUUUUCACCUUUAUUCACAUAUUAGGAUAACUAAUAUCUAAUGUUUUUUAUGUCUCAAAUUCUAUUCCAUGUUAUGGUAAACUUUCAUCUUGUUUAGAUCACUUUUGUCUGGUUUGGGCUCAAGACGAUAAGCCUAUAGAGACUUCAUAUUGGGUUGAAUCGAUGCCCUUGAUCUGAUCUGUUCGUUAGAAAAAUCUGAAUUAUUAUAAGCAUUUAGAUAAAAAAUAAAUAAAUGUGAAACACAAACUACUCCCUGCACAACCUUGACCCUAGUUACUCAGUUUCACUGCUCACAGGACUAACCUCUCCAUUCAGUCGAAAUGAAUUGUAACAAGAAGAUUUUUGACAGGAGGACGGUAGUUUAAAAUAAUAAUUUCUAAAGUACUUUUGUGAAAAAAAAUAAUUCCAAACGUGGAUUUUAUCAAGUAAAAAGAAAAAAAAAAGUUAUUUUCUUUUAAAAUCUGUUCUUCUAAAGAUGAUAUAUAUACCAAAAAAAAAAAUUGUUUUCUGAAGGUAAAAUUUUUAAAAUUCAUUUUUAAAAAAAUUUACACACUAAAAUUAUCUUUUCAAGAGAAGAUUUUUUUAAUUUUAAAUAAUUAUUAAUUUAUAAUUAAUUUGUUAUUAAUUAUUUAUUAAUUUUUUUAUUUGAAAAAUGCAUUUAUAAAAAACAAAUUUGUUAUUAAUUUAUUAAAUAAUUUUUACAAAAUAAAUAAUUUUUUUUUAUUUUAAUUUUAAAAUUAAUUUUAUUAUAUAAAUUUUAAAAUUAAAAAUAUUAAUAUUUAAUUUAAAAUUUAACUAUAAAAGGAAUAAAAUAUAGAAAAAUAAAUUAAUUUAUUAUUCAAUAAAUUAAUUUUCAAUAAAAUUUUCAGCAUUAAGAGAUAAAUUUUUAAGUAUUAAUCAAUUUAAAAAGAAAUAAUGAUCAUUUGUAUAUUAAGAUAUUUUAUUUAGUAAUUAUGAAUGAUAAACAACUAAAGUAAUUUGAAAAAAUAAUAAAAUAUUUAAAAAAUAAUAAUUUAAUACACGUAAAAUUAGAAAUGAUUAACUAUUUUUUAUUAAGAAAAAAUUGAGGAAAUAUUUUGUUAUUUAAAAUUUUUUAUUUGUUUUCAAUUUUUAAUGUUAUAGGUUUCAAGAAAAUUGAUCAAAUAAAAAUUAAGAAGUCAUUUUUUCAAAAACUAUAUAUCUAAAUAAAAGCCUUGAAAUUCAAAUACACAAUAUCAUAAAUAUAAACACCAAGUCAAUCCUUAAUUAUCAAAUGUUUUUAAUAUUAAAGAAUCAAAAUCACCUACUAUCAUGAUAAUAAGAAAACCAAUAAUAUUGUUCAUAUAAAUACUAAAAAGCUAACAAAUAUCCCAAACAAUUAAUAAAGUAUCAAACAUGAUAAAAAGUCAAUUAUUAUCAUGAAUGCAAAAAAUCAAUAAUUUUGUUUAUAUGAACCAUCAACAAAGAAAAAAAAAAUCAAUAUCUAAAUAUUAAACAUAAUUUAUAUUUUUAUAAAUAUUAUUGUUGAUAAAUAUCUUAACAAUUAUAAUUUUAGUAAAUAAAAUUAAUUAAUUUUAGUUUAAGAAUUAUUUUUUUAUACUUUCGUAUUCUUAUCAAAAAUCCCCAUUUUGCAUGUCUCCUUUGGCAUGACUUUCUUACCUAAACAAGCAUAUAUAUAUAUAUAUAUAUAUAAAAUAUUUGGUUAAGAAAGAGUACUAAAGUUUAUAUGGCACACAUCAAGAUAGAAACAGAAGUGGAAGAUAAUCCAAAUGUAUGAACAGAUAUAUUAUAUCCAUGUAGUGGUAGUGACUUCAUUAUUUACUUUUAUCUAAUGGAGCAUGACACACUUCUUCUGAAUAUUUUGCACGAUUAUGUUAUGUGUCAGCUUGUUCUAAGUCAAAACUAGUGAUAAAAAUCGGUUUUUUUUGCAUUUCCUUCAUGAAGAUGGCACCUGGAUGGGGCACUACAUGAGUGGCAUAGCACGAAGUGAUUUAUCUGCUCCCUUUACUAUAAAGUGCUUUGUGUAUAAGUUACACCUCCCCUGCACUGCCUCAACAUUUGUUGUUCUGUCUUCCGUCUGUCCAAACGAGGACAAACGUAUGUUGUAGGUUGACAAAACCACAGCUAGCCUAGGAUUUGCAAGGAUCUAGUUUGAUUCGUAUGCAAAAGGAUUGGUGAAAAGAUUCACAAAGAUAAUGCUUUUUGCAAUGCAAUCUUGUUCUAAUUCAACAGUGUGGACCAUUUUCAUGUAAUGCUUCAACUAGAUGUCAGUUUCAUGAAUUUUUGUUCAUCUAAUUGAUCACUGGAUAGGCCAUAACCCGAAGAAAUUCAAAAUUCCCUUCAGUACUGUAGCUAAGGAAAGAUCCCUAUCUACCACUGGGAUUUUAAGAGGGUAAAAAUGUAGGUGGGUGCCUAUAUCAUUUGCACUUCACUAUAGGCCUCUUUGGGAAGAUUUCUUCUGAAGACAUUUCAAAGAAACAUAUUUUUCUCUUCUCUCCGUAAACGGCAGCUGCAAGUCAGUCCAUUCACAGGCCACCGAGUUGAAAAGGCUGGAAAAUUGGCCAAAGCACCCGCCUCCUGGAUUCCAUGGGUAAGGAAAAGGUCACUGGAGGUGUGAUCCCUGUUGGCCUCUUGAUUUCCAUUCCGCCAUCUAUAUGACCUGAUAACCCAAAAACACAGAAGGAAAACGUCACCUGGGUUCAUAGUAAGCAUCAAGUCAUGAUAGAGACCAGACAACAUGACCAACAAAGAGUAGCGAAUGGGGCCAACAUCAAGCCCCAUUACGGUUAGAAGAUGGAAGAAGUAGAAGACAAUCCAAUUCUGAUAGAUUCGGGCAAAUGUAGUGCUGUUCAAACUUAAUCAUUUACUAUUUCUUCAUGAAUCACGGCAUUUUUCUUCUGAAAAUUUUCCAAGAUUAGGCCUCUGAAGAAAAAUUUCAUAUGUAAAUUGGUAUAUUAAGGAAAAGGCGUUACAAAGGUGAAAAAAAACCAAUCAAAUCUUAUAUAUGACAUCUCAAAAAUAUGAACUUGCUAUAAAUAUUUAAAAUCAAAAUCUUGCACAUCACCUCGUAGUACGAACUUGCUAUAAAACUUGAAAAUCAAGAAGAAAGGGGCAGUAUUGGACGAGACUACUUAGCACAUAUUAUUAUGAUGUUUUUUCAUUUUCUUAAUGUUGUUUUUAUGUCUUAAAUUCUAUUAUUCUAUGUUACGGUAAACAUUCAUCUUGUUUGUGUGGAAUAGGAUCACUUUUCUCUGGGUUGAGUCGAUGCCCUUAGUUAAUUUGUUCAUUUGAAUAAACUAAAUUAUUAUAAGUAUUUAGAUAAGAAAAACGUGAUACAUAAAUUACGCCUCUCGGCACAACUUCAACACUGGUUACUCUGUUUCAGUUUCCUCACACAAGAUUAUUGGUUCUAGGGUUUAUUUGGUUUUGGUUUGAUUCUAAUUGCUAAACUUUCUCAAGGAAGAUGUUAUAUAGGGAGUGAGAAACCUUCACUCUUGGCUACCUCCAAGAGAAGAGCAAGUGGUCUGAAUCAAAGAUAUACUGCUCACUUUUUCUUCUUCUAAGGACAGCUAUGACCUUGCUUUAAGGUUCGAAUAGCCUAAUGCAACCUCCCAUUUCUCAAGUCAGCUGAUGAUGUAAGUCACCUUGGCUUUCCACAUUCAUACGGUGAGGACGUUUGUGGGUGUAAUUCUCUUAACAGUUUUCAUUUUAUAUGGAAAAAUUCAUAAUUAAGGGUAAUUACUGAUUCCAUUUGACAGUGACCAAGUUUAAAAUAUUAAUUCAUAUAUUAAAUGCACAUUAAAAAAUCAUGGAAUAAAUAUAUUUACUAAUAUAUAGUUCUUUUGCCAUGUUCUGUCACAGAAGCAUCGAACUUUCCCUAGAAAUUUUUGCAUGGUAUUCUACUUAUGAUUUUGAAAACUCUAGGCACCUGAGGCCACUAAUUGCAUGGUUGGAUGAGGAGCUGCAUGAGAUUAUGUAUCGUGUUGUUCCUUAACUACAAAUAUCAGUUUUAAGUAGCAUCUCCAUGUGACAUUUUCCUGAUGCAAUUUCGCUGUCCACCAACAAAUUUCACCAUGCAGCAAGAUGAAUUGUAAUUUCUUUAUUGUUAUCAACAGCUUUAAUUAAUCUUGAUAUAUAUAUAUAACUUAGUAGAAGUAUAUUAAUCUAGAUUGUAGUUGCACUAAGAUAAUAGGCAAUAUUAUAACAGUGCCACAAUGCUCAUCGCCAAAUAGAAAGGUAGAAAAACUACAAUGAGUAACUCACAACAUUCUCAAACAGGACAUAGCGGCGACUGAUACAUAGAACACUAUUGGCACUCAGGAAAUGAUAAGAUCAGUGCCCAGCAGGCAGCACGUCUUAUUUUACAUACUACUUAAAACUAACCAAAGUCAUUCAGUUGGGAUGGGUGGGAGAUGGUGGUUUGUGCGGUGGCUUUUGGGUAGUUGGUGGCUUCUUUCCUGGAACUGAUGGUUUUUUUGUUGGAGUUGAAGGAGGCUUAAUCGUCUGAGGUGGCUUGUAUGAGUCUUCAGCACUCUCUGCGGGAGGGUGCCCAGGGUUGUGACCAUAAUGGGGUGGCUUCUCUCCCUUAGUUGGUUUGCCAAGUGGGCUGGCUGGCUUGUGCUCCGGGAGCGGCUUCUCUCCCUUAGGUGGUUUGCCAAAUGGGCUUGCUGGCUUGUGCUCUGGGAGCGGCUUCUCUCCCUCAAGAAGUUUACGGGUUUUGUCAGAUGGCUUGUGUUCUGGUGGUGGCUUCUCUCCUUGGGGUGGUUUGCCAAAUGGACUUGGUGGCUUGUGUUCGGGGAGUGGCUCCUCUCCCUUGGGAGGUUUAGUUGGUGGCUGGUGUUCCAUAGGUGGUUUCUCAACCGGGGGCUUGUUCUCCGUUGGUGGUUUAUGAACUGGGGGAUGCUUGGGGUAGUCAGCAAGAGACGGGGUGGUGAGAACCACCAGUCCCAGCAGCAACACUAGCAAGUAUGUGGAAGAGUACAUCUUUGAGUUCAGGCUGAGAUUUGUGCGAGACUUGAAGAAUUAGGUGGCCUUUUAUAGCUGGCUGCACCCAACACUCACAUGACACGUAUCAUGGUGACACAUGUGCUAUGGGUCCAUUUGGGUCCUACAGAAGCUGAAAACUUUUGACUAUUGAGGUGUGGUCACAACUUUUGUCCCUAUUGCUUUCUCCGCAACCGUUUUACAUGUUUCCUUUGGCAUAAUUUUCUAAGCUAAACAAGCAUAUAUCAUAUUUGGUUAAGAAAGAGUAAAGUGUAUAUGGCACACAUCAAGGAAGAGAAACAGAAAAAGUGGGAGACAAUCAAUUGUGAUAAACAGAUAUAUUAUAUUCAUGUAGUACUAGUGACUUUAUCAUUUACUUUUAUCCAAUAGAUCAUCACUCUUUCUUCUAAAUAUUUUGGAGGAUAAUGGUACAUGUUGCUUGUUUCCAAGUCAAAAUUGGUGGCAAAAAUCGGCAUGAUACGAAAGGAUUGGUGAAAAGAUUCACAUAGAUGGUGCUUUGUGCAAUGCAGUCUUGCUCUAAUUCAACAGAGUGGACCAUGGUGAUGUAUUUUAAAUUUUAAAUUUUAAAUUAAUGCAUGCUUCAAAGUUUUAACUAGAUGUCACUUCCAUGGAUUUUUGUUCAUUUAAUUGAGCACAGGAUAGGCUAUCAAACUUGAAGUAAUAUAAAAAUCCCUUCAUUACUGUAACUAAUGAAAGAUCAUUAUCUGCGCUUGGUAUUUUGCCAAGGUAUUUGCUGCUCUUUCUAGCCCUGUCUUACAGUUAAGGACAAUGUGAUCUAGUUAACCUUAGAAGCUAUUCCAUGUCAGAUACAAGAGAUCAAGCACAUUAUCUUUGGGCUCAGUUCAAAACUAUAAUAUAUGGGUGGGGUGGAGGCCCAUAUCAUUUGCAUAUCACCACUAUUGGUUUAGUUUGGAAGGUUUCUUCUGGAAGAUUGCUGCUUUCUGGAAUCAUUUCAAAGAAAUAUAUCUUUUUGUUCUCUUGGUGACGAGCAGCGGCAAUCAAGUCUGUUGACAAACAACCGAGUUGAAAAGUUUGAAAAUUGGUCACAGCCCACGUCCAUGGUUAAGGAAAAGGUCACUGGAAGUGAUCCCUUCUGGGCCUCUUGAUUUCCAUUCUGACAUCUAUAUGACCUGAUAAAUAGAAAGAAAAAAAAACAGAAGAAAAGCGGCACCCGGGUUCAUAGUAAGCAUCAAGACAGGAUACUGAAAGAAGGGAGAAAGGAGAUUGCAAGUCCAAUCCUGAUAAAAUGAUCAACAAAGAGUAUCAAAAUGGGGCCAACAUAAAGACCCAUUGAGGUUAGCAGAUGGCAUGGCAUUUUUCUCCUUAAGUUUUCCAUGAUUAGACUUGAAGUCAAAAUUUCACAUGUAAAUUUGUAUUUCUACAUUUCCCACUGACGACACCCAACUUCAACUUGAGUUAGAAUAACAUUGUGUGAACUUAUCUGGCCCUCAAAAUUUACUGUGAAGUGCUUUCUGCGUGUGAAGAUUCAGAAAAGCACCAAGGGAACAUGUAUGGUCUGCCUUUUUCUGAUGUUAUGUUUGUCUCUAAUUCUGUUCCAUGUCAUGGUAAAUGUUCACAUUGCUUGUAUGGAACACACCAGGAUCACUUUUUCGGGUUUAUUUUGAGGCUUCAUAUUGGGUUCAUAUUGGGUUCAAUGCUUUUAAUGUGUUCAUUAGACAAAUCUGAAUUAUCAUAUGCAUUUAGAUAAGAACAAUAAUGUGAAACCCUAGUUACACCUCCCCUGCAUAACCCCAACCCUGCUUACUCUAUUUCAGUUUACUCACACAAGUUUUACCGGUUCUUAUAAGUCAAGAAAAGGCAACUGAUGUUGGAUUGACUCUCUUCCAUGUAUAAAAAGCAACUUUUAUAUAUACAUAAAAUAACUUCUUCCCCUCACCAAUGUGGGAUAUCAUGGAUUUAUUCUGGAAACACAUCAAAGGAACAUCUUUUCUCUUGGGUGACCCUAAGUGGUGAGUCAGACCAUUUGCAUGCCAUUGAGUUGCACAGUUGGAUAAAUGCACCUACCUCCUGGGCUCCAGAGUUAAAAGGGUGGAUCCCUGGAUCGCAACCCUCUUGGCAUCUUGGUUUCCAUUCCAACAUCCACAUGACUUGACAAAACAAAAAACAGAAUAAAAUCAUCACUAUUUUCAUGCUAAGCACCAAUACAUGAUGGAAAUCAUUGCUUAAAGAUUUGGGGUCAUUUAGGUUUUGACUGCCUCCUAACACCUCACCUAAUCACAAGUUUUUAUGCUUACAAAUCAAAUAUCGUUCUUCAUUAUAUUAAAAUCAUUUUAAGAUUUCAGAUCCAUCUGCUAAUUAUGAUUAUGAUAACAUUAAUUCACCUGUGCUUCUCAUUUUCGACACACAAGGCAUCUAGGUUUGCAGGAUUUCCUUAUUAGAUGAGAUAAAUGAGUACGCAUGGUUAUGUAUGCAGCAUUCAUUAACCAUGGUAUGUGACAUUUAGAAUUAAGAUAGCAAGCAAACUUUCCCUGCAGCUUGAGUAAAUUGUGAUUUCUUAGCCUCUAUGAGUGGUUCCCAAAUCAAAUUAACAUAGUGAAAUAUACGUAGUCCAGUGAAAGGAAAUGUAAAUUAUAAACUAACAGCACUACACUACUGGUAACACUCGAUACUCUCUAUAUAAUGCAAUGAAAUAUACGUUAUACGUUGCUUGUUCCAAGUCAAAAUUUGUGGCCAAACGUUGGCCUUUUUUCAUUUUCCCUAAGAUUAAUGCUCACCUGGGAUAGGCACUACAUGAUUUAUCUGCUCUUUUACUGUAAAGUUGCUUUGUGUAUGAGUUACACCUCCCCUGCACACCCUCAACAUUUGUUGCUCUGUUUUCCUUGUGUCCAGACGAGGAUAUUAAGUGGGGGCUGACAAAACGACUGCUAGCCAAGGAUUUACAAGGUCCUGGUUUGACGCUUCCGCGAAAGUAUUUUUGAAAAUAUACACAUAGAGAUUGCGCGUUCGGUGCAAUGCAACAAUGUGAGCCAUUCUGAAGUUUUUAAUUUCAGAUUAAUGAAUGCUACAAAAUUCUAAGAAGGGCCGUUUCCAAAUAUUUGAGUUCAUUUAUCCGAACAUCGGAUAAGUAAUGAUCAUAGAUUAUUAUUAUUAUCUGACGUUCUUAUAAUGGUUGGCAUUAUAAGAGGGUAUAUGCUUCUUUCUCUAGCCCCUCCUUCAAGGGAGGGACAAUGUGAUCUGUAUCGUUAGAAGCUAUUCCAUGUCGUCAUCUUUUGGCUUAAGUCAAUACUAAAAUAUAUGGGCGGGGCCCCUGUCAUUUUAUAUUUCUUCUAGAAGGUUUGUUCUGGAAAUCUUUCACCGAAACAUAUCUUUUUCUUCUCUACGUGAUCCGUGGUUGGAAAGUUAGAAAAAUGGGUCCGUUCACAAGCCACCGAGUUGAAAAGUUGGAAAAAUGGCAACACCGCCAACCUCUUGUAUUCGAUAGUUAAAUAAAAGGUCACUGGAAGUGAGAUCCCUUUUGGCCUCUUGAUUUUCAUCCCAGCAUCUCUAUGUCCUGAUAAACUAAAAAACUAAAAAAAAAACAGUACGUGGGUUGGUGUUAAGCAUCAAGAGUCAAGACAUGAUAAUGGAGAGAAAGGAUAUUCAAAUUCCAGUUCUGACAACAUGAUUUUCUUUCCUGAACAACCAUGUUAUAUUUGAUCAAGAAAGAGUAGUGCAUGUGGCCAGGAUCAAGACAUACAUUAAUUUCCACAUGAUGAAGACAGUUUCUGAGAGUUUCUUCUAAAGCUCUUGCGCUAGUAGGCUUCAAGUCAAAAUUUCCCAUGUAAACACUGGAUUUUCUUUAAUUGCCACUAAGGAUACAGUUAAAAUUGACUUAAAAUCCUACGUGAUAUAUAUCUUUAACAAAAGUAUAUUGUAUAUAAUAUUUGAAAUAAUGUUGAUUCGUUGUGGAAAUAUGUUUGUAAGGAAAGUUGUUGACAAUUUAAUAUAGUAUAAGAAGAAAAAAGUUAUCAACUAGAGAUGAGUAUGUAAAGUGAGGCUCACGAUUCAACGCGUAAAUAUAAGAUAUUUUAAGGCUCAAUAGUUAUGAUAUCUAUUUUAUUUUUUGUAUCCCAUAUAUUCAAAGAUACAGUAAAAUGAUUUUAUAUAUAUGAACAUAGCCGAUAGUAUCAUGUUAAAACCUUAUAUGACUCUUUGUGCCAAUUGAUUUUUAUCUUUAUUUUGUGUAUUAGUAAUUAGUAUUAAAGUUUUUACUAACAUAAUAAUUGAUAUAAAAGCUUUUUCCAAAAGAGUCAAACAGAGCAAAACACUUAUUAUAAAAAGAAUUUUGAUUGAAGGUGGAGUCAAUUAUUCUUUAUUCAACAUGUGAUGCAUACAGCGGGUACUUCAUAACUAAAGUAUAUAAGUGCAACAUCUCUUAUACAUUCUCAUUCAAUCUCGAAAGUGGAAAAUUUUAAAAGAUUAAAUGGUUCAAAUUUUCCGUGCAUAAAGGGGAUCAUGUCACAUAACCAAACCAUGGCAUACCAAAGCCAUGAUAUGGACUAAGAAUUUUGUUAAAAUAAGUUUCUUAUUAGGGCACAUUAUGUGACUAUUUAUGACAUAUCAAAGGAGUCAAGUGCAUCAAUAAAGACAUAGAAAAUUCAUGCAUCACAUGUACCACUAAGAGAAAAUUGACUUGAUAGAGUUUAGUCCAAAUAGGAGAUUGUUAAAAGGUGCAUCAAAUUCUUGAUUGAUAUAUAUUUUUUUUAUUAGAAAGGUUAUUAUAUAGAUAUUUCAAUAGACUAUUAAUCCUUUGUAAAAAUAGUUAUAUAAUGAGGAUGGUGAUUAAAAAUAUCUCUAUCAAUAUUUUGGAUUAUAAAAAGAAAAAAAAUAUGAGAAAAUGAUAAACAUAUAAAACUUGUACAAGUAGAUAGAGAUGUGAUGAAAGACACUUGAUGAAUGGAGGCCUUGUAUUUCAAGAUGUAAAUAUAUGGAGCAAAACUCUUAAUUAUAUGAUCAAAUGAUUCUCUCAUAUUCAUGAACAUAAGCAGGAUUGGGGAACCAUGAUAGAAUCUUAUAUGCCUCUCCAUGUAGAUUGAUCGAUGUUUAUCUUCAUAUUUUACACCAAUGAAUGACAUUGAAACUCUGAUUGAUAAAAGGGAAAAAGCAUGGCCUCCACCACAAGAAAAACAAGUAACCUCGGUCUAAAUCACUAGUCUACACCCCGAAGAGAGAACUAGCCAAACCUACUAAAAGAGAAACUUACCAAUUUAGAAAGAAAUCUUCCAUGAUAAAGGGCCCCUAAAAGUCCAAUUCAGUCAGGUUGUGAACAAAAACACCUUCAUGUCAAAACAGGAAUAGGUACCACCAAAAUGUAAAGGGAAAGAUGUAAACCAAGUCGAACUUUGGUAAACAAUGGUAAAGAUAGCAUGAUAGCUAAAAGCACUAAAGCUGUGCUUGGUAUGCAAAAAUGAAAAGUGGAAAUCAGCGUCUUAUUCUUUUUCUCCUUUAUUCACAUAUUAGGAUAACUAAUAUCUAAUGUUUUUUUUAUGUCUCAAAUUCUAUUCCAUGUUAUGGUAAACUUUCAUCUUGUUUAAGUGGAAGAGUAGGAUCACUUUUGUCUGGUUUGGGCUCAAGACGAUAAGCCUAUAGAGACUUCAUAUUGGGUUGAAUUGAUGCCCUUGAUCCGAUCAGUUCGUUAGAAAAAUCUGAAUUAUUAUAAGCAUUUAGAUAAAAUAAAUAAAUAAAUGUGAAACAGAGACUAUUCUCUGCACAACCUUGACCCUAGUUACUCAGUUUCACUGCUCACGGGACUAACCUCUCCAUUCAGUCGAAAUGAAUUGUAAUUUCUUUACUGGUAGCAGUAGUACUUUUCAUAGCAAAGAUAAUAGUAAAUAUGAAAUAUAAAUAUAUAGAAGGAAAUCUGGAUUGUAGAUAGCACCAUAAGUAACACUCAAUAUUUACUACAUAAUAAAAGAGAUAGUGUUACAAAGGUAGAGAAACCUACAAUGAGUACUCAUCACCAUUCUCAAACAGAAACAUAGCAGUGACUUAUACAUAGAACCUAUAGGCUCGCAGGGAAAGAGUAACAUGAUAAGUGCACAGCGGGUAGCAGCUCUUAUUUUACGUAUUACUCAAAAUCUCAAACUAACCAAAGUCACUCAGUUGGGAUGGGUAGGAGAUGGUGGUUUGUGGGGUGGCUUCUGGGUAGGAGCUGGUGGCUUCUUUGUUGGAGUUGAAGGAGGCGUAAUCUUCUGAGGUGGCUUGUAUGAGUCUUUGGCACUCUCUGCAGGAGGGUGCCCAGGGUUGUGACCGGAAGGAGGUGGCUUCUGUCCCUUUGGUGGUUUGCCUAAUGGGCUUGGUGGCUUGUGCUCCGGGAGUUGUUUCUCUCCCUCGAGUAGGUUUCGAGUUUUGUCAGAUGGCUUGUGUUCUGGUGGUGGCUUCUCUCCCUGGGGUGGUUUGCCGAAUGGGCUUGGUGGCUUGUGUUCGGGGAGUGGCUUCUCUCCCUUGGCAGGUUCAGUUGGUGGCUGGUGCUCCGUAGGUGGUUUCUUCACCGCCGGCUUCUCUCCCUGGAGAAGGUUACGAGUUUUGUCAGAUGGCUUCUGUUCUGGUGGCGGCUUCUCUCCCUGGGGUGGUUUGCCAAAUGGGCUUGGUGGCUUGUGUUCGGGAACUGGCUUCUCUCCCUUGGCAGGUUCAGUUAGUGGCUGGUGUUCCGUAGGUGGUUUCUUCACCGGCGGCUUGUGCUCCGGAAGCGGCUUCUCUACCUGGAGAAGCUUACGAGUUUUGUCAGAUGGCUUGUGUUGUGGUGGUGGCUUCUCUCCCUGGGGUGGUUUGCCAAAUGGACUUGGUGGCUUGUGUUCGGGGAGUGGCUUCUCUCCAUUGGGAGGUUUAGUUGGUGGUUGGUGUUCCGUAGGUGGUUUCUGAAGUGGGGGAUGCUUGGGGUAGUCAGCAAGAGACGAGGUAGUGAGAACCACCAGUCCCAGCAGCAAUACUAGCAAGGAUGUGGAAGACAUCUUUGAGUUCAGGCUGAGAUUUGUGCAAGGCUAGAAGAAUUAGGUGGCCUUUUAUAGCGGGCUGGACCCAACAACCAAAUGACACGUAUCAUGAUACACAUAUGUGUUAUAAGAUCCUUGUGGGUCCUACAGAAGUUGAAAACUUUGACAAUUGAGGUGUGAUUACAACUUUUGUCCCUAUUGCUUUCUCGUCAGCCGUUUUGCAAGAUUUUUGACAGGAGGACGGUAGUUUAAAAUAAUAAUUUCUAAAGUACUUUUGUGAAAAAAAAUAAUUCCAAACGUGGAUUUUAUCAAGUAAAAAAAACAAAAAAAAGUUAUUUUCUUUUAAAAUCUUUUCUUCAUGAUUCAUAUACCAAAAAAAGAAUUGUUUUCUGUAGGUAAAAUUUUUAAAAUUCAUUUUUAAAAAAAAAAAAUUACACACUAAAAUUAUCUCUUCAAGAAAAUAUUUUUUAAAUUUUAAAUAAUUAUUAAUUUAUAAUUAAUUUUUUAUUAAUUAUUUAUUAAAUUUAUAUGUGAAAAAUGCAUUUAUAAAAAACAAAUUUUUUAUUAAUUUAUUAAAUAAUUAUUUACAAAAUAAAUAAUUUUGCUUUAUUUUAAUUUUAAAAUUAAUUUUAUUAUAUAAAUUUUAAAAUUAAAAAUAUUAAUAUUUAAUUUAAAAUUUAACUAUAAAAGGAAUAAAAUAUAGAAAAAUAAAUUAAUUUAUUAUUCAAUAAAUUAAUUUUCAAUAAAAUUUUCAGCAUUAAGAGAUAAAUUUUUAAGUAUUAAUCAAUUUAAAAAAUAAUAAUAAUCAUUUGUAUACUAAGAUAUUUUAUUUAGUAAUUAUGAAUGAUAAACAACUAAAGUAAUUUGAAAAAAUAAUAAAAUAUUUAAAAAUAAUAAUUUAAUACACUUAAAAUUAGAAAUGAUUAACUAUUUUUUAUUAAGAAAAAAUUGAAGAAAUAUUUUGUUAUUUAAAAUUUUUUAUUUGUUUUCAAUUUUAAAUGUUAUAGGUUUCAAGAAAAUUGAUCAAAUAAAAAUUAAGAAGUCAUUUUUUCAAAAACUAUAUAUCUAAAUAAAAGCCUUGAAAUUCAAAUACACAAUAUCAUAAAUAUAAACACCAAGUCAAUCCUUAAUUAUCAAAUGUUUUUAAUAUUAAAGAAUCAAAAUCACCUACUAUCAUGAUAAUAAGAAAACCAAUAAUAUUGUUCAUAUAAAUACUAAAAAGCUAACAAAUAUCCCAAACAAUUAAUAAAGUAUCAAACAUGAUAAAAAGUCAAUUAUUAUCAUGAAUGCAAAAAAUCAAUAAUUUUGUUUAUAUGAACCAUCAACAAAGAAAAAAAAAAUCAAUAUCUAAAUAUUAAACAUAAUUUAUAUUUUUAUAAAUAUUAUUGUUGAUAAAUAUCUUAAUAAUUAUAAUUUUUUAUAUAUUAAAUUUAGUAAAUAAAAUUAAUUAAUUUUAUAAUAUAAGAUAUAUAUAAUAAUUAAGAGACUAUUUGUCCCAAACAAUUUAUUUAUUUUUUUUUUAGGAAAUUGUCUCUUCAAGAGACGACUUCUCCCAACAUUUUUAAAAAAAAAAAAAAAAACAUCUAUUCAAAAGACGAUUUCUCCUCAUUUUUUAAAAAUGAAUUUUAGAAAUCAUAUUUUCAAAAAUGAAUUUUAGAAAUCAUAUUUUCAAAAGACGAUUUUUUUUUAUAUAAAUUAUUUUUUAAAAUGACGAUUUUAAAAGGAAAUAACGAUCUCUCUCCUACUUGGCAAAAACUAUGGUAAAUUUGGAAUUAUUUCUUCCACAACCAUAGUUUAAGAAUUAUUUUUUUAUACUUUCGUAGACUUAUCAAAAAUCCCUAUUUUGCAUGUCUCAUUUGGCAUGACUUUCUUACCUAAACAAGCAUAUAUAUAUAUAUAUAUAUAUAUAUCACUUUUGUCUGGGUUGAGUCAAUGCCCUUAACUAAUUUGUUCAUUUGAAUAGUCUAAAUUAUUAUAAGCUUUUAGUUAAGAAAAAUGUGAAACAUAAAUUACACCUCUCGGCACAACUUCGACACUGGUUACUCUGUUUCAGUUUAUUCACACAAGAUUAUUGGUUCUAGGGUUUAUUUGGUUUUGGUUUGAUUCUAAUUGCUAAACUUUCUCAAGGAAGAUGUUAUAUAGGGAGUGAGAAACCUUCACUCCUGGCUACCUCCAAGAGAAGAGCAAGUGGUCUGAAUCAAAGAUAUACUGCUCACUUUUUCUUCUUCUAAGGACAGCUAUGACCUUGCUUUAAAAUGUUCGAAUAGCCUAAUGCAACCUCCCAUUUCUCAAGUCAGCUGAUGAUGUAAGUCACCUUGGCUUUCCACAUUCAUACGGUGAGGACGUUUGUGGGUGUAAUUCUCUUAACAGUUUUCAUUUUAUAUGGAAAAAUUCAUAAUUAAGGGUAAUUACUGAUUCCAUUUGACAGUGACCAAGUUUAAAAUAUUAACUCAUGUAUUAAAUGCACAUUAAAAAAUCAUGGAAUAAAUAUAUUUACUAAUAUAUAGUUCUUUUGUCAUGUUCUGUCACAGAAGCAUCGAACUUUCCCUAGAAAUUUUUGCAUGGUAUUCUGCUUAUGAUUUUGAAAACUCUAGGCACCUAAGGCCACUGAUUGCAUGGUUGGAUGAGGAGCUGCAUGAGAUUAUGUAUCCUGUUGCUCCUUAACUACAAAUAUCAGUUUUAAGUAGCAUCUCCAUGUGACAUUUUCCUGAUGCAAUUUCGCUGUCCACCAACAAAUGUCUCCAUGCAGCUAGAUGAAUUGUAAUUUCUUUGUUGUUAUCAACAGCUUUAAUUAAUCUUGAUAUAUAUAUAACUUAGUAGAAGUAAUUAAUCUAGAUUGUAGUUGCACUAAGAUAAUAGGCAAUAUUAUAACAGUGCCACAAUGCUCAUCGCCAAAUAGAAAGGUAGAAAAACUACAAUGAGUAACUCACACAACAUUCUCAAACAGGACAUAGCGGCGACUGAUACAUAGAACACUAUUGGCACUCAGGAAAUGAUAAGAUCAGUGCCCAGCAGGCAGCACGUCUUAUUUUACAUACUACUUAAAACUAACCAAAGUCAUUCAGUUGGGAUGGGUGGGAGAUGGUGGUUUGUGCGGUGGCUUCUUUCCUGGAACUGGUGGUUUUUUUGUUGGAGUUGAAGGAGGCUUAAUCGUCUGAGGUGGCUUGUAUGAGUCUUCAGCACUCUCUGCAAGAGGGUGCCCAGGGUUGUGACCAUAAUGAGGUGGCUUCUCUCCCUUAGGUGGUUUGCCAAGUGGGCUGGCUGGCUUGUGCUCCGGGAGCGGCUUCUCUCCCUUAGGUGGUUUGCCAAAUGGGCUUGCUGGCUUGUGCUCUGGGAGCGGCUUCUCUCCCCCAAGAAGUUUGCGGGUUUUGUCAGAUGGCUUGUGUUCUGGUGGUGGCUUCUCUCCUUGGGGUGGUUUGCCAAAUGGACUUGGUGGCUUGUGUUCGGGGAGUGGCUCCUCUCCCUUGGGAGGUUUAGUUGGUGGCUGGUGUUCCGUAGGUGGUUUCUCAACCGGGGGCUGGUGCUCCGUAGGUGGUUUAUGAACUGGGGGAUGCUUGGGGUAGUCAGCAAGAGACGGGGUGGUGAGAACCACCAGUCCCAGCAGCAACACUAGCAAGUAUGUGGAUGACAUCUUUGAGUUCAGGCUGAGAUUUGUGCAAGACUAGAAGAAUUAGGUGGCCUUUUAUAGCUGGCUGCACCCAACACUCACAUGACACGUAUCACGGUGACACAUGUGCUAUGGGAUCCAUUUGGGUCCUACAGAAGUUGAAAACUUUUGACUAUUGAGGUGUGAUCACAACUUUUGUCCCUAUUGCUUUCUCCGCAACCGUUUUACAUGUUUCCUUUGUGGUGUUUAAUAGUGUUUUUUUCCUUAAUUCUAAAUAAACCUUAAUACUUAAUAAUGUUAAAUAUUAGGUUAUUUAUUUUUAUAAUAUUUUAUUUAUAUUAAGUAUUAAAAAGUAAAGAAAAAUCAAUAUAUUUAUUUUUCUAUUUAGAAAAAACUAUAUAUUUUUAAUUUUUUUAUUUAAUAAAAAAUUUAUAAUAAAUCAUGAAAAAAUAGAAAAACAAACAACCUAAAUUUUAAAAAUAAAUUGUUUUUAGUAAAAACCCAAAAAAACAAACACCACCUUAACUAAACAAAUAUAUAUUAUAUUUAGUUAAGAAAGAGUAAAGUGUAUAUGGCUCAAAUCAAGGAAGAGAAACAGAAUAAGUGGAAGACAAUCAAUUGUGAUAAACAGAUAUAUUACAUGCAUGUAGUACUAGUGACUUUAUCAUUUACUUUUAUACAAUAGAUCAUCACACUCUUUCUUCUAAAUAUUUUGGAGGAUAAUGGUACAUGUUGCUUGUUGCCAAGUCAAAAUUGGUGGCAAAAAUCGGCAUGAUACGAAAGGAUUGGUGAAAAGAUUCACAUAGAUGGUGCUUUGUGCAAUGCAGUCUUGCUCUAAUUCAACAGAGUGGACCAUGGUGAUGUAUUUUAAAUUUUAAAUUUUAAAUUAAUGCAUGCUUCAAAGUUUUAACUAGAUGUCACUUCCAUGGAUUUUUGUUCAUUUAAUUGAGAACAGGAUAGGCUAUCAAACUUGAAGUAAUAUAAAAAUCCCUUCAUUACUGUAACUAAUGAAAGAUCAUUAUCUGCGCUUGGUAUUUUGCCAAGGUAUUUGCUGCUCUUUCUAGCCCUAUCUUACAGUUAAGGACAAUGUGAUCUAGUUAACCUUAGAAGCUAUUCCAUGUCAUAUACAAGAGAUCAAGCACAUUAUCUUUGGGCUCAGUUCAAAACUAUAAUAUAUGGGUGGGGUGGGGGCCUAUACCAUUUGCAUAUCACCACUAUUGGUUUAGUUUGGAAGGUUUCUUCUGGAAGAUUGCUUUCUGGAAACAUUUCAAAGAAAUAUAUCUUUUUGUUCUCUUGGUGACGAGCAGCGGCAAUCAAGUCUGUUGACAAACAACCGAGUUGAAAAGUUUGAAAAUUGGUCACAGCCCACGUCCAUGGUUAAGGAAAAGGUCACUGGAAGUGAUCCCUUCUGGGCCUGUUGGAAGCAGGGGAGGUUAACACACCAAGCAACAAAGAACAGAGAUAUGCUGCUACUGAUCUAUAUUUUUUAUUUGAUCAUAAGGCUAAAUUUAUACAGAUUGUGUAACAGAUAUGACCUCAAAAAAAAGCAUCAAAUCAAGCUACUUGUUGAACAAACAACUACCUUCUACAAAAUAACAUCAAAAUUUAACUUAAAAGCAAAAACAUAAAAAUAGCAACAGCAAAAAUAGAAACAUAAAAAUAGCUUCAGCAUUCUAGUAAUCUCGUUGACUUCAAUUGCAUGUGGUUGACGAUUUCAGCCUUUUCCUCAGCAGCUACUAAGGCAUAACUCUCAACACUCCUCCUUGACUUAGGAGGUGCAAACUCCAAGUCUUUCUCAUAGAAACUCAAAUCUUAUUUUAGGAAGAGCUUUAGUCAGAAUAUCUACAUUUUGACUGUCUGUAUUGCAGUAGACUAGUUGUAUAUCUCCUUCUUUCUGUACUUCCCUCAAAAAUUACAAUUUAAUCUUGAAGUGCUUUGUUUUACCAUGAAAAACUGGAUCAUUUGCAAUAGAUAUAGUGGCCUGGUUGUCUACAAACACCUUUGUACUCACUUCUUGCUUCAUAUCCAAAUCUGUCAGCAACUUUCCAAGCCAUAAGGCUUGAUUUACAGCUGUAACAGCAGCAAUAUACUCUGCCUCAGCUGUGGAUUGAGCCACGACUUCUUGCUUCCUUGAACUCCAUGAAAAAACACCAGAACCAAAACUAAAACAAUAGCCUGAAGUACUUCUCAUAUCGUCAACACAACCAGCCCAAUCACUAUCAGAAAAUCCAUGAAAAUUGAAACUUUGAACUUGACUGAACUUAAUGCCAUAAUCCACAGUGCCUUUAACAUUUCUUAUCACACGCUUUGCUGCCUGGAAAUGAAUUUCACUAGCACAAUGCAUGUAUCUCGAAAGUAGACUUACAGCAUGCAUUAUAUCGAGUCUUGUUGCAGUCAAGUACAUUAAGCAUCCAAUCAUGCUUCGAUAAAGUCCUUCAUCUACCUUUUUAGCACCGUCCUCCUUACAGAACUUCUCUUUCUGGUUCAUAGGGGUAGAUGUAGGUUUGCAUUCCUCCAUUUUGAAUUUCUUCAUAAUUUCUUUGGCAUAUUUUUGUUGGCAGAUGAAAAUCUCAUUCUGCUUCUGGUGUACUUCCAUUCCCAAGAAGUAAGACAUCUCAUCUAGGUCUGUCAUCUCAAAAACCUGCUCCAUUUCAGCCUUGAAUUUGUUCACAAACCCUGCAUUACUUCCUGUUACAAGCAAAUCAUCAACAUAUAGAGAAACAAUUAAUAUAUCUUCUUCAAUCUUCUUAAUGUAGAGUGUAAAUUCACUCAAGCUCUUGUGAAAGCCUAAAGUUAGCAGGUGAGUGUCAAUCCUGCUGUACCAAGCUCUAGGGGCUUGUCUUAACCCAUACAAGGCCUUCUUAAGAAGGUAUACUUUUUCUUCUUUUCCUUUGAUAGCAAAACCUUCUGGUUGUUCGACAAAAAUCUCUUCCUCUAAGUAGCCAUUCAAAAAUGCUGACUUCACAUCUAGUUGAUAAAUCUUCCAUUUUCUUUGAGCUACAAGAGCCAACAACAUCCUGAUUGUAUCCAAACGAGCUACUGGUGCAAAGGUUUCCGAAAAGUCAACACCAAACAUUUGUGCAUACCCUUUGACAACCAGCCUUGCUUUAUGUUUGUUUAUAGAACCAUCAGAGUUGAGUUUGGUUCUGUAAACCCACUUAACCCCAAUAGGUUUUUUGUGUGAAGGUCUAUCUACUAGCUCCCAAGUGUUGUUCUUGUCAAUCAUAUCUAGCUCCUCCUGCAUUGCAACCCUCCAUCUUUUAUUUUCAGCAGCUUCAACAAACCCUGCAAGUUCAAGAACAGCUAUAUUACACCUUUGAUAAAUAUCAAAAAGUGUCAUGAAACCUCUAACUGGAAGUUCAUCAACAUCUUCAUCAAUAUAUUGCUGAUUCUGCUCAUCCCAACUCCAUUUCUCCGUUUCCAAAAACUUAACAUCUCUACUUACCACAAUUUUACUAUUUUGUGGCAAGUAGAUUCUGUAAGCUUUUGAGGUGCUGUUGUAUCCAAUGAAAAUUCCUGGUUCUGACUUUUUAUCUAGCUUGUCUCUUUUCACCUGAGGAACAUAAGAGAAACACAAGCAACCAAAGGUCUUUAAAUUCAUUAGCAUAGGCUUAUAAGCAAACCAGGCCUCAAAAGGUGUCUGUUUCUGCAAUGCUUUUGUUGGUAGUCUAUUUAGCAAAAAUACUACUGUAUUUGCAGCUUCAACCCAAAAACUUUUUGGCAGCUCUUUCUCAUGCAAAAGACAUCUUGUCAUUGAUUACUACUCAAAAAGUGCUAUUUGAUAGCCUUUAAUUAAUCCUUUUUAACACUUUUGAGUAGUAGUUUAGGCCUUUUAACUCAAUUGGCAUGUUAAGGAUCCUUUAAAGCAAUUUUGAUCACUUUGUGCAAGUUUUGGUGUUUUUGUUAGUAUUUCGAUCACCAAAGCAAGUCAAGAAUGAGGAGAGCUAUGAGGAAUCUUGGGCAAAGCUUAGAAUUCAAUUGCCAAGAGUGAAUCCGGAUUGCAAGGAGAAAAAGCAAAGAGGAUCAGUCAUGGAGCAUAUUCUUGAUGACAGUCGUAGCAGCCACUUUUGGAUCACUUUCUGAAGUCCAAAUGAUGCAAGCUAUAUACCAUUUCAAAGCUCAGGAAGUCAACAAUCCAAUGCUUCAAACGGUGUGCGAUUCGGAAUUGAAACGAAGAAGUUGCAGCCAUUACAAGCCAGACACUCUAAAGUGUUGCGGAAUCAGCCAUGUGUUGCGAGAAUUUCGCAGCACUUUUGUACAGUAAGGUGUUUCUCCUUCUAACGAUGCACGAACCAUGCCGCGAGAAGGGAGCUGGAAACUUCAAGAUGGAAGCCAACUUUGCAGCCUAGUGAAGAUAGCUCGGUCUUGCAAGAUAAUUUCGCAGCCCUCUUGGGUGUCUGCGAAAUUUCGCAGGCCUCAUUUUUCACCUGCGAAAUGGCUCUUGAAGCCUCCCGAAGCUUGCUACCGACAUUGGGAGAUAUUUUCCAUUAGAUUUUUGUUGUCUAAAUCCCAAAAUACUCCUUGUAAACCACCAAUUACAUGAUUCCUUAGUUUUUAAGUUAGUAAAAAGACCAAAUAUCUUUGUAACAAUUAGUUUUAUAUUUUGUUGUUAUAAAUACCUCUCGGGAGCCUGUUCUCAGGGAGGAGUUCCUUCUGUAAACGUUUGGUAAGCAAGUAAAGUCUAUUUUCUUUCUACUGCCUUACCUUCUCACUUUGUAUUUUCAUUUUAUUUCUAAGUUAUGAAUUCUCUGAGGAGUUUUCCCCAAAGAAUGAGUAACUAAACCUCCAAUUCCUUGGAGCUAAGGUUGCCGGGGAAGGUUCCAAGUGCAAGAAUGCAAAGCUCUGUGGUUUUAGCUAGUAAUGAAGAGGAAGUGAAAUCCUUUAGUGAUUUCAAUGUUUUUAGUUAACUUAAAACACUUUGGAGUCACCUGGGCCAACACUUGGUAAGGCAAGUGAUUUCCAACCAUGGAAAUGCACUAGUUUACCCCUUGCGAGCCUCUGGUAGGUGACUUCAAGGUAGGAUUUUCUGGAAUUACCAACACUUGGUAAGCUUUUGGACUCCUAGGAGACAUCCAUUAGUUAUCUCUUGCGAGUUUGUGAAGGGAAUCCAAGGUUAAAGAUCACCUUGAAUGGUAAGUGCUCGUGAGAGGCAUGAACCAUUGCAAGUUGUAUCAGUGAGAGAAUUAAAGUGAAAUCUAAUUGAAGGAGUCUUUGUACAUCACCGGUUAGAGAAUUGACUAUAAGUUGAAUCUCUAAUGCGAGGAAAUGAACCAACUGACCAGAGCCGUGUCUUUUGCAUGAGGAACCACCCCAGUGAACCUAAAUCUCCAAGGAAUGUUUUUUUCUUCCUAAAUUAUUCCAAACUUCUGUUAAGUUAGUUAGUUUAAAUCUCAACCUUUACAAAUCAAAGUUUGUGUUUUAUUCCUUAAGCUAACCGUGAAAUGAAACAAGACCAAUUCACUUGGAAUUGGUAUCAUUGAUUGCCUGCAAAUCAUUCCCAGUGAACGAUCCUAGAGCCACUAUACUAUAGUAGCUUUGUAUUUGCUACCCUAGUGUAUGGUGUUAUAGGUAUAAAUUUUGUUGAUCACUUCCUCAAUCAAGGAGCACCAGCUGAACACAAAUCAGCUGAGACACCAAUUAGGCAUGAGUCAAAUGGCGCCGUUGCCGGGGAAUGAAUGUCAAGUUCAUUGUGAUACCAUUGUUGAGCACUUGUGAUUUUCAUCACAAGUUGGUAAAGUUUCUUUCACUUUACUAAUUUUCAUUCUUUCUUUGUUUAUUUACAAUCUAAGUUUAUCUUUUUAAAUUUUAGUCUAGUUUAAUUUUGUUGUUGUAGCCCUGUUUUUCUUGUUGUCCUCUGUUUUCAUUUUUUUUUUCAGGUAGAUACUAGUUGUGUAUGCCCAAGUGGAUACGAGACAUAGGAGGUAGGCUUGUUAAGUGUGAUACACCUCAGAAAGGAGAAUUUGAAGUAAUCUUGAAUAUCAUGGAGGCUGCACCUGAAGAUCAGCAUAGUCACCAAGGUCGUCAAGACAAUCUCAAUGAAUUCAGAUCAAUGAGGGACCGUAUGCAUCCACCUCGUAUGAGUACACCAUCAUGUAUAGUGCCCCCUACAGAGCAGCUAGUGAUCAGACCAUAUCUUGUUCCACUUCUACCAACUUUCCAUGGGAUGGAAAGUGAGAAUCCGUAUGCACACAUCAAGGAAUUUGAAGAUGUUUGUAAUACAUUCCAAGAAGGAGGAGCUUCAAUUGACUUGAUGAGGCUUAAGUUAUUUCCUUUUACUUUAAAGGAUAAGGCCAAAAUUUGGCUUAAUUCUUUAAGGCCAAGGAGUAUCCGCUCUUGGACUGAUUUACAAGCUGAGUUCCUUAAGAAAUUUUUUCCUACUCAUAGAACAAAUGGCUUGAAAAGGCAAAUUUCAAACUUCUCAGCUAAAGAGAAUGAGAAAUUCUAUGAGUGUUGGGAAAGAUACAUGGAAGCUAUAAAUGCUUGUCCUCACCAUGGCUUUGAUACUUGGCUAUUGGUGAGCUAUUUUUAUGAUGGUAUGUCCUCCUCAAUGAAGCAACUCCUCGAGACAAUGUGUGGAGGAGAUUUCAUGAGCAAAAAUCCAGAGGAAGCUAUGGAUUUCUUGAGCUAUGUAGCUGAUGUUUCAAGGGGAUGGGAUGAACCAACUAAAGGAGAAGUGGGAAAGAUGAAGUCUCAGUUGAAUGCUUACAAUGCAAAGGCUGGGAUGUAUAAUUUGAAAGAAGAUGAUGACAUGAAAGCAAAGUUGGCAGCUAUGACAAGAAGAUUGGAGGAGCUGGAGCUGAAAAGAAUGCAUGAAGUGCAAGCUGUUGCUGAAGCACCAGUGCAAGUGAAGCUGUGUCCCAAUUGUCAAUCAUUUGAACAUUUGGUGGAGGAGUGCCCUGCAAUUUCAGUUGAAAGGGAAAUGUAUAGAGAUCAAGCAAAUGUUGUUGGACAAUUUAGGCCCAAUAACAAUGCUCCUUAUGGAAAUACCUACAAUUCAAGUUGGAGGAAUCAUCCAAAUUUCUCAUAGAAGGCCAGAGCAACUCAAUACCAACAGCCGGAUCCACCAUCUCAGCAAUCUUCAAGUAUUGAACAAAUAAUAGCCAAUCUCAGCAAGGUAGUGGGAGAUUUUGUGGGAAAGCAAGAAGCCACCAAUGCUCGAGUUGAUCAAAGAAUGGAUAGAAUGGAGAGUGUGUUGAACAAAAGAAUGGAUGGAAUGCAAAAUGAUAUGAACCAAAAGUUUGAUAACAUCCAAUAUUCAAUUUCAAGGCUUACAAAUUUGAAUACACUGCAAGAAAAAGGAAGAUUUCCUUCUCAACCUAACCAAAAUCCCAAAGGUGUCCAUGAAGUGGAAAGCCAUGAGGGAGAAUCAUCACAGGUGAAAGAUGUGAAAGCUUUGAUCACUCUAAGGAGUGGUAAGAAAAUUGAGCAGCCAACACCCAUGCCACAUGUUGAGAAAGAAGAAGGGAUAAAGAAAGGAAAGGAAAUAGAAGAUAAAGACAGUGAGAUCAGUGAAGAAAAGAAGGACUCUGAUUCAACAAUCAAAGCAAUUCCAGAGAAAGAGCUUCUGAAGGAAGAAAUGCUGAAGAAAUCAACUUUUCCACCUUUUCCUCAAGCAUUACAGGGGAAAAAGGGGGUUAGAAAUGCAGCUGAAAUCCUUGAAGUCUUAAGACAAGUAAAAGUUAAUAUUCCACUGCUGGAUAUGAUCAAACAAGUUCCAACGUAUGCAAAAUUCCUAAAGGACUUGUGUACUAUCAAAAGAGGGGUUGACUGUAAACAAGAAAGCCUUCUUGACUGAGCAAGUAAGUGCAAUCUUACAAUGCAAGUCUCCUUUGAAGUACAAAGACCCUGGAAGUCCUACCAUUUCAGUCAUGAUUGGAGGAAAGGUAGUGGAGAAAGCCUUGCUAGACUUGGGAGCAAGUGUGAAUUUGCUUCCAUACUCUGUCUACAAGCAACUGGGACUUGGAGAGUUGAAGCCAACAGCAAUCACUUUAUCUUUGGCAGAUAGAUCAGUGAAAAUUCCAAGAGGAGUAAUUGAGGAUGUAUUGGUUCAAGUGGAUAAUUUCUACUAUCCAGUAGAUUUUGUUGUUCUUGAUACUGAUCCAACUGUAAAGGAAGCUAAUUUAGUUCCUAUCAUCCUUGGAAGGCCAUUUCUUGCAACUUCAAAUGCAAUCAUCAACUGUAGAAAUGGGCUUAUGCAACUCACUUUUGGUAACAUGACACUGGAUCUCAAUAUUUUCUAUAUGUCUAAAAAGCAAAUCACUCCUGAGGAAGAAGAAGGUCCAGAAGAGCUAUGUAUUAUUGAUACUUUGGUGGAGGAGCACUGCAAUCAGCAUAUGCAAGAUAAGUUGAAUGAAAGUCUUGUGGAUAUUGAGGAAGGUUUUUCUGAAUCUCCUAUUGGGCUUGCUACUCUACAAAGUUGGAGAAAGAUAGAAGGAAUUCUACCUUUGUUCAAUGAAAAAGAGGAGGCAACUGUUGAAGAAGAAAUUCCAAAACUCAAUUUGAAGCCUUUACCUGUGGAGCUGAAAUAUACAUAUCUUGAAGCAAAUAAUCAAUGUCCUGUUGUGAUAUCCUCAUCUCUGACCAGUCAUCAAGAGAAUUGUUUAAUGGAAGUUCUCAUGAGGUGUAAGAAGGCAAUAGGAUGGCAAAUAUCUGACUUGAAAGGCAUUAGUCCUUUAGUUUGUACUCAUCAUAUAUAUAUGGAGGAGGAAGCAAAGCCAAUUCGUCAAUUUCAAAGAAGGUUGAAUCCUCAUCUACAAGAGGUGGUGCGAGCUGAGGUGCUGAAGCUACUUCAAGCAGGAAUCAUUUACCCUAUUUCUGAUAGCCCUUGGGUGAGUCCUACUCAAGUGGUACCAAAGAAGUCAGGGAUCACAGUGAUUCAAAAUGAAAAAGGGGAAGAAAUUACUACACGCCUCACUUCAGGUUGGAGGGUGUGUAUUGAUUAUAGAAAGCUGAAUGCUGUCACCAGGAAGGAUCAUUUUCCAUUGCCAUUUAUUGAUCAAGUGCUGGAGAGAGUCUCUGGACAUCCAUUUUAUUGUUUCUUGGAUGGGUAUUCAGGCUAUUUUCAAAUUGAAAUUGAUUUGGCAGAUCAGGAAAAGACCACUUUUACAUGUCCAUUUGGAACAUUUGCUUAUAGAAGAAUGCCUUUUGGUUUAUGCAAUGCACCUGCUACAUUUCAAAGAUGUAUGUUGAGUAUUUUCAGUGAUAUGGUGGAGAGAAUUAUGGAGGUUUUCAUGGAUGACAUCACCGUAUAUGGAGGUACAUUUGAGGAGUGCUUGGUUAAUUUGGAAGCAGUUCUUCAUAGAUGCAUUGAAAAAGAUUUGGUGCUGAACUGGGAGAAAUGCCAUUUUAUGGUACGUCAAGGAAUUGUCCUUGGCCAUAUCAUCUCUGAAAGAGGCAUUGAAGUUGAUAAAGCAAAGGUGGAGCUUAUUGCCAAAUUACCAUCUCCAACAACUGUGAAAGGAGUAAGACAGUUCCUUGGCCAUGCAGGGUUCUAUAGGAGGUUUAUAAAAGGUUUUUCAAGUCUUUCAAAACCUCUUUGUGAGCUGUUAGCUAAGGAUGCUAAGUUUAUAUGGGAUGAAAGGUGUCAGCAUAGCUUUGAUCAACUGAAGAAGUUUUUAACAACAACUCCAAUAGUGAGAGCCCCUAACUGGCAAUUACCUUUUGAACUGAUGUGUGAUGCCAGUGACUUUGCUAUAGGAGCUGUGCUUGGCCAAAGAGAAGAUGGGAAGCCCUAUGUGAUUUACUAUGCAAGUAAAACACUAAAUGAAGCUCAGAGGAACUACACAACUACAGAGAAAGAAUUGUUAGCUGUGGUAUUUGCUUUGGACAAAUUUCGAGCUUAUUUAGUGGGGUCUUUCAUCAUUGUCUUCACUGACCAUUCAGCCUUGAAGUAUUUAUUGACAAAGCAAGAUGCAAAAGCAAGGUUGAUUAGAUGGAUUCUAUUGUUACAAGAGUUCGAUCUUCAAAUCAAAGAUAAGAAAGGAGUGGAGAAUGUAGUAGCUGACCACUUGUCAAGGUUAGUUAUAGCACAUAAUUCCCAUCCCUUGCCUAUCAAUGAUGAUUUUCCUGAAGAAUCACUCAUGUUCCUAGUGAAAACUCCUUGGUAUGCUCAUAUUGCUAAUUAUUUAGUAACUGGGGAAAUUCCAAGUGAGUGGAAUGCACAGGACAGGAAGCACUUCUUUGCCAAAAUUCAUGCUUAUUAUUGGGAAGAGCCCUUUCUCUUUAAGUAUUGUGCAGAUCAGAUUAUUAGGAAGUGUGUCCCUGAAGAUGAGCAGCAAGGGAUUCUAUCUCAGUGUCAUGAGAAUGCAUGUGGAGGCCACUUUGCCUCUCAGAAAACAGCCAUGAAGGUAUUACAAUCAGGGUUUACUUGGCCAUCUCUUUUCAAAGAUGCCCACAUCAUGUGUAGAAAUUGUGAUAGAUGCCAAAGGCUUGGAAAGCUAACAAAAAGAAAUCAAAUGCCUAUGAACCCCAUUCUGAUAGUUGAGAUAUUUGAUGUUUAGGGCAUUGACUUCAUGGGACCUUUCCCAAUGUCUUUUGGUAAUUCUUACAUUUUGGUGGGGGUAAAUUAUGUUUCUAAAUGGGUUGAGGCAAUCCCCUGUAAGCAAAAUGAUCACAGGGUGGUUCUCAAGUUUCUUAAAGAGAACAUUUUCUCAAGAUUUGGGGUGCCCAAGGCCAUAAUCAGUGAUGGAGGAGCUCAUUUUUGCAACAAACCUUUUGAAGCUCUGUUAUCCAAGUAUGGAGUGAAGCAUAAGGUAGCCACACCUUAUCAUCCUCAGACAUCCGGGCAAGUUGAGCUAGCUAACAGGGAAAUAAAGAACAUUUUGAUGAAAGUGGUGAAUUCCAACAGAAAAGAUUGGUCUAUUAGGCUUCAUGAUUCAUUGUGGGCAUAUAGAACAGCUUAUAAAACUAUUCUUGGGAUGUCUCCCUAUCGUCUUGUCUAUGGCAAAGCAUGCCAUCUCCCUGUGGAAGUUGAAUACAAAGCUUGGUGGGCAAUAAAGAAGCUGAAUAUGGACUUGAUCAAGGCCGGAGAAAAGAGAUUUCUAGACCUUAAUGAGAUGGAGGAAUUAAGAAAUAAUGCUUAUAUCAAUUCCAAAGUUGCAAAACAGAGGAUGAAGAAGUGGCAUGAUCAACUCAUCUCCAACAAGGAAUUUCAGGAAGGGCAAAAAGUUUUGAUGUAUGACACAAGACUCCAUAUCUUUCCUGGGAAGCUCAAAUCAAGGUGGAUUGGUCCAUUUGUUAUUCACCGAGUAUAUUCCAAUGGAGUGGUGGACUUAUUGAAUUCCAAUGGCAAGGAUAGCUUUAAAGUCAAUGGAUAUCGUCUCAAGCCGUUCAUGGAGUCAUUCAAAUCAGAAAAGGAGGCAAUCAACCUCCUUGAACCUCAAAAAGCCUAAGUGAAAAGGGUUUGCUGGACGUGGCUUUACCACAGUCCAAAAUUUUUGUAAAUUUUGUAAAUUUUCAAGUUGUUUCUAUACUUUUGAUUUUAGUUUUUGAUCUUAAAUCAUGUUUUUAGGUGUGUUUUAAUCGUUUUAAAUGAUCCCAGGUGGAAGAAAUUUCAAGGGGAUUGAAAGAAAAAAAAUCGGGUCGAAAUUGGAGCCGAAACAGAGCAAAAACAGGGGAAAAACAGAGCUCUGCGAAAUUUCGCAGGGUGAAGGAAACCUCUGCGAAAUGAGCAUUUUGUUGCGAAACCAUUCCGCAGCACUGUAGAAGCCUCUGCGAGUGUAUUUCGCAGCUGCGAAAGUGAAUUUGGCACACGAGUGCCACUUCGCAGUACAGUAGCAUCCAUUUGGCAGCUGCGAAACUCAUUGCGAAAUGGAAAAGCGUGAUUUCGCACCAAAAGUCCCAUUCCGCAGGGUAUUUCGCAAUUGCGAAAGUGGUUUUGGCACACGAGUGCCACUCCGCAGCACAGUAACAUCAAUUUCGCAGCUGCGAAACUCACUGCGAAGUUGCUGCGAAAAUGGCAAGUUGCUGCGAAAUUGGCGUUUAGUUGCGAAACUUAAACUGACCCCUGAGCUUCCGUUUUUCCUAUUUAUACCGGUCAAAAGUGCUGCGAAAAGGGUUUCAAAAAUCAGAGCACCAUUCUCGCAGCCCCUUCAUCUUCUUCGCCAAGCCACGCCGUCCGAACCUCCGGUCGUCUUCUCCGUUUAGCAGCGCCGGCCAAAGAUCGAUAUUCCAAAAUGGCACGAACGCGAGGGGCAAAAUCUUCAUCCCCUUCGAAUCGCAAAAGGAGUCUGCGAAAGGAGCCAAGUCCAGGUUCUGCUCCAGAACCUGCUCCAAAGCCUUCGCCGUCGAGACCACAACCUUCUCCAGUGAAGCCGGCGCCACUAAAGCCGCCGGCAAGACGAUAUUUGACAAGGUCAGGCGGUUGGCCAUUGAAGAAGAAGCCCAGGGUUGAGAGCUCUGAACCAAUUGAUUUGACUGAGCAAUCCCCUGAGCAGUCCCCAAAUCCUUCACCAGUUCAAACUCCAGUGCCGUCACCGGUUCCCUCGCCAAUUCCCUCACCUGAAGCAACUCCAAUUCCAUCGUCGGUACCAUCUCCGGCACCCCAAGAAAAAGCUCAGGAGCCUCAAGCGCCAAUUCCAGAGCCCCAAAUUGCAGCUGAAGCACCUCUGGAAGAAGUGAUCCGAAGGCCAAUGCUGCCCCAGCCCCCAAUCGAAGGAAACUUGGAUUGUCGAACACGGGCAUUCCAUUCUGAGCUUUGCUUCGAUUUAACAGCAUUCAGAGUGAGGCCAGAGCUUGCCCAAUCCUUCCAGCUGCUGAGGAGAUAUCAUAUGGAGCAUCUGCUAGCUCCAAGGGAUUUUUUCUAUCCCCGGGUAGUCACGGACUUCUACCAGACCAUGACAACCAAAGAAGUAAGAAAUCCAACUCUGAUCCAUUUCAUAAUUGAUGGAAGGCAUGGUAUUUUGGGAGCAAGACACAUUGCUGAAGCUCUGCAAAUUCCUUUUGAGCCAACCCAAUUCGACAAUUUUAAAGCUUGGGUAAAUCCUACUGAGUUAGAGAUGGUUCGCACACUAACCAGAGGAGCUGCAAAUCGAUCACACCUGUUGAGGGGGGAGCUACCUCCAGUGAUGUUUUUGAUUGAUGCCUUUUUGAGGCAUAAUAUCUAUCCCCUGCAGCAUUGGACCCAAAGAAGGGGAAUUCUCCUGGAAGCUUUGUACAAGAUGUCAGAAGGAUUCUUCUUUGGGCCCCAUCAUCUUAUCAUGGCAGCCCUUCUAUACUUUGAGGAAAAGGUUCACAAGAAGAAACUUCAAAGAGCAGAUUGCAUUCCACUCCUCUUCCCAAGGCUGCUAUGCCAAGUUUUGGAGCAUCUCGGAUACCCCUCUGAGCCUCAGCAGGAAAGAAAGAGAAUAUGCCGUGAGCCAUUUACUCUUGAUAAAUGGAAUAAUAUGACGGCCUACAAAAUUGAUCAGCCUGGGCAGCCUCAGCCAGCAGCAAGGAGAGCCUCCCCAAGACAUGCACCUGAAGGUAUAACACUUGCUACUCCUGCCAUCCCUCGAGCUUCACCAGCUGCACCUGCUGCAUCACAGCCAUCCACAUCAGCUGAGCCGAGGAUGGCCAUCCCUAUAUCCGAAUAUCGAGAGCUGUGCCGAGCAUUGGAGACUCUUACAGCUUCCCAGAGCAAUCUUGCUCAAGAGUUGGCAGCCAUCAAAGCAUGCCAGGAGCAGAUGUUAGCCUCUCAGGCUCAACAAGCUGCCAUCCUAAGGCAGCUUCAAGUCCAUUUCGAUCUGCCACAAGCUGUAGAGCCCUCCACUGAGACUCCACCAGAGCCACACUCUCAGCCUUCAGAGUCUCUUCCUCCAGAGCCAGAAGCCCCAACUGAUCCACCUACAGAGGAGGCGGAUCCUUCUGCUUAGCACCAUCACCCCACUCAUCAGACAUUAUAUAUAUUUGCUGUUUAUGUUUUUAUGCAUGUUUGUUUUGUUUUAGUUGAAAUGAAAUCCCAGUAUUUUGGUACUAUAUAUGGGAUUCCUUGUGAUUACUUGUCCUUAGCAUUGUACUCGAAUGAAUUGAAAGUAAUACAAGUUGAAUUUUUCUUGUUAAAAGUUAGCAUUAAAAUUCUCCUUAUUUCCUUUUCUCACAUAUUCUAUUCUUUUUGAAACAUGUGGUUUUCCCCAAUCAAUAUUCGAAUUUGAUAUCAGCAUGGAGGUACCACUUCCUCCCUUUUAUUACAGUCACUCAAAUCACAUUGAGGACAAUGCUCAGUUCGGUUGGGGGGUAUGAGGAAGGAAGUAUUCUAAAUCUUUUUGGUAUUGCAAUUAUAUUGGUUAAUUAGUUGUAGAUUUUACGUUUUACUCUUGUUACUCUAUUCUCCAUGAAUUUUGAGGAAAAAUUUUCAAAUUAAACCAAGAGAAAUUGAACUGUUGUUUUUCACUUGACUUAGAGUAUGGAUUAUGCUUACUAAAGUGGUUCAAUUGUUGAAACUUCUACUGAAAUUGAAUUGAGUUCUUCCAUUUUAAGCUAUCCACACACUGUGCACAUUAGUUUCUGAUUAUAAGAUGAAAAGCUAUUUCCCUCUUGACUUAGGAUAAUUUUGGGACUUGGUAUAUUUGACCUCAUUUGAUAAAAAUUGAAACACCCUGCAAAAGGCCAAUGAGCCUUUGAAAUAAAGAAAGAUGUUUGCUUGCCUUGAAACCCGAGCAAGGUCUGAGGGGCAUAUGGUGAAAGCCUUUAAAGCCUGGUGCCCUAAGCCUUAAUUGGUUGGGAGUCACCGACCUCAAUGCUCGUUACAAGGGUGAAUAGGUAGAGCUAGCAUAUGGUAGAUGCUUGGGUAUUAGAAAUUCAUUCUUAAAAGUCCAGGGAAAAAUCCGAGGAGUUAGUGGUUGAAAGAUCCUUAAAACUUGGUGCCCUAAACCUUAAUUGGUUGGGAGUCAUCGAUGGACCCCCAUUACAUGGACAAGUCAGAAAGAGUACCCCAUAAAGCUACUUUAAAAAAAAAAAAAAAAAAAAAAAAAAGAUGAUGAAAGUGUGUUCUUUUCUUAUUGAUUUUGGUCAGAUUGCUAAAGUGUUGAAAAGAGAUAGGUUGGGGGGGGAGACUAGUUUAGCAUAUUAUUCUCGGAAUCUAAGGAACCAAUACACAUAGAUUUUUGUGGAAGAUUGAAGUUUAGUUCUUAGAAAGUGAAAUGAUUUUAAAACUUCAGUUUGCAUAAUGCACUCCCUUGAUUGACAGUGUUUAGCAUAGGUGUUAUGACUCUUGUUGAGAUUUGGGUUUGUAUUUCUUUAAUGAUUCAUGUGAGAAGUAAAUCAUCAUGCCACUUAAGAAUUAUUUUCCUUUCAGCAUGAUGUUGUAAAUUUUAGAUUAGUUUGCUAUUUAUUUUUAUUUUUCUCUCCUUUAUUGCUAAGGGACUAGCAAUAUGUCGGUUGGGGGGAGUGAUUACUACUCAAAAAGUGCUAUUUGAUAGCCUUUAAUUAAUCCUUUUUAACACUUUUGAGUAGUAGUUUAGGCCUUUUAACUCAAUUGGCAUGUUAAGGAUCCUUUAAAGCAAUUUUGAUCACUUUGUGCAAGUUUUGGUGUUUUUGUUAGUAUUUCGAUCACCAAAGCAAGUCAAGAAUGAGGAGAGCUAUGAGGAAUCUUGGGCAAAGCUUAGAAUUCAAUUGCCAAGAGUGAAUCCGGAUUGCAAGGAGAAAAAGCAAAGAGGAUCAGUCAUGGAGCAUAUUCUUGAUGACAGUCGUAGCAGCCACUUUUGGAGCACUUUCUGAAGUCCAAAUGAUGCAAGCUAUAUACCAUUUCAAAGCUCAGGAAGUCAACAAUCCAAUGCUUCAAACGGUGUGCGAUUCGGAAUUGAAACGAAGAAGUUGCAGCCAUUACAAGCCAGACACUCUAAAGUGUUGCGGAAUCAGCCAUGUGUUGCGAGAAUUUCGCAGCACUUUUGUACAGUAAGGUGUUUCUCCUUCUAACGAUGCACGAACCAUGCCGCGAGAAGGGAGCUGGAAACUUCAAGAUGGAAGCCAACUUGGCAGCCUAGUGAAGAUAGCUCGGUCUUGCAAGAUAAUUUCGCAGCCCUCUUGGGUGUCUGCGAAAUUUCGCAGGCCUCAUUUUUCACCUGCGAAAUGGCUCCUGAAGCCUCCCGAAGCUUGCUACCGACAUUGGGAGAUAUUUUCCAUUAGAUUUUUGUUGUCUAAAUCCCAAAAUACUCCUUGUAAACCACCAAUUACAUGAUUCCUUAGUUUUUAAGUUAGUAAAAAGACCAAAUAUCUUUGUAACAAUUAGUUUUAUAUUUUGUUGUUAUAAAUACCUCUCGGGAGCCUGUUCUCAGGGAGGAGUUCCUUCUGUAAACGUUUGGUAAGCAAGUAAAGUCUAUUUUCUUUCUACUGCCUUACCUUCUCACUUUGUAUUUUCAUUUUAUUUCUAAGUUAUGAAUUCUCUGAGGAGUUUUCCCCAAAGAAUGAGUAACUAAACCUCCAAUUCCUUGGAGCUAAGGUUGCCGGGGAAGGUUCCAAGUGCAAGAAUGCAAAGCUCUGUGGUUUUAGCUAGUAAUGAAGAGGAAGUGAAAUCCUUUAGUGAUUUCAAUGUUUUUAGUUAACUUAAAACACUUUGGAGUCACCUGGGCCAACACUUGGUAAGGCAAGUGAUUUCCAACCAUGGAAAUGCACUAGUUUACCCCUUGCGAGCCUCUGGUAGGUGACUUCAAGGUAGGAUUUUCUGGAAUUACCAACACUUGGUAAGCUUUUGGACUCCUAGGAGACAUCCAUUAGUUAUCUCUUGCGAGUUUGUGAAGGGAAUCCAAGGUUAAAGAUCACCUUGAAUGGUAAGUGCUCGUGAGAGGCAUGAACCAUUGCAAGUUGUAUCAGUGAGAGAAUUAAAGUGAAAUCUAAUUGAAGGAGUCUUUGUACAUCACCGGUUAGAGAAUUGACUAUAAGUUGAAUCUCUAAUGCGAGGAAAUGAACCAACUGACCAGAGCCGUGUCUUUUGCAUGAGGAACCACCCCAGUGAACCUAAAUCUCCAAGGAAUGUUUUUUUCUUCCUAAAUUAUUCCAAACUUCUGUUAAGUUAGUUAGUUUAAAUCUCAACCUUUACAAAUCAAAGUUUGUGUUUUAUUCCUUAAGCUAACCGUGAAAUGAAACAAGACCAAUUCACUUGGAAUUGGUAUCAUUGAUUGCCUGCAAAUCAUUCCCAAUGAACGAUCCUAGAGCCACUAUACUAUAGUAGCUUUGUAUUUACUACCCUAGUGUAUGGUGUUAUAGGUAUAAAUUUUGUUGAUCACUUCCUCAAUCAAGGAGCACCAGCUGAACACAAAUCAGCUGAGACACCAAUUAGGCAUGAGUCAGUCAUCUCCAUUAUUGUUUUAUUUUUUCUUUCCACCACCCCAUUUUGUUGUGGGGUGUAUGGUGCAAUGAGCUGGUGAUCUAUGCCUGCAUCUUCACAAAAUUUGUUGAAUUUUUCUGAAGUAUAUUCUGUACCAUUAUUCGACCUUAUAACCUUGAUUCUGUAUUCACUUUGAUUUUCAACCAUGGCCUUAUAUCUCAAAAACACAUCAGCAACCUCAGCUUUGUAAGUGAGAAAAUAAAUCCAACAAAAUCUUGUGAAGUCAUCAAUAAAUGCAAUAUAGUACUUACUCCCUUUCAAAGAUGGUGUCUUUUGAGGUCCACUCACAUCUGUGUGAACCAAUUGUAGUUUCUGUGUUGAUUUCCAUGCUGCUUUUUGAGGAAAAGGAAGUCUUGUUUGCUUCCCAUAUUGAUAGGCUGCACAUAUAGGAAGUUCUUCUUCCAAAUCAGGGAGUCCUUCUACAAUCUAAUUCUUCUUCAUGUAGAGCACGGUAUUGUGGUGGAAAUGCCCUAAUCUUUUAUGCCAAAGCAUUGUAUUGUUCUCGUGUUGUGCAGCAGUAAUUUGCUCAUCUUCUAACAUAUUUAAGGCAAAACUUUUGCCUUUCAUUUUUAUGUUGAACACCUCUUUGCCUUCAGCAUCCUUGAUUAUGCAAUUUUUGUCUUCAAAACAAACUUUAAACCCUUUCUCAACAAGCUGUCCAACACUUAGCAAAUUUUGGUCAAUGUCAGGCACAAACAAAACAUCAGAAAUGAGCUUUAAACCUGUUAGGCUUUCAAUAGCUAAUGUUCUUUUACCUUUUACUGGAAUAUACUCACCAUUUCCUAUUCUAACUUUGGAAAUAGUUGUCCUAUCAAUCUCCCUAAAGCGAUCUUGAUCAUGUCAUGUGGUUUGUGCAACCACUGUCCACGAGCCAGCUUUCAGAGGUGCUACCGUUUGCAAAACAUGUUGCUGAAAAUAGUUGUUCCUCCUGGUAUUGUUCAGCUGCUACAUUGGUUUCUCCCUGCUGCUGCUGAGUUCUACAGAUCCUUUCUAUGUGUCCAUGUCUACCACAUUUGUUGCAUUUCACAUCUGGUCUCCACCAACAUUUUUGUUGAGGAUGAUUUGUUUUCUUGCAAUGAGGACAGGGUGGAUAGGUUCCAGUUUUUUUAUUGUUGUUGUUGCUUGGCUUAUUGUUGUUCUUUUUGUUCUUCCUCCUUCUUGUGUUACCUUCAUUGGUCUGUGUCUUUGCUUGAAAAGCUCCUUCUACAGAACUUCCUUGCCUCAUGAGUCUUCUUUGUUCCAAAGCUUGUAAAGCAUUUAGUAGUUCUGCCAAGGUGAUACUUGACAAAUCUUUUGUGUUUUCCAAAGAAGAAAUUGUAGCUUCAUAUUUUUCAGGAAUUGUGACAAAAUUGUUUUGAACAACUCUUUCAUCAGAAAACUCUUUACCUAGCAACCUCACCUUGUUUGCUAUGGUAAGAAGUUGUUCUGCAUAAUCUUUUAUGGUUUGAGACUCUUUCAUCCUCACCAUUUCAAAUUCUCGAAUUAGAUUCAUUACCUGCACAUUUCUGACUCUUUCAUUGCCUUGAUAUUCUUCCCGUAGAUGCUUCCAGAUUUCUGCAACAGAUUCAAGUUGCAUGAUUCUGGUGAGAAUUAAUGGUGAGACUACAGAAAAUAAGCAAGCCUUGGCCUUAGCCUUCCUCGUCUUUUUCUCCUUAUGGUUUUUCAUCUGUGACACAGUUGGAUUGGCUCCAAGUGGAGAAAUUUCAUAAUCUUCCUCUAUUGCUUCCCAGACAUCAAGAGCCUGUAGAUGAACAGUCAUCCUGACAGCCUAAGUUUGGUAAUUUUCUCCAUUGAAGACUAGUGGUGCUGCUGUGAAGCUUGCUUCUUCCAUUUCUGCAAGGUUUUCAGAUUCAGGUUUGGUAUACGGUGUUUAGGCUCACACACCUCACUGGUCCCUCAAGACAAAAAUUGCUCUGAUACCAAACUGUUGGAAGCAGGCGAGGUUAACACACCAAGCAACAGAGAACAGAGAUAUGCUGCUACUGAUCUAUAUUUUUUAUUUGAUCAUAAGGCUGAAUUUAUACAGAUUGUGUAACAUAUAUGACCUCAAAAAAAGCAUCAAAUCAAGCUACUUGUUGAACAAAAAACUACCUCCUACAAAAUAGCAUCAGAAUUUAACUUAAAAGCAAAAACAUAAUAAUAGCAACAGCAAAAACAGAAACAUAAAAAUAGCUUCAACAUUCUAGUAAUCUCAUUGACUUCAAUUGCAUGUGGUUGACGAUUUCAGCCUUUUCCUCAGCAGCUACUAAGGCAUAACUCUCAACAGGGCCUCUUAAUUUCCAUUCUGGCAUCUAUAUGACCUGAUAAAUAGAAAGAAAAAAAAACAGAAGAAAAGCGGCACCUGGGUUCAUAGUAAGCAUCAAGACAGGAUGCUGAAAGAAGGGAGAGAGGAGAUUGCAAGUCCAAUCCUGAUAAAAUAUCAACAAAGAGUAUUAAAUGGGGCCAACAUAAAGACCCAUUAAGGUCAGCAGAUGGCAUGGCAUUUUUCUCCUUAAGUUUUCCAUGAUUAGGCUUGAAGUCAAAAUUUCACAUGUAAAUUUGUAUUUCUACAUUUCCCACUGACGACACCCAACUUCAACUUGAGUUAGAAUAACAUUGUGUGAACUUAUCUGGCCCUCAAAAUUUACUGUGAAGUGCUUUCUGCGUGUGAAGAUUCAGAAAAGCACCAAGGGAACAUGUAUGGUCUGCCUUUUUCUGAUGUUAUGUUUGUCUCUAAUUCUGUUCCAUGUCAUGGUAAAUGUUCACAUUGCUUGUAUGGAACACACCAGGAUCACUUUUUCAGGUUUAGGGGGAUACAAAAGGCUUCAUAUUGGGUUCAAUGCUUUUAAUGUGUUCAUUGGACAAAUCUGAAUUAUCAUACGCAUUUAGAUAAGAACAAUAAUGUGAAACCCUAGUUACACCUCCCCUGCAUAACCCCAACCCUGCUUGCUCUAUUUCAGUUUACUCACAAGUUUUACUGGUUCUUAUAAGUCAAGAAAAGGCAACUGAUGUUGGAUCGACUCUCUUCCAUGUAAAAAAUGCAACUUUUAUACAUAUAAAAGAACUUCUUCCCCUCACCAAUGUGGGAUUUCAUAGAUUUAUUCUGGAAACACAUCAAAGGAACAUCUUUUCUCUUGGGUGACCCUAAGUGGUGAGUCAGAUCAUUUGCAUGCCAUUGAGUUGCACAGUUGGAUAAAUGCACCUGCCUCCUGGGCUCCAGAGUUAAAAGGGUGGAUCCCUGGAUUGCAACCCUCUUGGCAUCUUGGUUUCUAUUCCAACAUCCACAUGACUUGACAAAACAAAAAACAGAAUAAAAUCAGCACUAUAUUCAUGCUAAGCACCAAUACAUGAUGGAAAUCAUUGCUUAAAGAUUUGGGGUCGUUUUAGGUUUUGACUGCCUCCUACCACCUCACCUAAUGACAAGUUUUUAUGCUUACAAAUCAAAUAUCGUUCUUCAUUAUAUUAAAAUCAUUUUAAGAUUUCAGAUCCAUCUGCUAAUUAUGAUUAUGAUAACAUUUAUUCACCUGUGCUUCUCAUUUUCGACACACAAGGCAUCUAGGUUUGCAGGAUUUCCUUAUUAGAUGAGAUAAAUGAGUACGUAUGGUUAUGUAUCCAGCAUUCAUUAACCAUGGUAUGUGACAUUUAGAAUUAAGAUAGCAAGCAAACUUUCCCUGCAGCUAGAGUAAAUUGUGAUUUCUUAGCCUCUAUGAGUGGUUCCCAAAUCAAAUUAACAUAGUGAAAUAUACGUAGUCCAGUGAAAGGAAAUGUAAAUUAUAAACUAACAGCACUACACUACUGGUAACAAUCGAUACUCUCUAUAUAAUGCAAUAAACAAUGUCACAAUUGCCUACAAGCAAGGCACAAACACUAGAACAAGUAAAGCACAAACCUUUCCCAACAGUUCCCAGUGACUGAUGCAUAUCAUACCCUCAACUCACAGAAGGGGAUGAUAUCAGUGCACUGCAGCACUUAUUUUACACAUACUACCACUACUACUACUACUACUACUACUCAUUAGCCAAAGUCACUCAGUUGGGAUGAGUGUGAGGUAGAGGUUUGUGGGGUGCUAUGUGGAAAGGAGUUUGGCUUCUUCUCAGGAGAUGGUAGCUUCUUUGCAGGAGUUGAAGGAGGCUUAAUCUUCUGUGGUGGAUUGAUUGUAUGAGUCUUUGGCACUCUCUUCUCUAGUACAGGUGAAUACCCAGGGGUGCAUCCAUAAUGCGGUGGCUUCUAUCCCUUAGGUGGUUUGCCAAAUUCAAAAUCGAAGGAUUUUUUUUUUUUAAGUAUACGUAUCUUUGAAAGCUUUUAUUUUGUAUGGCAAAUGGAAUGAGAGGAGCAGUCAUAUUCUAUUUGGCCAGAGCAACAUAUCACAAAUGAACAAGCUAUUUACUGCCACACUGGGCAAAACAUACAUAAUCCUUGUACUUCAAACAUCCAUGAAUUCUCAUCAUUUUCAGGACACGUUGCAUGGUCUAUCAUUCUAUAUGUCGGCAUAGUAAGUGCAGCUAAUAAGCCUAUUCAGAGCUGAAAUUCAAAAUCUAUUCACAGGAUAAUGACCUUAUUAUUGGAUUUUGCUCACUGUCAUACACACAUAUCAGAUAAAGCCCCACAUGCUCAUAAGCUACAAGCAACCUACAAGCACUAAAAUGAGUGUUAGACGUAUGAAACAUUCCCCAAUACUAGUAGUAUUACCUGUUCCAUAGAACACUAAAUUAGAAGAGAGAAGAUGUGAGACUCCAGCUUUUCUUUCUACAUAUUACUCAUAUCAAGUUGGAAUAGUUAGGCGGUAGAGGCUUGGGGUGGCUUGUGUAGGGGACUAGGCAGCUUCUCUCAGGAGUUGAUUUCGUCUUAUUCUGGAUGUCCAGGUUUCGUCCUUUCGAAUUUCCCAUGCAAAUCAGCAUUCUCCUUGGGAAACUUCACUCCGUUGGGAAACUUGUGUGAAUCUUUGGCAUUCUCUACCAGAGAAGGCCCAGGGCAGUGACCAUAAGGUGGUGGCCUUUUUUCAGGUGGUGGCUCCUCUCCCACUGGAGGCUUGUGGUAAUCAGCAAGAGAGGCAGUGGAGAGAAUCAUCACCCCAAGGAACAGCACUAGCAAGUAUUUGUGAGCCAUAUUUGGGAUCUGAUGAUGAAGACUAGAAGAUAGGAGUUGCCUCAUAUAAUGGGUUGGAGACUAUAUCUCAAGGGGACGUGUAUUUAUGCAUAUGAUCUAUAUAGGACCAUCCUCCUAAUAUUUUCAAAAUAAUGUUAUUGUCUCUCUUGGGUGACAGUUUGAUUUGGUCUAUUUCCAUGCCACUGAGUAGAAAAGUUUGACAAUUGGCUACACCACCUACCUGGAUUACAUGGUUGAAAGUGAAGAUCAGUACAGUGUGAUCACACUUGACCUCUUGUUCCCCAUUCCAGUAUCUAAUUAACCUGACAAAAGUAAAAGGAAAGGAAAAAGGGAAAAAAUAGAAUAAUGUUCAAAUAAAAACGAGAAAAAAUAGCAUAAUGUUGAUGAAUCAUGAUAAGCAUCAAGGCAUGAUAGUGAGAGAGAGGAAAGAAGACAGUGUAAUUUGCAAUCCUGAUAAUCAUUAUAUAGCAGUAACUUUAAUCAUUUUUCUAUCACAGGGAACAUGACACUCAUCUUCCUAUGGAGAUAUUGCAUAAGUUUUUUUCUUUGUAUGUCAACACUAACCAAUGAAGCAUGUUAGCUGGUUUGAAACUGAAACUGUAGCCCUCUGUUUGGUUCUUGAAAAACUUGAGAGAAAAUGGAAGUAAAGUUAAAAGGAAAGAAAAAGUGAAAAAAAAUAAAAAUAGAUUGAAAGUUAACAAAUUAUUUUUACAUGUUCCCUCAAAUUUCUUUCACUUAUUUUUCCUUUUCUAUAUAAAGAUUAAAUGAUUUAAAAAUCAUAAAUUUCUAACUAAUUAUAACUAUAUUUGAUUUUCUUUCAUAUUUUCCAAGAUAAAGUCAGACAUGAGAAAAUCAUUUUCCUUAAAAAAGAAAUUCUUUCCUUUACAGUUUCUUAGAACCAAACCUGGCACAAAAGUCCAAAUUGGGGUUUCUCCAUGUUCCAUUUUUUAUGGCUACCUUUAUGGACCAUAUAAUAUAGAAUGUACUUCUGCAUACCUUCAAGAUCAAGCUGAACUAUAAGAAAAAGACAAGCCAUGGCCCACGGAGCAGGGAUACCAAGCUGCCUUCUCCUAGAUUAAGUUCCAAGAUUUCAGUCUUCAAACCUGCUAAAAGCUAAAGGCAUGUUUCCAGCCUGCGGCAGAUAACAUGCACUGUCCAACAAUAAAUUGCAAACACAUUCGAUGCAGUUUAUUAGUACAAUAAGAUUAAAUCCACCAAAUCUUUUACAGUUCAACCAACACUUGAACUAGUAGCUAGCUUCACUACUGGGUAAUAAUAUAUAAACCAAACUCUUGAUAGGAACCAACCUAUCGCAGAUCGAACUUCUUACAUCCACCAUGAAUUACUGAACCAAAAGAAGAAUCGAAGAGACUGCCAAGGAGGAAAGCCUUCCUAUAACUAGAUAUUUAUAUUCCAAAUUAGGGAGAGCACCCACUGCCCAGGCCUCGCCCAGCAUAAACAGAUAGUAUACAUAUACAUGCAAAAAGCUCCAACCUUCAAGAUUUUAACUAUUAACUUAACACAAUUAAAAAUGUAUCCAAAAAGCAAAUCCCCUUGAACUCCUGAAGCAAUUACUCCAACCAAAUAAAGAUUUUAAGAGUUCCAUGUUCAUAUCCUGCAAGGAAAUCAUUCAAUGUUCAGACCUCUAAUUUCUGUCUUUCUAAAUGCCCAGCCAAAAGGCAUAAAGUAUCAUCCAAAUUGGAUGCACAGCAUAUGUUCUUAAAUCAUGGGAUUUCACCAUAAGUUACUACACUCUAACAGGGCCCAGAAAUUGACCUCCAGAUAUGCCUAUCAAAAAAUUAUCCCCACAUACAUUUUUCUGCUGAAAAGACAAUAUUGUUACAUUUGACAUUCAACCACUACUUGAACUCAACAACCAGGGAAAAGAAUAUAGUAUUUCUACCAAUGAGGAUGAGAGGGGCUGGUGAAUUAACAGGUAAAAGUUUGUUUUGGGUUCAUUGUUUGCAUAAUAAUGUAAAAAUGGAGUAGUAUAUUAUAAAUUAAUGUAAAAAUGGAUUAGCAUAACAUAAAUUGCCAUAAGAGAACCACAAACUACAAAGAAACUUAUUUUCCAAACAAGGAAAAUUAUUCAUAGCCAUUAUUACAUAAGAAAGGAAAUUGAUAAAAUUAUUAUCCAGUUCCCCAUCAGGAAAUAUGAAAGUACUCCUAAAAGCCUCAAUUCUAACCAGAAAACCAUAGAAAUGUAUUAGAAAUAUUGUACAGGGUUCUCUCCAAUAUUAGCUUCAGUUGCUAAGGAGAUCAGAACCUUGAAAGUAAGUCACAAAGGUCGUGUGGGUUUCCCAGAGUCUUCAACAACCAGUAUUCACAUAUGUACACAUUAAAAUUAAAUAAAGCAGGUAUCAAUUCCACAGGCUUUAAGAUUUGAAUUGCUUCUCCCUGGAAUCAUACACCACUCAUAUUGUCACUGACUUUCAAUUACUUCUCCCUGCGAUCAUAUGCCACUCAUAUUGUCACUGCCUUAGGGAACAAAGUGAAAAUCUGCAAUUUCAAUUAAUUCCAACAUAAAAAUAAAAAUCAAUCCUCAAAAAAUGGAUUGCCAGGAGGUAAAUAUAAUAGAAGACGAACAACUCUCACAACCAAGUUAAAGAAACCAGCCGCUAGGUACCUUUGAGUUCUAUACUACCAGGAACAAAUUGGAUGAGAUUAUUUAAAGGCUAUUCCACAGUGGAAAUUCAUUCGUUCAAAAAACAUUUGUCAUGCAUAUAGGCAAUCUAUCCUAUGCAUUCAUACAUCAUGGUCUCAUGCAAUCUUAAUAAAAGUGGUCCUGGAAAAAGAGAGAAAAAAGUAAUUACAAGCCUGUGCGACCAGAUUUCUUUUGUUUUUUUUUUUUUUUUCCUUUGCCAAACAACCAUGUUCAUAGUUUCAGAAGUUCAUUCUGUCUUUAAGAGACCAUGGCAGUGACUUGGCCAUUCAGCUAAGANNNNNNNNNNNNNNNNNNNNNNNNNNNNNNNNNNNNNNNNNNNNNNNNNNNNNNNNNNNNNNNNNNNNNNNNNNNNNNNNNNNNNNNNNNNNNNNNNNNNUCACCAAGGACUCCUCAACCUCAAAAUAAUAGAGAAAGUCUAGGACACCAUGUCACUACUGAGGACAACCCAACACCACAACAUUUCAGUCCGUUCAAAAAGAGUAAUUGGAAUUGUUGCAAAAAAUGUUCAACUAGUCCCAACAGGAGGCAAAUUCCUCCAUUUCUUCAUCGGGUCCGGAUCCUUUGCUCAAAAAGGUAAUUUUCUUACUGCCCUAAAAGAAAAAGGGAAAAUGUGAGUCAUUGGAUUGUUGACUCAGGAGCUUUUGAUCACAUGACUAGAGUGCCACAAUUUUUCAAAAUUAUACACCUUGUUUUGGGGAUGAUACAAUUCGUAUGGCUGAUGGUUCUCUCUCAAAGGUGACUGGUACAAGUUUUAUUGUCAUCUCUAAGGACCUAACUCUUGACUCUAUUCUUUUGGUUCCAAACUUGGAUUGCAAUCUAUUGUCCAUUAGUAAACUCACUUAUGAAAAGAACUAUGUUACUAAAUUUUUCCCAAACCAUUGUGUUUUUUAGAAUUUGAAUUCGGGGAAGACGAUUGGCAAUGUUGAAGUGUGUUUAGGACUCUAUGCCUUCAAAGUGAAUUAUUAUAUUGAAAGACAAUCUUAACCAACAGUUGGUGAAAAAUGGUGUCUUUUUGUCUUUAGUUCUAAUAAAGAUAGUGAUGUUAUGUUAUAGCACUAUUGUCUAGGACAUCCUAGUUUCUUAUAUCUCAAAAAACUCUUUCCAUGGUUUUCAGUGUGAAAUUUGUCAACUAUCCAAGCAUCUUUGCAAGCCCUAUCCAUAGUUUUAAAAGACUUAAGGCACACCAAGACGCAAAGUCCUCUUGGAGCCUUAGGCGCAAGGCACACCUAAGGCGCGAACUUUAGUAAAGUGAGGUGCAUCCUGUUUUACAUAUAUAUUUUUAUAUAAUACAAUCAAGUGCCCGAAAAUUUUCCUCUAAUUUUCCCCUUCUUCUUCAUCCUCUUCUCUUCUUCACAUUGUUCGGGAGGCUAGGACAUUUUUUUUUUUUUACAUGUCUAAAACAAGCAUAUAUUGGGUUUUGGAAGAAGAACAAGCCAAAAUGACAUCGUUUUGGAGCCUAAUCUUUUAAAUAAAUAAAUAAAUAAAUAAAAACCAGCCAAAAAUGACACCGUUUUGGCCCCUGUUCUUUUAAAAGAACAAACCAAACAACGUCAUUUUGAUCUCAGGAAAUUAAAAAAACAAAACCCUCGUCAUUCUCCCUUUGCUACUCUACAACUCAUCGUCAAAGGGUAAAAAGAUGACCAAAAGAAGAAGAAGAAAAAAAAAAAACGACGACAGAGGAUAGAGGUGCACCUGUUGAGGGCGUUGCGCCUAGCCAAGAGGCGAGCGCCUUGCACACUUAAUCAACGCCUCUGUGAAGGGGCGGCUCCUGCAAUCAGGCGAAGCGCUGAAGGGUGAUGUCACAUCGUCUAGAGCCUAGGCGCACCUUUCACAACUAUGACCCUAUCCAACUCAACCAUACAAACCAUCUCAUCUUUUUUCCAUACAUAGUGAUGUUUGGAGGUCAUCUAAAAUAAAGAACAUAACAGGGACUAGAUGGUUGAUGAUCAUACUAGAAUUUCUUAGAUAUUUCUAAUGAAAAAAAAAUCAAAAAUUAGUCAAAUUUUCUAAAAGUGGACCAGAAUUUCUUUAUUGAAUUAAAAAGUUGAAAUUAAUAUUUUGGAAAAGUUAGGGCCGCUCAAGAGGUAGAAAUAGCGCUCGAGUGGUAGAAAUAGCGCUCGAGUGGUAGAAAUAGCCCUCAAGUGGUAGAAAUAGCGCUCAAGCGCUAGGACCGCUCAAGCACUUAACUAGCGCUUGAGCGCUCAUAUAGAAUCUGCCAGAAUAUGGAAGAAUAUUUUUUGGAUAAUCAUGAAAAUUGGAUUUGGAAACUUUAGAAUAUCAAUCUCCUUCGGCCUAGAGGUUUAUAUAAACCCUAUUAUAACCCUUUAGGGUUAAGAAAUUCACCAAGUGGUUUACCCUAACUUGUCAUACCAUUCCCGAUCUCUCAUCAAGGAAUCAAAGUGUUUAAUCUUGGGUUGUUUGAAGACCUGCAUCCCUUCAACAAGGCUAAGGUGUAUUCACUAGAACAAUUGAAAUUGUUGCAUUGCGGACAUGAAUCAAGUUGCAGGUUCUAGAGAGUAAGUCUUUAGAAUAAAGCAGACAAAGAGUUCUAUGUGACUUUAUCUCAUAUAGUGGAUUUAGCUUUGAGGUCUUAGACCUCGUGGGUUUUUAUCUCCAUAGUUAGUGUGGGGGUUUUCCACAUAAAAAUUAUUGUGUCUCUUGAUCUUAUGUUUGAUUUUAGAUAUUCUAUUUAUCCCUGAUAUCUCACAGGUUAACUUUAGGUUAAAAAUUCAACUCCCUAUUUAAUAAUUUUUAAAAUACACCCAUUCACGAGUGUUAUCCUACUGGACAUUGGUUUUUCACCAUAUAUAACACUCAUACCAAAACCCAUGCAACAUGGACUCCAACCUUAAGCUUAACUUUCUACGAAUGGAAAAAAAAAAAGACAUAACAUAAAUAGACAGAUUUAACAACAUGCUCCUAAUCAAGGUGAAUGUCCCUCUUUUUGAAAGAUAUGACCUUUUCCAUACGAGGAGCUUUCUUUAAAAUUUCACCUCUACCAAUUCCCAUGCCUUUACAAAGUUGUGGAAAGCUCCAAAGAGAAGGCCCAGACAUGUAAUGGGUAGAUUCCCUACCUUAGAACCUUACACCAAAGCUAAACCCCUAAUAUUUGUGACUUCUAUAAGAAUCAAUUCAUUUUUUUCCAUAUUUAUUUCUAAAUCAGACAUUGCCUCAAACCACAUGAAGUUAUAACUUGGAUGUUACAGAUGCUCUUAAUUAGUGUCACAAAAAAAUAGGGUAUCAUCAUCAAACAAGAAAUGUGACACUUCCAUCCCCUCCUCCUGUCUUCCUCCCACUUUGAAACUUGAGAUGUAACCCCUUUUAUCUAAUUCUCCUCAAAAUUCAAUUGAAAGCCUUCAUUGCCAAUAUGAAAAUGUAAGGGGAGAGAGGAUCUUUCUACCUCAAAUCCCUUGAGCUCUCAAAGAAACUGAAUAGGACACUAUUUACUAGAAUAGAGAAUUGAGUAGUGGAAAUGAACCAUUUGAUCCACCUCACCCACUUAUGAUCAAAGUCCAUUUUAUCCAACAUCAUUAACAAAAAGUUCCAAUUUACAUGGCCAUCGUCCUUUCCAAUGUCUAACUUGCAAAUUACCCCACUAUUGGGACUCUUUAACCUUGAAUCUAGAGCAUCAUUUAUGAUUAGAACUGCAUCUAGAAAUUGUCUGUCUUCCACAAAAGCAUGCAAAUAAACUAAAACUAUUUUACCCACCACAUUUUUUAGUCUUUUAGCCAAGACUUUUUCCAAUAGCUUGUACAAAAAAACCCCCAACUAAGCUAAUCAAUGUAAAAAAUUUUAGGUUCUCUGCUGCACCUAUAUUAGGGAUCAAGACCAAGAACAUGACAUUUAAAUUUUGCUCAAAGGAACAAUUAUCAAAAAACUCCCCAAGCUCAUUUGCCAAAAUAUUAUAAUAAAUCCAUUUGGCCCCUACAGCUUUAUCCCCACUCAAGCUAGACAAGGCAACAAGAAAUUCCUCAUCAAAGAAAGGUAACUCCAAUUUCCUAGAAUCAGCACAUAGCAUAACUUCAAAGGUCAUCCCAUUAAUGUUGAGUCUCCACUCGCCCAUAUCAGAUAGGAGAUUUUGGAAGGCCCUAAACUCCCCUUCCUUUAUAUUUGCUUCCCAAGCAACCAUUUUGCAUUCACUCAAAUUUUAAACAUGAAGUUUUUUAUUCUUUGGGCAUUGACCAUUUCAUGGAAAAUUUUGGUGUUUUUAUCCACCCCCUCUUUUAACCAAAUUUCUCUUUAUUUUUGCCCCCAUACAUAUAGAUUCUUCUAACAAGGCCCACUUGCUAAACUCAAUCACCACUAACCUUUGGCCUCAACGAUUUCAAGAGAUAAGGUAACUGCUCUCUACUUUGAGUCCCAGAAGUUGAUCCAGUUUAGCACCUCUAGGUUUUUUGUUGAGACAUUCCCAAAACCUUCUUCAUUCCAAGAUUUUAAAUCUCGUUUGACAGCCUUUAGUUUAACUUCCAAAAUAUGACCAUACAAGCCAUCCACAUUAUAACCAUCAACCAACUCCUCACAAAAUCUUUUAAGCCUUUUGUUUUAGGCUACAUAUUUUAAAAUGUAAACUGUGUUUUCCCACUCCUUAUCCUACCUCCAUCUAAAACUAUGGGGUAAUGACCAAAAAUUGGUUUAGGUAAAAUACUCUAGAUUAAAGUAGAAAAACGAUUCUACCAAUCAUCUGACACUAGGAAAUGGCCAAGCUAGCCUUGAAGAAGACAAAAGAUUAUGAACACCACUCCAAGUGAAUAGCCCUCCAACUAGCGAAAGAUCCCAAGGUCAAGUCCUCUAUGUCCUCUGAAAAGAACCUCAUAUCAAACAACAUUCUAAGGCAAUUCCUCCUUUUCAUGGGGAACUUGACCAUAUUAAAAUCCCCUCUGAAGCACUAGAGGUCAUCCCAAAGGCCUCUUAUGGCACCCAACUCUACCCAGAAAUCCACUCUUUCUCCCCUUUAAACCAACCCAUAAACUCUUACGUAUACCUAGACAAAGCUAUCUUCACAAUUCAUAGACAAGCAAUAGAGAAUGCUUCCACCUCCUUACCAAUUAACUCUAAUACCCUACUAUCUUGGAAAACCAAAAUGCCUACUAUCAAGCUUCUAACUUCCAAUACCAUUUCAAAAAUUUUCCUACUCCUAAACUCCUUACCAGUUGAACGAACAUCUAUCGAACCUUGGUUUCUUGUUAACAAACUAGAUCAACCCCUUGAGACCUUAUCAAUGACUUUAUUAUCAUAUACUUUUCCUCAUCAUUUGCUCAUUUGACAUUCCAAGACAGGAUUUUUAGCUUCAUCAUGCAACCUAUGUUGGAUCCUAACUGCUACUCUUGGAGCCCUUUUCCUUUUUGUUGAGCUUUUAUAAUUGACUAAGCAUCCCAACUUGUUGAGGUCCCUCUCAAACCAAGAUAUCGAGGUUAACUUCCUCUUCACCUCCAACGAAAAAACAGAAACCCCUCUCCUUAGCCUGCCACACAAGGGAAAAGAUCUCUUUUUCAAAUCCAUCAACUGGCAUUCUUGAGAAACUAUUGAAAUUUGCCAACUUACAAGAUAUACAAUUGGAGGAGUGCUUCUCUACCAAACAACUACUAAAAUUCACCUCAAAGGUGACCUUUUCCCCUGAUCUCUCCCCGGCCUCCAUACCCACUGACCCUUUCACAAAAUUUUCUAGAAUUUCCACUAUCAAGCCGUUACGGAGAACCAUCCUCAACAAACUCCUUUGACUAAUGUGAAAAACCCCACCCAAGAGCAUCUUCCAGAAGUUAACUUACAAGAUUAACUAUAAUCUUGUGAAGACUCGUUACCUAAUGGGUAAAAAAUUUGAAAUUCUAUUAGUAUAAUUCUUUUUAGGCACAAAAGCUGUGAAAAUAGCAUUGGUGCUCUAAUUAAUAACCCCAUAAUUAUUAAGCAAUAAAACAACUUUUAAUAAAUUCUCUUUCACCACAUCCCACCAAUCCUAAUGCAAAAAAGCUAGGAAAAAGUCAUCAUUGCUCUAAGCAUUUCUCCUCACUAGUUGAAAGACUGCUUUAUGAACUUCCUCUUCGACAAAAGGACAAUCCAACCAAUUAGCACCAUUUUCCAAAAUGAGAGACCAACCCCCACUCUUCUAUCCUCUAAGGAUCUUCAUAUAACCAUUAAUGCCUUUCUAUACCAGCUAGUAUAUAUCGGGUUUUGGGCAAGUCCUAUAAAUUGGUUUGAGUAAGAUUUUUAAUUACCCUGUUCUUUCUUUUUAGUUGAUAAAUAUGCAUAUAUGUAGUAAUUCAUACAUCAGAAAAGAUUUUGCUAAAACAAAAGAAUUGACAUGCAGAUAGUGACUUCUUGAUAAGAGUAAUAGCUUAAGGGAGGAAAAUGAACUCCUCCAGUGGCCCCAAAGUGGUAAGUUCCUUCAGAUCCCAUGUUGCUAUUCUGCAUUUCUUUGUGUUUUGGCAUCAGCCCUCUUAAUUAAUUCACUAUCCAGCUUCUCAAAUUCCUCGGAUUCUUCCCUUGUUCUUGUGGAAACAUCUGCAUCUUGUCCUUGCAUUGUUAUGGAUUGGUGAUUAUCAUUCUUUGAGAACUGUGUGGCAGCUGCUCGUGCACCAGCUAUGGCUGCAAGGAGACCUUCUGGUUUCUUGUCUUCAGCAGCUUUGGAGCCAUCAAAGCAAGAAACAAGUAAUCCUGGUUUCAAAGAGAGGGGAUCUUGUGGUUCUGGAAGCAGAAACUUGACAGGUAGUGGAGCUUGAACAGGACGAAGACCCCUAACUGCUGCCUCAUAUAUCUGCAACAAUUUCAGGGGGGAUAAGUAAUUAAAAAUCAGUCACUCUAUUGCAUUAGUUAGACUUGCUUUCAAUGCGAUAGCAAAGAAAGAAUCAUCAAUGAAAAAAGAAAAAAUAAAUGAAAAAGAACAAAAAGGAGAGGGAAAAAAAAAUGAUGGGUGCUCAAUUUGUACUUUUCUUUCCAGGUUAUAAAUACGUUGGUACCCGCGCAUCUCAAAUGGUAUGAUUAAUUUCUGCAUCAGGUCAGGAGAACUAAGUCCAUCAAUAUACUAAAAAGCAAAUAUACCAAAAGGCAAGCAAAAAUGUUUAACCAUCUUGAGUGUCAAACUCUCCAAGAAACUAUAUACUUUUAGCUGAAUGAAAACACAUGCCUGUGGUUGCUCACAGAGCCAGCAAAACUCUGUUUGCGCUUCUAGCCUUACCUACAAAUAGAGUUUAGGUUAUCCAACCAAAAUGGAGAUACAUCACACAAAACAAACUGUACCUAAUCAGUUUACGAAGGGGACGGGGGGAAGCAAAAAGCAAAAGUAAAUUUCUAAGAUGCCCACCCCUUCAGGUACCUCCUUCCAGCACGCCAGCUCUUCACAUUUAACACAACCAACUACUUCAAUACAACCUGUGGCAAGAAUAGAGUUUGUUGGAUUUAUUGUAGCAUGCCAUACAGAAAAAUUUAGCAUUUCAGUAAGAAUAAGAAUAAGAGAGCUACUUUCCACUAAAAUACGAAUCACCCAUCAACUGUUGCAAACAGACAACAAUGUGAAUAACAGGUUUUAUAUAUAUAUAUAUAGAGAGAGAGAGAGAGAGAGAGAGAGAGAGAGAUAGAUAGAUAUAGAGAGAGAGAGAGAGUCAAAUAAUAAUAAAGGACAAAAAUAUUUCUUUGAGAAAGACUAAUUAGAAAGAAGAAACAAAGAACCCACAUGAAAUCAAUUUAGAUAAGAGAAAUACCUUUAAGAAUCUAGUUCUUUUUGCAAAUUGCAACUUAGAAUUGGAAUGCCACAUAUUAUUAUAAGGUAUCACAAGAGAUUAUUGCUUCAUUUUUUUUCUUUGCCAGAUCAGUUUUAAUAAAUAUAAAUAUAAAAAUAUAAGCAUGUACACACACACACGCAAACACAUUAUGUGUGUAUGUUUAUGGAUAUGUAGAUAUAGGUUUUUAAUAAUAGAGCAUGAAAACAUAUCUAGUCAGAAAUUCCAAAAAUCCAAAACCAUUAGCAACACCUAACAGUCUUGAAACUGGGUAAUGUUCUGGAAACUUGAGGUCUGCUAUCCCAUUCACAGCAUAGAUCUCCCUGUAGAAAUUCUCCAUUGCUUUGAUUGUGUCUGAAUCUGGGACCUUACUAGCAGCAUGAAUCCAGAGUCGGCCUUCAUAAAACAAAACAUGUAUAUUAAGAAAUAUCCUUGUAGAACAGUAACAUUUUUGCCAGCAUGCAAUUCGUGUUAAUAAUCCUUGGUUCUCACCACUCAUUGUACAUUACAAUGUAAAGACCUAAUAAGCCCUAAUAUAGGUAGGUGUCUGUGCAGAGAGAGAGAGAGAGAGAGGGGAGGGGGGUGAAAGGAAAGAUGAUUAUAGAACAAAUACAAGUUGAAUCUCCUGAAAUAAUGUCCAUCAAGUUAUUUCCUAGCAACAAGUACUGAUUAUGCUUUUCCUGAUAACAUGAUUUUCUUUGCUAACAACCAUACUAUAUUUUAUCAAGAAAGAGUAGUGCAUGUGGCGUGCAUCAAGACCCAUUAGAGUUCCGCUAAACCUAUAGUUCUGUCAACGUUAUCAUUUACGUUUCCUCUAGAUAAUGGCAUUUUCCUCUAAAACUCUUGCACCAUUAGGCUUCAAGUCAAAAUUUCACAUGUGAACUUUGGAAAUUUUCUCCAUUUGCCCCUAAGGAUACAGUUAGAAUUGACUUAAAAUCCUGAUUGAUGUAUACUUUUAACCGAAGAAUAUUGUAUAUAAUAAUUGAAAUAUUGUUGAUUCAUCGUGGAAAUACAUUUUGUAAGGAAAGUUGUUAAGAAUUUAGUAUGCUAUAUGGAGAAAAAAGUCAUGACUUAAGGUUGAGUAUGUAUAUUCUAUAUCAAAUAUUAGGUAGGAAUGUGGAAAAGAGCAGAGUGUAAUUAUAAGAAACAAAGAAAUAUAAGAUAUUCUUGAAAGUGGAAAAUGUAAAAUGGCUAAAAGUCAAAUUUAUGAUGCAUAAGGGGGAUCAUGUCACAUAAGAAACUCAUGGCAUACCAAAUACGUGUGGUAUGGAGUAACAAUUUUGUUAAAAUAAGUUUCUCGUUGGAGUACAUUAGGUGACAAUUUUUUAAUAUCAAAUUAAAGAGUCAAGUGCAUCAAUGAAGUCAUAUGUAGAAAAUUUGUUUGUGACAUGUACCAUAAAGAUAAGAUUGACUUGAUAUAAUUUAGUCCAGGUAGGAGUUGUUAAAGGUGUCUCAAAUUUCUAAUUGAUAUAUAUUUUUUUCUAAAAAAAUAUUAUAUAGAUAUUUCAAUAAAUGAUUAAUUCUUUGUAAAAAUACUUACAUAAUAAAAAACAUCAUUAGAAAUAUCUCUAUAAAUAUUUUAAAUCACAAAAAGAAAAAAAAAAUCACUAUGAGAUAAUUAUAAACAUGCAACAUUGUACCAAGUAAACAGAAAUGUGAUAAAAAAAUUUUGAGAAACACUAAAUAAAGGAAGGGCUUGUAUAUCAAGAUGUAAAUAUAGAGAGCAAUAUUUUUAAUCAUAUGAUAGAAUUAUUUUCUCUCAUUCAUGAUUAUAAGCAAAAUUGGGAACCAUUAUAAAAUCUUGUACACCUCGUGUAAAUUGAUGUUUGUCUUCAUAUUUUACACCAACAAAUGACAUUGAAGUUGUCAUUGAUAAAAGGGAAAAGGCAUGGCCUCCACACCAUGUGCUUGAAUCGUAUGGUUCAAGUUUAAAGAAUUUUCUCCAUAAUUUGAAGAUCUAAAACAUUUUCACCUUUAAAUUUCAUUUAAUUAUUAAUAUCUACAAAAAAUAGUUAAAUACUCUUUCUAUUUUUGAGUUGUUGAAUUUUUUGAAAGUUUUUAUAUUUGUUAUCAAGAAUUUAUAUUUUAUUAAGUGUGAAUAUUUAUAAAUAAGAUAUUAUAUAAUAUUUGGAUAAGAGAGAAUGGUGGAAUAUAAUAAAGUUUUAAUCCUUCCCAAUUUUUAUCUUUUUUUUUUUUUUUUUUUAUAAUCGCCUUUCUCUUUCAAUCCUAUUAUCAGGUACCUUAUAUUUGCUGAUGCUAUCUGGAACUAAAUUCCAAUCAGACAUUGUCCAAUUACUAAUAGGACAGAUCAUGUCUCUCUGUUUCUAAACUAACAUGUAUCGUAAUGUGGCCUCAUAAGGAAGGCUAGGAAGAUGGAGGAUUUUGUGGGAAGCGACCAGAAUCAGAUGGAAGAGAGAUAGCCCUGUUGACCUAAUGGCUGUAAUAGGAGAAGCGUGUGGAUUUAUGGGACUUAACUGAUACUAAACCUAUAUGAUGCUUGGAGUGGUGUUUCUUUCAUUUUGUUAAGAAAAUAUGGCAGCAUACAUCCUUUCAAUUGAGUGCAUCAGAGCAUCCAUAAUAGAUGGUCUGCAACCCUAGGUGCAUGCCACUUUCUGACUGAUAAUGAAACUGUCAGGUACUUGGCCUUGACUAAGCUCAACAGCAUCACAUAAAAAGAAGCUUUCAUACUUAGAUUACUGUUUAAAGCUUUUGCUUAUUUGCUUUCUUAAUGCCAUUAUGACAUUAUUGUUUCAAUUCUGCUACCGAUUUUCGAAGUUCUGGGCAUCUACUGAUUGCAUCAUUAUAUGAGAAGUUGCAUGAGUUUAUGUAUCCUGUUAUUGCUCCUUUGCGAUUUCACUGCUCACGGGACUAACCUCUCCAUUCAGUCGAAAUGAAUUGUAAUUUCUUUACUGGUAGCAGUAGUACUUUUCAUAGCAAAGAUAAUAGUAAAUAUGAAAUAUAAAUAGAAGGAAAUCUGAAUUGUAGAUGGCACUAUAAGUAACACUCAAUAUUCACUACAUAAUAAAAUAGACAGUGUUACAAAGGUAGAGAAACCUACAAUGAGUACUCAUCACCAUUCUCAAACAGAAACAUAGCAGCGACUUAUACAUAGAACCUAUAGGCUUGCAGGGAAAGAAGGGAAAGAGUAACAUGAUAAGUUCACAGCGGGUAGCAGCUCUUAUUUUACGUAUUACUCAAAAUCUCAAACUAACCAAAGUCACUCAGUUGGGAUGGGUAGGAGAUGGUGGUUUGUGGGGUGGCUUCUGGGUAGGAGCUGGUGGCUUCUUUGUUGGAGUUGAAGGAGGCGUAAUCUUCUGAGGUGGCUUGUAUGAGUCUUCGGCACUCUCUGCAGGAGGGUGCCCAGGGUUGUGACCGGAAGGAGGUGGCUUCUGUCCCUUUGGUGGUUUGCCUAAUGGGCUUGGUGGCUUGUGCUCCGGGAGUUGUUUCUCUCCCUCGAGUAGGUUUCGAGUUUUGUCAGAUGGCUUGUGUUCUGG